UUUUUUUUUUUAGUGUAAAUUCCACACAAACUCCCUCGGGUUAUGGGUUUUCAAGAUUGCAUCCAAUUAUGGUUCAAAAAUAUUCAUUUAUAUCCUUGGACGGUAGAUUUAAGUUUAAAAAAUAAAUGAAAAUACGCUCAAAAAGUUCAAUAUACCGAUCUAAUAGUGAGAUUGGUUACUUGAUUUUAAUGUUGUGACACCUUAGUGACAUUUUUCUUUUAAGAAAAAUCCCAAAUAAAUGUUUGCAUCUAUAAAAAUAUUCAAAAUGGAUUCAAUUACAAAAUCUAUUUUUAAGUAUUUUAUAAAUAGCAAGCGUUCAUUUGGAGACAUUUUUUAAAGGAAAACGUUACAAAUGCUCGGUCGUAUAUUUUUUCUAAUGCAGGUACAUUAAAUCCGCUAUAAGAGUUUAUUGAAAAAUUAAAUUUCCAGAUUUUAUUAUUUUAUAGUUGUCCGAAUUUAUGUAUGCGUUCUUAUGAAAUGUAAUACAGAAACAUAUUAUAUGGAUUUUACGGGGAUCUACCCUCGAAUAAAUUGUGUGCAGGGAUGUGAUUGUAAUUUUAUUCAAAAAUGGUACAAUUUUCCUACUUCGAAAAACAAUUUAGGGAGAUCAAUGAAUUUAGUAUUUGAAAAGUGUUCAGUAUGAUGGUAUUUGAUGGUGCAUAAGAAAUCAUGGUUGUUUCCAAAGCCAAGUGUCAAAUUUGUUAGGCUUUAUCUAAGCUGAGCUCACUAGUUUUUGUGAGUUUGGGUUUAAAUUAGAUUUGGGAUAAUUUAAAAAUGUCUUUAUGGGAUUUCCAGUAACAUCAUUUUAGCCUAUGAAGUUUCAAAAACAGUACUUGCCUUUUUGUUGGGAAGAUAUGAUUGCCAUUACAUGCGAAGACAAAAAUAACCCUCUUUGUAAUCUUUUCUAUAUGUCACAGGGAGAGGUAGGACAUUUUUGUGUCAAUAAUUAGUGUUACUUUUUGCUCGCAACCUCUUUGUAAUUUUGUUAGUACGUAAUGACGGUAAACUAAUGAUUUCAUCAUGUUAGUUUUUUAGUAAUCACUAAUUCCUAUCCUUGUGCUAUUUUAGUAUGAAAGUUAGACUCGACUACUUACAUUUUUUUUUCUUUUUUGAAUUAAGAUAGAUGUUACAAUUUGUAAUUUGUUAUGGUAAUUUUUAAAAGGAUGUCGAUUACAUCGCAGACAAUUUGUAAGACUCAAUUUUACAAACGGCUGUUAAAUUAGGUUAAGACCACAUUAAAUGUAAUUCCUUAUUAUUGCAAAAGGAGUCAUGUAUUGUUCCAUUUUAUGAAGACAGAAGACGUAAAGAUAUAAAACAAACCUAACGAUUUGUUAAUAAUAAAAGAAAAUGAUACAGACCGUAAGUUUGAGAUAUGUUACAGACACAUCUCAUUCGAUUCUAACCAAUUAGAAUUUUCCCGACUUUCUCAUUUCUCCCAAGGAAAAAUGCUAGUUGUCAUCCUCAAAUUUUGGAUCAUGACCAUAUUUGGUUCUAAAACUUUUUGACAUAACAUAUUUAAUAUCAAAACUAUGAAGCAUUUGCCAAUUUCAUCCUCAAACGAAAGACUAAUGGGAAAAUGCAAGUUUUCAUCCCAAAAUUUGGGUCAUGGACAUAUUUUGUCCUCAAAUAACUGCAUCCAACUCAAUUGAUGUCAACAAAAAAUAGAAUUAAUAGCAUAGUCAAAAUACAUAAUUUGAGGACGAAAUGUGUCCCUGACCCAAAUUUUGGGAAUAAAAACUGGUGCUUUUUCCAUCCAAAUUGAUUAAGUUUCCAUUCGAGGAUGAAAUUGGUUAAAAAUUGAUAGUCCAAAUAUUAAAUGUGUUAUGCUUAAAAGUUUGAGAGCAAAAUGUGUCCAUGACCUAAAAUUUAGGAAAAAUGCACUUUUCAUAUCUAACGUUUAAGGUGUUAACCAAUUUCAUCUCUAAAGUUUGAUGCAAAACACAUUUUCUCCUUAUAAUUUUAUAAUUUUAACUAAUUUCAUCCCUAAACUUUCGCACAAACACAUUAUCAUCCUCAUAGUUUCAUAAAUUUGGCUAAUUGAGGACAAUUGAUGGAUUAUCAAGCGAUUUAAAUGGAAUAUCGUCACUUGACCACAGCAUGCCCAUUAGUACAAAAAAACGUUGGAUCAACAAAAAGUUCAAAAAUAUUUUCUUAAUUCACUUUCUCAUUUUAGUACAAGAAAUAAGUCUAAAAAAUUUUUAGCUACCAUUACUCUCUUCUCAAUCAUAAUCAAAUAAGAAGAUCCAAAGAAAAUGAAGUCAUGAAAAAGAAACAACCCCACUAUAACCAAUUGGAGAAAAAUGUCAAACAACCCCAUUAUAGUUAAUUAGAGAAAAAUACUAAUGCGAAAGAAAGAAUGGUUUGGAUUGUCAUUUAUUUGCAAAAUUUAGUUUUGUUGUUGCAUCAUAUACAUGCUUUUCAAUCAUCUAUUUGUCUUUCAAUCUAUUUGUUUUAUUUCAAAUACAUCAUAUCACAAUUUAAAAAAAAUAGAUAGCCUCCUAUCCAAAAAUACAUAUUCUUGUUAAUAACUGAAUUAAAUAUUAAUAAUACAAUUACUAAUGGGACAUGUUGUAGACACCAAAUUUUUAAAUAAUUUGUAUGUUGCAUCUAAUUCAUGAUUUGGUUUUAGAUUGUCUGCAUUUUAGUUGUUACCUUUUUAUUUGUCUUUUAUUUGCUAAUUAUUUGUCAUAUUAAUUUUGUUCACGUUUUAGUUUUAGUUUUAGUUUUAAGUUUUAACGUAAAAUUUGUGAAAAAGAGGAAAUUGAUGAAAAAUGGAAAAUUGUGUUUUGUUGAUUCUAGUUUAUUUAGUUUCUACCCAAUGUUAAUUAAAUUACUUUUUUUGUUGUUUUUGUUGUUUGUUAUCUAUUUUUAUUAUCAGUUUUAUUCAAUUAAUUUCAAAAAGAAAAAAAAAGAGAAAAAAACCGAAAAAAAUCACAAUUCUAUUUCUGCCGGUUCCAUUUCCACUUCUCAAUCUAGCACCUUCCAUUGUUAUUGCCGACUCCACUCCACUCACAAUACCUUAAUAUAUACAUCCCACUACGCUACAUCAUUUCCUUCUGGACUUCAAUACUCAACUUCCUUCAACCGUGCACCAUUUCCUCUACACACCACCACACCUCAAACACAACCACUUCACUUCAUACCCUUACCUCGUGAUCAUCGAUUGAGAGGGAGAGAGCUGCAACCUGCAACCGAGAGAAAAGAAAAGAAAGGAAGCGUGCGAGCUGCGAGUCUUCGGUUCUGUCCGUAAGCUUGAGGGAAGAGACAGUGCGUGAGUUGCUACUGCACUCUCCACUUUCACUUCAACCAGCUGCAAUCCAUCUCCAACCGCAACACCACCACACCUGCAACCACCGGCAACCAAGACGGCAGCCAAUCAUCCAUCGCGUGCGUGAUUUAGCCGUGAGGAGAGUAAGACAACUUCAGCUUCUGCCGCGUGAGUAAGCUUCCAGUAGAGGUAAUUUCUGGACUGAAACCAAUAGAUUAUAGGUUGAUUAAGCUGUAUAUGGACUUGCAUGUGAGGUUGGAGUGUCCGGAUGAGGAAAUCAAAGAAAAGGAAAAUCUGAUUUUUGAUGAAAAUAGUUUUGCCGAGGAGUUGAAACAGAAAUGCAGCUUUAAUCUUGUUUCUUUGGAGUAAUCUGAGCUUUUAAAUGUUGUUAACUAACUAAGAACUAGGUGAUUAAGUCUUGCAUGAAGUUAGUUAGUUCGGAUUAAACUAGAAAAGAAGAGAUGAAACAGAAUCGGCUAGCCUGCAAGCUCAUCCGAGAGUGGCCGAACAACUUGCUGGUUGAUUGAUGAACUUUUGGUAACAACUGAGCCGAAUCUGGACUGGAAAUGCUAGUUAAUUAGUUCAGUAGUUGUGCAUGUGAGAUUUAAGUGCCAAUACAAGGUUUUAACCGAAGGAAAAUUUUGUUUAUGACUGAGUAAAUGCUGGAAAAUUUACGUGACUUGCCAAGGGAGUGAAACCAGAAUUUGCAGUUGUUUCUGGAAUUUUUCAUUAGCAAAUAAUGCUUGGAAAUGCAUGAAAAAUGUUGUUUUAAGUCUUGUAUGACAUUCAGUAGUAAACCAUUUGAAUUGUGGGCAGAUUUGGCCAAAAUUGUUGACACAUAGCUGCGGCAAUGUUGUAAUUAGAAAAUGCAGAAGUUUGCGACUUGUUUUCCUGAUUUGUUUGGGUCAGAGUUUAGUGUAAAUGUAGAUCAUUUCUGAUGUAUUUUGAAACUGAAAGUUUGUUGGAAACUCAUGGUAUGAAUUGCUGAAGUUACUAAGUUAUUUAAAAGUUCCUCCUUUCAAAAACACAGCAAGCAAAAGCUGCUGCAUCUCUUUGUCUUUUUGUUUUCUUUUCCAUGGCUGUUUAAGGGACCCUUACGUUUAAAUUGCUUGUUAAAUCUGGUUUUAAGGAGAAGGAAUGGAAUGAUUUGAUGUUAAGUUUAUGUUUGAGUCCUUAAAACACUUGAGCUAUGAUUAAACACCAUGCUAAAAAUAUUUGAUCACGGUUGUGAUUAAGAAGCUUGAGCUUGAGAAGGAAGUGCAGCAGUCUUCGGUUGCUAAAGUAUGUGAAGUAAUUGCAGAAACUUGUUUCAUGGCUAUUGCAUAGAACUUGCAUGUUUUUUUCCUUCUAAGUUUUCUACCUGUUGAGGCGAUGGUAAUGGCAUAGUUUGCAGCUUAGUUAAAGCUAUGUAUGUGAGCUCGAGAUCUGAUUUUUUUUGGAAAAUAAGAUGUGAGUUUGAGUUGGGUUUCGUUUGAGCAAACAUGAGAGAAAAUAUUGCAGAAACUCACUUUGAAUUUGAUUUACCUGCUUGUUUGGUUGUUAGAUUCAUGCUUUAAUGUGUUGGUUAGAAGAUUUUUCGAUCAAAAUGGUGUUAAGGUUGAGAAAAUGAAAAUCACGGUUGUCUUCUGGGUUGCCGAAAGCUUUCAGCAGAAAUUUCUGCUGCAGAAUGUUGUUUCUCAUGUUGAUUUUCACGUAGCUUGCAUGAAAACUGCAUGAAUUAAUCUCUAAAAAUUGCACUUUGAUCCCCUAAGUUCCCCUUUGUUGCACUGUGACCCAAUUAUGCUUUAAUUUCUUGCAAUUGAGUCCUAAAGUAUUUGCAAUCUGAACCAUGACUUGACUUUUUCAUCAUUCUUGAACCUUUAAAGUUCUUAAAUGUUCUAAUUGGGCUCACAUGAUUGAUUAAUGUUUGCAAUUGGAUCCCUUUUACAUGAUAAUUCGCUUCGGUAUGUUUUUACGUGAAUUGUGGACAAAUUUCAAUGGAUAAUUCCCAAUGUCAUGAAAGCUUAAUAAUCUUGGAAGAAUUCAUAGUCUUGGUUUCAUUUGAUUCAGUUUUUCUUAGAUAAUUUUGUUAUUUAAUCAUAAUAAAUAAUUUCUGUGAUAGUUUUUCUCUUUUUGUGAUUGUUGCAUUUGAUUGUGAUGGAUUCCACCGUAAGCAUUUCAAUUUAGCACUCCACUUUAAAUUCUUGAGACCCUUUAUUUGAGACCGAUUUUUGCUUGCACGUGCAUGAUCUAUUCCAUAUUUAAUUUUCGUUCCAUGCUUAAUUUCCACUUUUGUGUUUAAUGGUUGUUUCAUGUGAUUAUUUGAUAAUUAAAGUGGUACCUUGACAUUUUUAUUAUUUUGGAGGGUAAUUUAAUAAUUUCACUUCAUUAGAGCAUCGAUUCAAGGGAGGUACAUUCUAUCCCUUAUUUGCACUUCAUUUGACCCUAUGUGCUCCUACGUGUUAUGUGAAUAUGCAUGUCUAUUUUGCUUUCCUAGCCUUCCUUUAAUUUAAUUUCUUUUAUUUAUGUCAUUUACUUUUGCUUUUUAUUUAAGUUAUUCUUUAUGGGGUAUGUGUACACCUCUUGACUUGUAAUAGAUAGGGCUUGAAGGAACAUUCAAUGAAGACCUAUCGAAGACGUGUGCCUAGCUAGCAAAUGUAAUAGCUAGGGCUUCAAUUGCCCAUGUGUUAUGUGUUACUUGUUUCAAUUAGGUUCUUGCAUCUAGUUGAGCAUGCUAAGUGUUAUGUGCUAUGUGUUUAUAAGUGUUUGGCAUGUCUACUCGCUUUCCAUAGCCAUGAAUGAAUGUGAUGGACGGAUGUACGUUUCCACUAGUCCAACGCUAGUCGGAAUCCAUAGAAUGGGCUAGUCCAACGCUAGUCGGAAUCCAUAGAAUGGGCUAGUCCAACGCUAGACCCUUAGAGACUUCCCCUCGUUAGUACAUAUUUGCGUGUUCAUCACAUGUCAUGCAUUUUUCUUAACUUAGCAUUUGGCAUGCUCCUUGAAACCCUUUUUCCCUUCAUUUAGGAUUUUUGCAUUUCAUACUAGUUAUAGGGUUCAUUUGCUUGAGAGUCCCCUUAAAUAUGGGAUAUAGACGAGUGUGGCUUUUUAUAAGCCUUAGCACGCUUGUAUUCCCUCUAUAAAAGGGCAAAUUGAGUCACGAUUUAGGUCUCCCCGUACUCAGUAUGCAUGAAUUCCCUAGGUCCAUGCAUCCAUUAUCCCAUUUUUACCCUCAUUACACUUUCACUUUGCACACGUGCACUUUUAUAAUCCUCACUUGCACACGAACGCUUUUAUCAUUACUUGCACACAUGCACUUUAUAUUAUCAUUUCACAUAUCAUACCUUGCUCACUCACGUGCACAUUUUUACUUACACAUUCUUGUCUUUUAUUUACUUUUUCAAACUCAUGCCUUCACAUUGCAUACAUGCAUUUCCUUCAUUUGCAUCUCACUUGCAUUAUUCGUGACUUCUUCAAAGGAUCGUUAUUGGGCUUCACAAUUAAUGUGAUUGGCACCACUCAACCUUUGAAGAGAAAUUUCCCCCAAUACCCCUAGGUCUAGGGUUUGCAUUCAUAUAGUACAUCCAAAUGUAAUAAAUUUUUUGGUUAAAACAAGAAAAUAUUUGAUUAAAUCACGCAACUAGCCUUGGCUAGGUCAAAGGGGUGCCUUGGAUUUUUAUCCUUGCCUUCCCCUUCGUCAAAUGUGACUCCUGAACCUUUUUCGUUGGUUUACGUGGAUUAGGAGUCGUUUAAAAAGGGGUUUCUUAAUACUUUUUCCUAUUUUUCUUUAAAAAUUCAUUUUUAGGUGACUUGGUACACCUUAACUCAUUACCAAGUGGCGACUCCGAUUUUUUUAUUUCAAAAACCCUUUUUAAACUAUAAUUUUGGGUCAAAUCGUCGCAUUUUCAAAAGUCCCAUUUAGACCCAUUUUUAUUUUUAUCAAAAAAAAUUCACUUUUUCCAAACCAAUAAAAUCCCAAAAGCAAUCAUUUUAUUUUUCCAAAAAAAUGGGGCGCGACAGUUGGCGACUCCACUGGGGACUUUCGAGAGUCCGAGCAAAUUUGAUUUAAUCAAUCUUUUUCUUCUUUUAACCUUUUCAUAUAUCACAUUUGGGUGUUUUAGGGUUGCAUUUUUUCCUUUUUUAGGAUUUUUUGCAUUUCACGCGUAUCCAACUACUCCCUCGCUCGUGAAUGUAUGAUUGGUUGAUUGGAUGUAUGUUUAUUUGUUUAUCUCGCGCUUGCAUUGCAUUUGGGUGGGGGACAUCACCUUAGAGCCUCGCGUUGGUUCUUGAUCCCUCCCCUCCAAACGAGCACUAGCAUACGUGCAUACGCUUUAAUUAUUUAUCCCUUUUAUUUUUCUUUAGUGGCUUGUCACGCCACUCCACCCUAUUAGGAUUAGGUGACUCACUUGGACAUGUGAUCACGACACGAUGUGUGUGUAGCAUGUUCCAAUGGGUCACUCAAUCUUCCGCUUAAAGCUAUUGGUUGAUAGCCUUUAGCUUUUGGUCGAAGAUUGAAGUUUUGAUAGAUUCACUCAAACACGUAGCCGUGACACGAUGUGUGCGUAGCGGUGUUUGGGGAAUCGCUCGAGCCACCGGCAAAGAACCUUGGGAUUGAUGACCCUUGGUUUCUAAGUCUGAAGGCUCGGGGGCCUAUGACCUAUCGAGUCUAGAUGCAUUAGUAAGCCAAGCCUCAUGCAUUCAUAUUAGAAUUGCCUAGGGUAGAGUCAGCCAUUAUCCUGAACUAGGGACACUAUUCACGAGGGGAGGGGUCCCAACCCUCUUUUCUUAUUUAUCUUUAUUGCCUUUUAUAUUAUCUAUUUGUCCAAAUGUGUUAUGUGAUUAUGUGUUGAGCUCACGUUUCCUUGUUUUUUGUUUUUGGCAUUCACAAACAUUAAGAAAUAAGAGGUCUGGCAUGACCUUCUUUUAAGACCUACCCUUGUAGAUAGGCUAUUGCACGUUUGACAAAUUAUGGUUUAUUUUGUUCAUAAAUUCAUAAUGCCAUACCGUUUUAGGCCUACUCUGGCAAAUAAAGGGUUCCUUAGGUCACGUUUCAUUUCAAAUUGCAUAUUUUAUUGUUUUAAUAAAAUGGCAUCAUGCAUAAACCCUAGAAAGGGAACGCCACGUAGGGAAUCCCGUUUUAGGAAUAAAACCAACCCUUUUGUGUCCCAUGGGUAUUUAACCCUUCAAGGGACUGCACGUUUAAGUUAUCGCAUAACUGGAGGAAUGAGACUCGUAGGUAAGGUAAUUGACAAACUACCCUCUUCAUUAUCAGAUGGCUUGCCCUCGCCGCAUCUACCAAUUGUUAAUACCGUCGACUGAGGUUCAACAAUGGCCCACCUUCAUGUUACCUAGUGAAUUGAAUCAAGUAGCCCAAUUUUUAGGACCAAUUGGAGACUUUAAACAGAUCAAAUCCAACAAUUACUUGGUAGAGGCUUUAGUUCAUCUUUGGGACCCCGAGUGUACUGCUUUUAGAAUAGGCAAUAGGCAAAUGACUAUAACACUCGAAGAAGUAGCUGGCCUCCUUGGUUUACCCACACGAGGAACUGCCUUGGUGCUUCCAUUUGCUUCCGACAAGGCCGAAUUUUGUCAAAUUAUAGGAUUGAAAGAGUCCGUGCUACGAGGGUCAGAUCAGGGCGUCGCUGUGAAUAUUCUGUUUGAACGAUUUGCGCCACGCGAUGGAUUCGAGAGGCAUGUGACGGAUUUUGUGUUCACUUCCAAAGCCGUAUGGGAGCGCAAAAGGCUACUAGUAUAUGGGGUAGUUAUGGCUGGGACCUAUCUCUUUCCGCGAAAAGAUCAAAAGAUAGCCUUCAAAUCAGCAAAAAUUGUGAAUGACCUUUUCUUAGGAAUUCAGGGUAAGCAAUGCUCUAUAGUCCCGACCAUUCUCGCAGAUAUUUUCUUAGCUUGUACUGGUUGUCGAAAGGGAGAAAAGUUUUUCCAUGGGGCGAACUUGGUUCUAUACAUAUGGGCUACGGAACAUUUUAAGAGACAAGCAUCAGUUGCCGAUAGUUUGCCGGUGGUUGGAUAUAAUUGGGUAAUCACACAUCCCAAAAGAGUCAACGAGGGAGAUCUACCUAAGAACGCAUCCGAAUGUGUGGAUUACUUGGAAACAUUGCAAGAUUUCAACAUUAGGUGGGUAUUAGAUUGGACAGACUGCUUUGAGCCGAUACUUCGCACUAAGGAAUCCAAACGUGUUCUCUUGCUGGGAACUCAAGGAAUCAUCUCAUAUACCCCGAAAAGAUUUCUCAGACAACUAGGUCGCAUUCAGGGGCCGCCACCGAUUUCCGAGUUUAGUGAAGUCACCAUUUUCUUUGAUCAGGGGGUAUGCCCAAAAGAGAUCCCUAUGAAGAGUCAAAUCACUGAAUCUUGGAGAACAAUAUCCGACGAUAGAAGCAUUCGUUAUCUUCCGGAGCUCAAACAGAAGGGGGUAAUGACCGCACCAUACGAGGAUUGGUUGAAAGAUUCCACCACGCAAGGGUUGCAACAUGAGCCGUAUGAGGAAAUUGAGAAGCUGAGAGCCAUCAUUAAAGCCAAGGACAUGGAGGUGGUACAGUUGAAGAAAUCCAUCGAAGUGCACAAAGGAAAGGCAGAAGAAAACAAGAGGUUAUAUGAGAAGGAGCGAGAAAGGCGCCAAGAGAUGAAGCGGAAAUGUGGGGAAUUAUAUGAUCAAGCCGAACGUGUCCAGAUGCCAUAUACUAGAGAGAGUAAAGACUCUGUACUAGAUAGGCUUAGGAACUUUGGUGAUCUUGUACAAAAUCGCCUUCGCAAUAUGAUGUAAACAGAUGUAUUUGGUUUUUGCAAUGAAUCCCUUCUCACAAAGUGUUUGUCAAAUAACAGGUUUGAUUAAUGGGUCUCAUUCCGAAAGUGUUGCAUCAUGCUAGGCCUACCCUUGGCACAAAAAGGGCCCCCCCAUAGGACAUGCAUCCGAAUUUUUCGAAUAAUUACUAACUCAUGCCUUUUUCUUUUUUCUCUUUUUGAAUAAAUUGCAGAAAUUCAGUAAUCAUUGGUUUAUCUAAGGGAGUUCUUUCUUCAUUUCAGGUAAAUUUCAAAAUAGCUUUUCGGAAAAGCCCCAUUAUUACGCGAUCCCGAAGUAAGGCCCAAAGGAAUCGUGUAGACAUGAGUACUCAACCAGAAUCAUCCGAUAAGGCCGUUGCCACUACCCAGCCGGAAGCUGCAAGUCCUGGGGUUCAGUUGACAGAGUUACUCACAAAAUUUGGGGAAAUGGCGUCAGAAAUGGCCGCUCAGAAGAAGUUGAUUGACGAGCUCGUUAGUAGCGGAGUGCAACCUGAGCCUGUACCCGCUACACAACCACAAUCCGAACCAUUUGUUAUUCCUCCAUUUCAAACCACCUUUGAGGGAACUUUUAACCCGCAAUAUGCUUUUACUCAAAAUCCUCCUUUCUACCCUCCUUAUGGUCAAGGAUUUCAGCCUCAAAGCGACCCAAACAUGCAUCAGAACCCACCAGCUUUUUAUCAAACCACCGCGGAGCCCGUGGUGCCGGAGCACACUUUUCAAAAUAAGCCAGAAAUGGGAGAGUCGUCUGCCCAGAUUAAUAUGAAGUUACUUAAACGCUUGGAUCGUUUUGAUGAAUUUAUCCGGAAAAGCCAAGGUUUAAGCAAACAAGGGGUGUUGGAUUAUGAUGAUUUGUGCCUGUUUCCGAACGUGCAACUGCCAGUGGGGUUCAAGACCCCUAAAUUCAACAAAUAUGAUGGAACAAGCAACCCUAAAACGCACCUGCGCUUGUUUGCUAACAAGUUGGGCAAGCCAGUGGAUGACGAGAAUUUGCCGUUGAGAUUAUUUCCAGAAAGCUUAGAAGGGGAUGCGCUUGACUGGUAUUCCAACCUAAAGCCGGAGGAAGUGAAGACCUGGCUCGAUCUGUCCAAUGCCUUCAUUAGACAAUAUGAGUAUAACUGUGAGCUAGCGCCAACUCGGACUACUCUGGAAGGAACGAAAAGGCGACCAUCUGAAGAUCAUAAGACAUAUGCCAAGAGAUGGAGAAAGAUAGCUGCGAAGGUGGAGCCACCGAUGACUGAGGAUGAAAUUAUUCGCACAUUCAUAAAGGCGCAUGAUCCUCCAUAUUUCGAAAAAAUUUUCCGUAUGACUGGUUGUUCUUUUGCUGCAAUUGUGAAUAAAUUGGAAGAGUUUGACGACUUUGUGAGAGCCGGGAAGAUUGUCAAUGUCUCUGCCCUGAAAUCUCAGUUGGAUGCUUUACAAGGGCAGGGAAGCAAUGUGAAGAAGCCGCCGUUCAAAAAGAAAGAGGGGGAUGCAACAUUUAUUUGGAACCAAAACCCUUCACCCAGACCCCGAUACCAACACAGCCCAAUCUACCAACCCCAUUACCCUUACUACUCAAAUCCGCAUCCUGUAUAUACUACCAACAUCCACCACCUUCGACCUCGCCCAAGCUAUCCAAACCCACCUUCAGCCCCUUUUCAAAUUUCCCAAUCAAAUCCACCCCAAAACCGACCUCGCCCUCCAUAUAACCCAAGAUUUCCUCCACCAAAUAGACCUGUUUACAACCAUCCUCAACCUCCUGAACCUUACAACCGACCCCCUAGCCGUACAUUUACCAAUUUAGGCAGGCCUCUGGACCAAUUGUAUGACCAGUUGAAGGCCGCCGGGAAAAUUGGUACAGUACCCCCUCCUACCUACCCAUAUGGUAUGCCCGCGUGGUAUAAUCCACAAGCUGUCUGUGCUUAUCAUUCUGGGGCCCCCGGACAUGCCACCUUUGAUUGCAAAGCGCUUAAGCAUAAAAUCCAAGAUAUGGUUGAAGCCGGGGAGAUUGUAAUCCGGAAAAGGGAGGCGCAAGGGCCGAACGUAAAUAGGAACCCUUUACCGGAACAUGCCAAUACCAUUGGGGUUAUUCUGGAUGAUACGGAGUAUGUGGAACCAGUCAAAGAAUUGGCAAGGGAAGCUGAAGUGUUUGGGGUCACAGACCAACCUUUUGUCAUAGAACUGCCAUUUGAAGAGGACGAGAAACCCUUUAUCUUGGAUCUCACGCCAGCUGAGAGUGAGUCUUUGGAGCCGGUGGUUAUUGAAUUCCCGAAGCAGGAGCCUGUCCUGAGCCUGCAACAAGUACCAUGGAAUUAUGAUGAACCUGACGUGCAGAUUGGGGAAAGGUCAAUUGCAAAGAAGGAAGUAUCAGUGGUCACAAGAUCGGGGAAAAUUGCAAGCCCGUUUGAAGCAACCAUUCCGAUUCAAGCAAAUAACUCUGAGCCACCCGCCAAACCAACAAUUACCGAGAGAGAAGCCUUAGAUUUCCUUAAAAGGCUCCAAAGAAGCGAAUACAAUGUGAUCGAGAAGCUUAGCAAGUCGCCCGCUCAAAUAUCCAUGUUGGAUCUACUUUUUUCAUCAGAUGUGCAUAGGGAUGCAUUGCUCGAAGUACUGACUAAAGCUCAAAUUCCUAGAGACAUUUCAGUUGAUAAUUUCUCACACGUAGUUGGGAAUGUACUCUUCACCAAGCAAAUUACUUUUUCCGACGAGGAAUUGCCGUCGGAAGGCAUUGGACAUAACAAGGCCCUGUACAUAGUUGUGAGGUGCAACGGAAAAAUGCUGCCGAAGGUAUUAAUUGACAAUGGAUCUGCUCUUAAUAUAUGUCCCUGGAGCACCUUGGAAAAGCUAGGAUUGCAAGACGUCAAGUUGAGGCCUUCAGGGACCAUAGUCCGAGGUUUUGAUGGAGCGCAAAGAGAGCCAAUAGGAGAAAUUGAUUUAGUAGUUGAAAUGGGGCCCGCCCAGUUUCAAAUAACCUGCCAAGUCAUGCAUUUUUCUAGUGUUUACAACGUUUUGCUUGGCAGGCCAUGGAUUCACAAGUCUGGGGCUGUGCCUUCUUCAUUGCAUCAAUUGCUAAAGUUUGUAGUGAAUGACAAGCUGAUCACUAUAUUUGCCGAAGAGGAUUGCCUUGUAAUCACUGAUUCUGGGACAAAAGAGGAUGGAAGCCGCAAUGUCACCAUGACUCCCCAUAGCACGGCUGAUAUCGUCUCUGUAAGUUGGAUCACAAACGAGGAGCAAGUUCUACCAAAGGCCAGUGUUAUGAUGGCUAAGGAAAUGAUCCGAGGAGGUUAUGAAUUUGACAAGGGACUAGGACGAAAUCUGCAAGGAGUUUUGAAGCCAGUGGAGAUUAUGGAGAAGAAAGAUUCAUUUGGCUUAGGGUUCCGACCAACUGCUAAGGAUAUCAAAGAAAUGAAGGAACGUAAGAAAGCAGAGAAAGAGGGCAGGCAAAGGGUUUUUGACAUUCCACCACUGUGGUAUACUUUUCCACGACCAACAGAGGUUAUCACAUCAGAGGUUAAUCCAGUCGACGAAAUUGAAGCAAGUUUGGCUCAAUUGUUCGUUGGGGCAACAUUUGAGGAUAGUGUUCCAGGCGAAGCUGAAUUUCCUGACAUCCCCGAAGGAUCAAUUCCCAAUUGGACAGCCGAGUCCCUGCCCGUUCGGAAGGAGUUUCGGUAAACUAAAAGGGGUUUAUCAUUCAUGUGAAUUCAUGAAAAUACCUUUGCAUCUGUAAAUAGCCAAUGAAAACAAUUUUCCUUUUAACUAACGUUUGUGCAUGUAAAUAUUGUUAAGUUUUCGUUUCAAUUUGCUUUCAAUCAAAGGUCUUUAUGAAAAUGCACAAGUUGUUCUUGUCAUUGUUGUGUUGUUUAUUCGAUUGUUUAUAUUCAUAUUGCUUGAUUCAUUUGUUUGUUGUAUGCUUAUUUACUUAUUAUCCCACAUUCGUUAAUUCUUUCAGAUGGCCAAAAAUAAAAUUAUUUGACCCUUUGGAUAUCACAGUUCUGGAAUACGAUAAUGGCAAUCUCUAUAUCACUCACGACUUGGAGGUCUGUGAAUCUGAACUCCAAAGCGAGAGUGAUAAUGAGGAAGUAUUCGAUUCUUUUGCAAAGGACUUUGAACAAUAUGAGGAAAAACCAAAACCGAACCUGGAAGAAACAGAAAAGGUUAACAUUGGCACUGAGGAUGAGGUUAAGGAGGUGCAAAUUAGUAUUCAUUUGAAUGAAAGGCAGAAAAAGGAGUUGUUUGAAUUCUUGACCAUGUUCCAGGAUGUAUUUGCGUGGUCCUAUGAUGAUAUGACUGGCAUUUCAACUGAUGUGGUGGUGCAUAGGUUACCCACAGACCCUUCUUUUCCACCCGUAAAACAAAAACCCAGAAAAUUCAAACCAGAUAUAAGUCUCAAAAUAAAAGAGCAGAUUGAAAAACAACUCAAAACCAACAUUAUCAUUGUUUCCCAUUACCCAAUUUGGCUUUCAAAUCCUGUCCCUGUUCCAAAAAAGAGUGGAGAGGUAAGAGUUUGUAUUGACUAUAGAGACCUUAAUAAAGCCAGUCCUAAAGAUGAUUUCCCUCUACCAAACAUUCACAUUCUCUUAGACAAUACGGCCGGACAUGAGAUUGAAACCUUUUGCGAUUGUUUUGCUGGCUACCACCAAAUUUUAAUGGCAGAGGAGGAUAGGGAGAAGACUGCUUUCAUUACCCCUUGGGGUACCUUUUGCUACCGAGUCAUGCCUUUCGGUUUAAAGAAUGCUGGAGCAACAUAUCAGAGGACCAUGACAACCCUAUUUCAUGAUAUGAUCCACCGGGAGAUGGAGGUCUACGUGGAUGAUAUUAUAAUCAAGUCCAAAAGGGCAGAGGACCACUUGGUUGAUCUGAAGAAAUUAUUCGAGAGGUUACGGAAGUACAAUUUGAAGCUAAAUCCUGCAAAAUGCGCCUUCGGAGCACCUGCGGGUAAGCUGUUGGGAUUCAUUGUUAGCAAGAAGGGCAUAGAAAUAGAUCCGGCGAAAAUCAAAGCAAUUCGAGAUAUGCCAGUGCCGAAAACUCAGAAGGACGUGAAAAGCUUCUUAGGGAAGAUCAAUUUCAUUGGGAGGUUCAUCGGCCAGCUAACUGCCACAUGCGAGCCGUUGUUCAAAUUAUUGAGAAAGAAUGUGCCGUUGUAUUGGAAUGAGGAGUGUCAACAGGCUUUUGACAAGAUUAAAGAUUAUUUGUUGCAUCCACCAGUUUUAGUGCCGCCCAAACCGGGCCGACCUUUGAUUAUGUAUUUAUCUGUACUCGAUGGAGCAGUAGGGUGUGUUCUGGGUCAGCACGAUGAAUCCGGAAGGAAAGAACAAGCCAUUUACUAUCUAAGCAAGAAGUUCACGCAGUACGAGGCUAAUUAUUCAUUCAUUGAGAAAAGCUGCUGUGCAUUGGCUUGGGCAGCCCAAAAGUUGAGACACUACCUGUUGAGCCAUACCACUUAUCUUAUUUCCCGAUCUGAUCCUUUGAAGUAUCUUUUGGAGAAGCCGAUGUUGACUGGGCGUUUGGCGAAAUGGCAGAUAAUUCUCUCAGAAUUCGAUAUUGUUUUCACCUCACAAAAGGCGGUCAAGGGGCAAGCUAUAGCUGAUCAUUUGGCGGAAAAUCCAAGGGAUGAUGAUUACCAACCACUCCGUACUUAUUUCCCUGACGAGAGGGUCCUAUUUGUAGGCGCUGCAGAUGAUAUAAGUGAACAAAGUCCUGAAUGGAGGCUUUUCUUCGAUGGAGCUUCGAAUUCUCUCGGAGCUGGAAUUGGAGCUGUUUUGGUGUCACCCGCAGGGAAGCAUUACCCUGCCGCUGCCAAAUUGCAAUUCGCUUGCACGAAUAACAUGGCUGAAUAUGAAGCUUGCAUUUUUGGUCUCAAAAUGGCGUUGGAAAUAGAAAUCAAAGAAUUGAUAGUUUUCAGUGAUUCAGAUUUGCUCGUGCAUCAAACCUUGAAACAGUGGAUAACCAAAGAUUCGAAAAUUCUACCCUACCAUUGUAGUCUGCUUACUUUGGCCAAGCAGUUUCAAAAUUUGGAGUUUAGACAUCUCCCGAGAGCCAGGAAUGCAUUCGCCGAUGCUUUGGCUACCUUAGCUUCUAUGAUCCAGUAUCCUGAUGAAUUGAAGAUCGAACCAAUCCAAGUUCAACUUCAAGACAAGCCUGCCCACUGCUGGGUUACAGACGAGUCCUCGGAUACUAUUCCUUGGUUUAAUGAUCUUAAAGAGUUUCUCAAAACGGGGUCUUACCCUCUGCAUGCUGGUACAAAGGACAAGAGUUUUCUGCGUAGAAUGGCUUCAAAAUUUUUCUUAAAUGGAGAAGUGUUGUACAAAAGAACCUCGGAUUUGAACCUUUUAAGGUGCAUUGAUGAAGAUGAAGCUCAAUAUAUGAUGAAGGAAGUGCAUAGUGGCGUUUGUGGACCUCACAUGAAUGGCCAUUUGCUAGCGAAGAAAAUCAUGAGAACCGGAUACUUCUGGCUUACUAUGGAGCAUGAUUGUAUAGAUUUUGUCCGGAGAUGUAUAAAAUGCCAAAUGCACGGUGACAUUAUACGCGCUCCACCCACUGAACUGCAUAGCAUGACCGCCCCAUGGCCCUGUUCAAUGUGGGGUAUGGACGUGAUUGGUACAAUCGAUCCUCCCGCUUCAAAUGGACAUCGAUUUAUAUUGGUGGCGAUCGAGUACUUUACCAAAUGGGUUGAAGCAGAGUCAUUCAAACAUGUCACGAAGAAGGUAGUGGCCAAUUUCCUGAGAGAUCACAUCAUCUGUCGCUUCGGAGUACCCGAAACGCUUAUCACGGACAAUGCCAAGAAUCUGAACAAUGACAUGGUAGAUGGACUAUGUGAGCAGUUCAAAAUCAAACACCGCAAUUCUGUCAUUUAUAGGCCUCAGAUGAAUGGAGCUGUAGAAGCCGCAAAUAAGAAUCUGAAGAAAAUUAUCCGCAAAAUGACAGAAAAGCAUCGCGAUUGGCAUGAAAAGUUGCCUUAUGCAUUGAUGGCAUACCGGACUUCUAUUCGGACAUCGACUGGGGCAACGCCAUAUUCACUUAUGUAUGGGAUGGAAGCUGUAUUACCAGCUGAGGUUGAAAUUCCGUCGCUACGAAUCCUUAUGGAAGCUAAAUUGGAGGGGGCCGAUUGGAUCAAGCAGCGCCAUGAGCAAUUGACUUUGAUAGAUGAGAAGCGAUUCAAUGCUAUCUGUCAUGGGCAAUGCUAUCAAAAACGUGUGGCCCGAGCUUAUAACAAAAAAGUCCAUCGGCGGGCAUUUGAAGAAGGUGAUAAGGUACUAAAGCGAAUUUUGUCAAUGCAAGAUGAAGCUAAAGGCAAGUUCGCUCCAAAUUGGCAAGGGCCGUUCGUUGUCCAAAAGGUAUUACCUGGCGGAGCUCUUCUUUUGGCGGAAAUGGAUGGACGGGUUUUCCCUCAACCCAUCAACUCAGAUAUGUGCAAAAAGUUUUUCAUUUGAUCAUGCAAACUUUCUUUAGAAAUUCAUGCAAAUGGCGAAAUGCAAGUCAGGCCAUCUUCUUUUACACUAAAAACAUUUUAUCUCUACUUGUCCCCUUUGAGCCAUCAGAAUUAACAAUUUUCGUUUGAUAACCCUUGAGAAUUGCAAACCCCACACUGGGGCAAAUUUGUUUCGAAAAAAAAGAAAAAAAAAAGAGAAAAAGAAAAAAACCUACACUGGGGCAAAUUUAGUUUUCAAAGAAAAAUGCAAAAAGUGAGGAAAAUACAAUGAAAAAUGCAAAGAGGGAAAAUCUGAUCAAACUGGGGCAAAAUUUUCCUCAGUUUUGGAGUUAUUUUCAGAAGAGUGCAAUUUUAAGUUAUUUCACCCCUCGUAUCAAAUCUGCUUUCAAGUUUUAACUUUUUUUUGAAAAACACCUCACCUGACCUCAUUACAAAAGCCUAAAGUCCUGGCUUUCAUCACUUGCUGCAUUUCUAUUAGAAAAUUUGUUAAUCAACUGGCAGGUGAUGUCCGUAAUGUCUUCGCCUAAUUUUACAAGGGAAGUACAUUUUACUGAUGCCAGAAAUCUUUAAUUCAUGUUUCUGAGUCGAUCAUGGUCGAGAUAUUUCAGCCUUCUUUAGGUGAAAACCCGAAAGGGCACCUCGAAAGAAAAAGAAAAGCGAAAAAGAAGAAAAAAAGAAAAAAUGAAAAAAAGAAAAAGAGAAAAAAAAGGAAAGGAAAAGAGAAAAGAAAAACAACAAAAGCAAAAAUAAAAGGGUGGGGGCAACCUUGGUGAAAACCCGAAAGGGCGCCAAGGUAGGUUUUCACAACAGUCAAGCUCGAGAAGGAACAGCUGGUGACCCGGUUCAUUGAGGGUUUUCCUCAUAUUUGUGAAACUUCUGCUAGUAUCGGAUUCCGAAGCGAAAAUAUCCGAAGUCUUGAAUAUGAUAUUCAUUGGCUAAACUUGUAUUUUCUGUAUAAACACCAUUUUACAAAAUGUAAAUCUCCUGGUUUCUUUAAUUCAUUUGCCUUCUACUAUCUAUGGUUGUCUGUAUUCUUCUGCAUGUUUAUCUUUGCCUGACAUAGGAAAUCAUCUUGCAUAUACAUUGAUUUUUAUAUGACUAAUUUUCAUGCAUCAUUCUUUUACCAUUAAAUUCAAAUAAAUGAUAAACCCUAAGGUUUGGGCAAAGAUAAGGGAUUCAAUCAUCAGUUACAGGGAGUAACAUACAACAAAGCUACCACCUGGAUUGGGUGACGUGGUAAAUCCGUAUUUUAUCAGUCUCAGAAAUUGAAAGGUUUCAAGUUCGACUAAGGCAGACGCCGCCAAGCCGAAAUAAAAGCAUCACAAGACUCAUGUUUACACGAUUCUCAAGGCAAACCGGAUCAAACAAUGGUGGCAAGUCCAUUAUUUCUUCUUUUCUUGCAGGAAUGUUGCAUUCACAAACAAAAGCAGUCACUCUCUUUUUGGCACCUAAACUGAUGUCAGACAAAGCUUCCCAGUAAACAAGGAUAGAUGUUAUUUGCAAGACUCGAUCAUAAGAAACAGCAUCAGCUAUCGUUUCAGUCACAGAAAUCCAAAUUUCCCUCUUGGUACAAAAGUUGAACUAUUCUCAGGUAAAAAAAAAAAAAAAAAAAACUCAAUUCAUUGUUUAAAUUUCCCCAGUGCAGUCCCGUUUUAAAGUUCGGGCCAGUCCCGUUUUAAAUUCCUGUUCGGGUCAGUCCCGUUUUAAAUUCCUGUUCGGGCCAGUCCCGUUUUAAAUUCUUGUUCGGGCCAGUCCCGUUUUAAAUUCCUGUUCGUGCCAGUCCCGUUUUAAAUUCCUGUUCGGGCCAGUCCCGUUUUAAAUUCCUGUCCGGGCCAGUCCCGUUUUAAAUUCUUGUUCGGGCCAGUCCCGUUUUAAAUUCUUGUUCGGGCCAGUCCCGUUUUAAAUUCCUGUUCGGGUCAGUCCCGUUUUAAAUUCUUGUCCGGGCCAGUCCCGUUUUAAAUUCUUGUUCGGGCCAGUCCCGUUUUAAAUUCCUGUUCGGGCCAGUCCCGUUUUAAAUUUCCAAUCCCGUUUUUAAAUUCCUGUUCGGGCCAGUCCCGUUUUAAAUUUCCAAUCCCGUUUUUAAAUUCCUGUUCGGGCCAGUCCCGUUUUAAAUUCCUUGUUCGGGUCAGUCCCGUUUUAAAUUCCUUGUUCGGGUCAGUCCCGUUUUAAAUUCCUUGCUCGGGUCAGUCCCAUUGUAAAUUCCUUGUUCGGGUCAGUCCCGUUUUAAAUUCCUUGUUCGGGUCAGUCCCGUUUUAAAUUCCUUGUUCGGGUCAGUCCCGUUUUAAAUUCCUUGCUCGGGUCAGUCCCGUUUUAAAUUCCUUGUUCGGGUCAGUCCCGUUUUAAAUUCCUUGUUCGGGUCAGUCCCGUUUUUAAAAUUCCUGUCCGUUCAAAUCAUUUUGCAGCCGAAUAACACAGGCGAGUAUUUGGUGUCUACUUCUUUGUCUCAAGUUUUUUCAAAACUCAAACAAAGAGGGGCAAACUGUAGACACCAAAUUUUUAAAUAAUUUGUAUGUUGCAUCUAAUUCAUGAUUUGGUUUUAGAUUGUCUGCAUUUUAGUUGUUACCUUUUUAUUUGUCUUUUAUUUGCUAAUUAUUUGUCAUAUUAAUUUUGUUCACGUUUUAGUUUUAGUUUUAGUUUUAAGUUUUAACGUAAAAUUUGUGAAAAAGAGGAAAUUGAUGAAAAAUGGAAAAUUGUGUUUUGUUGAUUCUAGUUUAUUUAGUUUCUACCCAAUGUUAAUUAAAUUACUUUUUUUUGUUGUUUUUGUUGUUUGUUAUCUAUUUUUAUUAUCAGUUUUAUUCAAUUAAUUUCAAAAAGAAAAAAAAAGAGAAAAAACCGAAAAAAAUCACAAUUCUAUUUCUGCCGGUUCCAUUUCCACUUCUCAAUCUAGCACCUUCCAUUGUUAUUGCCGACUCCACUCCACUCACAAUACCUUAAUAUAUACAUCCCACUACGCUACAUCAUUUCCUUCUGGACUUCAAUACUCAACUUCCUUCAACCGUGCACCAUUUCCUCUACACACCACCACACCUCAAACACAACCACUUCACUUCAUACCCUUACCUCGUGAUCAUCGAUUGAGAGGGAGAGAGCUGCAACCUGCAACCGAGAGAAAAGAAAAGAAAGGAAGCGUGCGAGCUGCGAGUCUUCGGUUCUGUCCGUAAGCUUGAGGGAAGAGACAGUGCGUGAGUUGCUACUGCACUCUCCACUUUCACUUCAACCAGCUGCAAUCCAUCUCCAACCGCAACACCACCACACCUGCAACCACCGGCAACCAAGACGGCAGCCAAUCAUCCAUCGCGUGCGUGAUUUAGCCGUGAGGAGAGUAAGACAACUUCAGCUUCUGCCGCGUGAGUAAGCUUCCAGUAGAGGUAAUUUCUGGACUGAAACCAAUAGAUUAUAGGUUGAUUAAGCUGUAUAUGGACUUGCAUGUGAGGUUGGAGUGUCCGGAUGAGGAAAUCAAAGAAAAGGAAAAUCUGAUUUUUGAUGAAAAUAGUUUUGCCGAGGAGUUGAAACAGAAAUGCAGCUUUAAUCUUGUUUCUUUGGAGUAAUCUGAGCUUUUAAAUGUUGUUAACUAACUAAGAACUAGGUGAUUAAGUCUUGCAUGAAGUUAGUUAGUUCGGAUUAAACUAGAAAAGAAGAGAUGAAACAGAAUCGGCUAGCCUGCAAGCUCAUCCGAGAGUGGCCGAACAACUUGCUGGUUGAUUGAUGAACUUUUGGUAACAACUGAGCCGAAUCUGGACUGGAAAUGCUAGUUAAUUAGUUCAGUAGUUGUGCAUGUGAGAUUUAAGUGCCAAUACAAGGUUUUAACCGAAGGAAAAUUUUGUUUAUGACUGAGUAAAUGCUGGAAAAUUUACGUGACUUGCCAAGGGAGUGAAACCAGAAUUUGCAGUUGUUUCUGGAAUUUUUCAUUAGCAAAUAAUGCUUGGAAAUGCAUGAAAAAUGUUGUUUUAAGUCUUGUAUGACAUUCAGUAGUAAACCAUUUGAAUUGUGGGCAGAUUUGGCCAAAAUUGUUGACACAUAGCUGCGGCAAUGUUGUAAUUAGAAAAUGCAGAAGUUUGCGACUUGUUUUCCUGAUUUGUUUGGGUCAGAGUUUAGUGUGAAUGUAGAUCAUUUCUGAUGUAUUUUGAAACUGAAAGUUUGUUGGAAACUCAUGGUAUGAAUUGCUGAAGUUACUAAGUUAUUUAAAAGUUCCUCCUUUCAAAAACACAGCAAGCAAAAGCUGCUGCAUCUCUUUGUCUUUUUGUUUUCUUUUCCAUGGCUGUUUAAGGGACCCUUACGUUUAAAUUGCUUGUUAAAUCUGGUUUUAAGGAGAAGGAAUGGAAUGAUUUGAUGUUAAGUUUAUGUUUGAGUACUUAAAACACUUGAGCUAUGAUUAAACACCAUGCUAAAAAUAUUUGAUCACGGUUGUGAUUAAGAAGCUUGAGCUUGAGAAGGAAGUGCAGCAGUCUUCGGUUGCUAAAGUAUGUGAAGUAAUUGCAGAAACUUGUUUCAUGGCUAUUGCAUAGAACUUGCAUGUUUUUUUCCUUCUAAGUUUUCUACCUGUUGAGGCGAUGGUAAUGGCAUAGUUUGCAGCUUAGUUAAAGCUAUGUAUGUGAGCUCGAGAUCUGAUUUUUUUUGGAAAAUAAGAUGUGAGUUUGAGUUGGGUUUCGUUUGAGCAAACAUGAGAGAAAAUAUUGCAGAAACUCACUUUGAAUUUGAUUUACCUGCUUGUUUGGUUGUUAGAUUCAUGCUUUAAUGUGUUGGUUAGAAGAUUUUUCGAUCAAAAUGGUGUUAAGGUUGAGAAAAUGAAAAUCACGGUUGUCUUCUGGGUUGCCGAAAGCUUUCAGCAGAAAUUUCUGCUGCAGAAUGUUGUUUCUCAUGUUGAUUUUCACGUAGCUUGCAUGAAAACUGCAUGAAUUAAUCUCUAAAAAUUGCACUUUGAUCCCCUAAGUUCCCCUUUGUUGCACUGUGACCCAAUUAUGCUUUAAUUUCUUGCAAUUGAGUCCUAAAGUAUUUGCAAUCUGAACCAUGACUUGACUUUUUCAUCAUUCUUGAACCUUUAAAGUUCUUAAAUGUUCUAAUUGGGCUCACAUGAUUGAUUAAUGUUUGCAAUUGGAUCCCUUUUACAUGAUAAUUCGCUUCGGUAUGUUUUUACGUGAAUUGUGGACAAAUUUCAAUGGAUAAUUCCCAAUGUCAUGAAAGCUUAAUAAUCUUGGAAGAAUUCAUAGUCUUGGUUUCAUUUGAUUCAGUUUUUCUUAGAUAAUUUUGUUAUUUAAUCAUAAUAAAUAAUUUCUGUGAUAGUUUUUCUCUUUUUGUGAUUGUUGCAUUUGAUUGUGAUGGAUUCCACCGUAAGCAUUUCAAUUUAGCACUCCACUUUAAAUUCUUGAGACCCUUUAUUUGAGACCGAUUUUUGCUUGCACGUGCAUGAUCUAUUCCAUAUUUAAUUUUCGUUCCAUGCUUAAUUUCCACUUUUGUGUUUAAUGGUUGUUUCAUGUGAUUAUUUGAUAAUUAAAGUGGUACCUUGACAUUUUUAUUAUUUUGGAGGGUAAUUUAAUAAUUUCACUUCAUUAGAGCAUCGAUUCAAGGGAGGUACAUUCUAUCCCUUAUUUGCACUUCAUUUGACCCUAUGUGCUCCUACGUGUUAUGUGAAUAUGCAUGUCUAUUUUGCUUUCCUAGCCUUCCUUUAAUUUAAUUUCUUUUAUUUAUGUCAUUUACUUUUGCUUUUUAUUUAAGUUAUUCUUUAUGGGGUAUGUGUACACCUCUUGACUUGUAAUAGAUAGGGCUUGAAGGAACAUUCAAUGAAGACCUAUCGAAGACGUGUGCCUAGCUAGCAAAUGUAAUAGCUAGGGCUUCAAUUGCCCAUGUGUUAUGUGUUACUUGUUUCAAUUAGGUUCUUGCAUCUAGUUGAGCAUGCUAAGUGUUAUGUGCUAUGUGUUUAUAAGUGUUUGGCAUGUCUACUCGCUUUCCAUAGCCAUGAAUGAAUGUGAUGGACGGAUGUACGUUUCCACUAGUCCAACGCUAGUCGGAAUCCAUAGAAUGGGCUAGUCCAACGCUAGGAUACUUCACCGUUGGAUUUCAAACCGCUCCGUACAAGUGUUGGCUAAGGUGGUUUAAAGGUACUAGUGGAGUUGUUUUUGGAGGGAGGUUGCAAGUUGUUAGCUUCUUGAAUUUGAGGUGAGUUGGUUAAACAAGCUUCUUUGGUUUGAAUAUUGGUUAAGCUAGGGUUUGAGAUGAUUGAAUAUGUUAUAUUGUGAAGUAUUUUCAUGGGUUUAAGGAAUUUAUGGUGAUUAUAUUUAAUUAUGAUUUUUCUGUUUGCAUUUGAUUUUGUCUAUGUGGCCAUGUAUGAUGAAGGGGAAUGUUAUAGCAUGAGGCUAUUUGGUGUAAAUGAUGGUUAAUUGCAAGAAAAUGUUGUUUGGAAGGAAAUUUGGAAAACUUAUGGCUUCAUUAUCUUCAAUUCUGGCCGGCCCUGUUUAUCAUAGUUAGAGGCCGAAUUAGCUUUGGAUUAAAACAUGAAAGUUGUAGGGAAUAACAUUUUAGAGAUGCCUGCAAAAUUUCAGAUCAAUCGGAGUAGUGUAGUAGAGUGAGAAAAGUCGAAAAUACCCCUGCUGCCCUGGUUUCAUCCGAACUUCGGACUUGCUUCUGUAAUUAGCUAUUUUGGCUAGGAAAACUUCUGAACUGGUUGUAGAGGUCUUCUAAUGAAAUGUAGCCUGAUGUCCUAGCUAUCAUUUGGCUUUGGAAUCAAUGGAUUUGGACCUAAGUAGACCGAAUUGUAGUUCGUUAACCAAAACAUGGUUGGUCCCCUGCUCUUACGGUUCUGAACUAGUGUCUUGUAUUUUUGACCUAGUUGCACUACAAACUGGACUGAGUGACCUUCUACAUUGUUGUAGUCCUAUCUCUUAGCUUCGAAACGGUGGGUCUUGCACCCUAAUCCAAUAAUCGUAGUGCCUUUAGUGCCAUUCCCGUAAAAUGAUGUCAAGCAUUGUUUUAUCUGAAAAUGUUUCUAGCUUGCUUUUCAUAGUUAUUGUUGUAUUUAUAUGACUUUAAGCCUAGUGAACGGCUUUUGGACAUGAGAUUAUUCUAUACGACAUGUUGGGACUGAUUUGAGAAAAAUAAUGAAGCCAUUAAUGGCUGGAAAAAUAGGUAAACACAAGGGACAUGCCGUCCGUUUAUUUUCUUGUAAAAUGAAUAAGUUAAAAUGGUUUUUCGAAAAUGUAUUUUGUAUCAUAUUGAACGUAUUUCCUUCGAAGUAUCUUCAGGUCUUUGAAUAAGGGUUCAAAGACUAAAUUUCCAUUCGAACUCGUAUAUUGUCUUUUGGCAAAUAAUGUGACCGUUUUAUCUUUUGAAAACAUGAUACCUUUUCGUUUCAAACUUCAAAUGGUCCUUAAGCCUUUCCAACCGAUAGAGGUAUGAGUUCGGGUUUUAUCGGCCAUAAGUGCAUUGUUUCUAAGCAAGGUUUUAAGUGUGGAAGUUAAAGUAUUUUGUCCUCCUUUUCACACGAUUUUUAUCAAGGCAUUGGUUAGUUAUUGACCACUUGUAUAUAUAUGCUUUUGAAUCACAUACGCAAUUCCGAAAGAAUGUUUUCUUAGCUCUAUUGGAAUUUUGAAUUGUUUGGAGUGAGUGUUUCCUCUUAGAGAUUUUAUAACCUUCUUGGUUUGGGUUGCAUUAGGGUUAUUCUUGUCUACGAAUCCAAGUGCCUCGUUACACUUUGAAAGUCUUUUUACGUUUACUCGCGAGUAGUCGGGUAAUUGUUGAUUUCAUCUAAAUCAUGUUAGAUGGAUUGUAAUGUGAUCUUGUGAUUUUAGGUUUCCUUGGUGAUUGAGAAGUGGGCGUUGUUUUGCGUGUCUAGGUGAGUGUUCCUUAUUUGUUAUAUUUCCUGAUUAUAUGGCUUGUUUGAAUGAUUGAUAACAUGUUAAACGCUUUCAAUGAUUGCUAAAACGAUUUUCGAGGCGAGUGUGUACUUUACCGCACUUAGCCUAAAUGAUUGUGAAAUUUUAAUGAUUGAGCGAUUGAAAUGUUAAUUGUGCAUGAAUGUAGGCCUUCGGGCUGAACUGGCCAUUGCCCCUUGUUACCGGUCGUCUCGAGCCAGUCGGACUCGGUCGAGCGAUUAGGACUUGGGUGAACGAUCCGGUAUACUCGAGUAUUACCCUGUAGGUUGGUGGAGCCUGGCCAAAAGCCAGGGACGGGGUGAAUGAAAUGAAUGAAUGAAUGAACGAGGGGUUUUACUUAUACAAAAUGCAUUUUCUAAUGAUUGAAGGAAGGAGAAUGGAAGGAGAAUGAAUGAAUGAAUGAAUGAACGAUUGGCUCCUUGUGAGCCCGUAUCCUUUUAAUGAAUGUGUUUAUCGCUCUAUUGUACUUGUAUCGUGAAUUGUUGUUUACAUGCAUUUGUUUCUCUUGUUGCCUAUGUGUACGGAACCUCACUGAGCUUUCCAGCUCAUCCCUUUAGUUUUUGUUUUCCUUAGCAGGGGAAGACGUGCGAGGACGGAAGCUACGAAUAGAUUAGCCGUUUUAGUACUUUGGUUUCUUUUGUAAAGCUUCUCGCCCUAGUGCUUGGCACGGGCUGGUUGUAUGGUGAAUUGAGAACCUAUAUUUUGACAGUUGUACUUCCAUUGAGACAGUAAUGUAUAUAAGUUUACGUUUAAGUUUGGAAUUAUUGUUAUUUCGUUGUUUUAUGGACUUUAUUGUCUUCUCUUAUAGCGACUGACUGAGUCCCGACGAGAGCUGGGCAGGCGGUCCGCCGAUACCCUGGGGUACGCCCUAGGGAGAAGUGGGGCCGUUACAGUUGGUAUCAGAGCCUGCUUCGCGUGGUCUCCGCGCGGAGUGAGCCUGGACUGAGUGAUAAAUAGGUAUGAUGGAUUAAGUGCUCGUUGGAGCAUAAGCUUUGAAUUGUGAAUGUUAUAGGCCUUAAAUUUUCUCGUGGUAUCUAAGGACAAUAGAUAGGUACGUUGGGAGGAAUUCCGAUUCUAGAUGGUUUACUCUUGGGACUGGCCAGCUCGAGAGGUGAAUUAUCUUAUCUCGGAUUCUCGUACCCGAGUACUCCAGAGUUGGGACAAUGUUAAGUAUAUGAGAUUUAUAUUUUGAGACCAUGAACAGGCUUUGUCCAACUAGAAUGAGUAUCAGAGGUUAAGGGAUAUUCAGUGUGAAUAGUAAGUGACGUGAGAAACCGGACGGGGUUACCUUAGCUGAAACUAGGACGACACAUCACCUCCUCGUUUGAUUCGCCAGUAUAUUCUUAUUAAAUGACGUCUAUUGAUGUAUUGUGCGUAUGAAUGUUUUCCUGACUUGAUACGUACUUGUGUAAUUGACUUGAUAUAUGGAGUGCUAUGUGCAAAUAUGUUACUUGUGUACUUGGUACCUCGCUAUUGUUGUUUUAGUCAUCUUAUCGCCUUUAUUCAUUAAAUUAACUUUUGGAAAAAAAAAGAGAGAAGGGAAAGAUAUAUCUAUGGACGGGAGACGUAGUCAGGGACGUGGUCGAGGCCGUGGAACUAAACGGACCCCAGAACCUAGAGUAGAAAGGGAAACGUCUGCCACGCAAGACCAAGGACCGAGAGUUGCAACCGGAGACCAAAUGGCGACGGCAAUGCAAAAAAUGACGGAUAUUUUGGCGAGAAUAGUAGAGCAACAAGGCCAAAUCCCUGUAAAUCAACCCCGGAACCCUGAGAUGGGCGAAGACAAGGCUCUGGAGAGGUUUCAGAAGUUUGCACCUCCAAAAUUCGCUGGAGGGCCUGAUCCGGAUAUCGCUGAGCAAUGGUUAGAGGCCAUGGUGAAUAUAUUUACGGCCCUAAACUACACGAGCAAGGCAAGUGAACUUCGCAGUGUUUCAAUUUGAAGGACCGGCUCGAUCAUGGUGGAACGUAAUUAGAGCAAAAUGGGAAAGGGAACGGACCAUAUGGACUUGGGCGAACUUUACCAGAGAAUUUAAUGAGAAGUACCUCCCACUUUUAGUCCAAGAAAGGAGGGAGGACGAAUUUAUUGGACUACGCCAAGGGACAUUAAGUGUGGCUGAAUACGAAACGAAAUUCACCAAACUAUCCAAGUUUGCCUCAGAACUAGUAGCCACGGAACCGAGAAGAGUAAGGCGGUUCAUACAGGGAUUGAACCUGGACAUCCAAGAGGCGUUGGCAGCCGCGCAAGUGAAUACGUUUACGGAGGCCCUUGAGAAGGCUCAACGAAUCGAGAGAGCCAAGGCACAAAUAAAGGCCUCCCAAACUCGGAAAAGAGGUGCAUCGGGCAGUGGAUUAGAAGAGUUUAGUGAAACGAUGGCCUUCUAAAGUGCCAAAAGUAAGCCAGUUAUCCUAUCGCCAUGGACAAUAGGGGCAGUUGAUGAGAGGUCUACUAAAGGAAGUCAAAUUGGACCUAAGGAGAUUUCUCAAGAUAGUCAAAAGAUGACCUCCCCUUGAUUUGCGGUUACUAUGGAAAGGCCAACCACACCGAAGAUGCUUGUUGGCGGAAAGGGCGGAAAUGUUUAAUUUGUGGAAGCAGUGAGCAUCAAGUGAGCAAUUGUCCGAGGAGACGUCCACGUGAGGGUAGUACUCAGUCACUGGAUGGAACUAAAUCAAAACCGGUGAAAGAAAGAGGGAACCGAACAAAUGUACCGGCCAAAGCAUAUGCAUUAGACAACCGAACGGUUCCGGACUCGCCUGAGGCUAAUGAAGGUAAAAAAAAAAAAAAAUUUCGAGGACGAAAUUUCCUAAGGGGGGGAGAGUGUGAGAACCCUAAACCUUUCAUACUUUCUAAGAGUUUUGGUUUAUUCCCGUUUUCCGUUUAACUGAAGUUUUGUCCACUAAUCGUUCCAAAAACGGGAAGGCUUUGUUGUUAUGUGCAAUUGUGUAGGAGAUAUGUAUGUAUGUGUAUGUGUUAGAAGUACGUUUGAGCGCGGCAUUCAAACUUGGAAAAGAGGGAAAAUUUUUCGAAAAGGCUAAAGGGCCGAAUCCGGCCGGAAAUCCGGCCAGUUCUUGGCCGGAUUGCUGGCCGGAUUGUUGUGCAGUUUUGAAAAAAUUUGUUUUCCUCUCGGCCUCAUAUCCGGCCGGGAAUCCGGCCAGAAACUGGCCGGAUUCUGAUGUGGCACUGCCGGUCAGCAGCUUUGACCGGCUGUUUCUUCCUUCUUAUCUCUUUGGUUCACCAAAAUAUCUUCAUUUCCUCUUCUUGUUCAGCCGUGGCUUUGAGAGAAAAAAACCAAGAAAAGCUUUUCAUCUUCCAACUCCAAUUUUUACUUGAAUCUUGAUACUUCACCGUUGGAUUUUCAAACCGCUCCGUACAAGUGUUGGCUAAGGUGGUUUAAAGGUACUAGUGGAGUUGUUUUUGGAGGGGAGGUUGCAAGUUGUUAGCUUCUUGAAUUUGAGGUGAGUUGGUUAAACAAGCUUCUUUGGUUUGAAUAUUGGUUAAGCUAGGGUUUGAGAUGAUUGAAUAUGUUAUAUUGUGAAGUAUUUCAUGGGUUUAAGGAAUUUAUGGUGAGGUUUUAUAUUUAAUUAUGAUUUUUCUGUUUGCAUUUGAUUUUGUCUAUGUGGCCAUGUAUGAUGAAGGGGAAUGUUAUAGCAUGAGGCUAUUUGGUGUAAAUGAUGGUUAAUUGCAAGAAAAUGUUGUUUGGAAGGAAAUUUGGAAAACUUAUGGCUUCAUUAUCUUCAAUUCUGGCCGGCCCUGUUUAUCAUAGUUAGAGGCCGAAUUAGCUUUGGAUUAAAACAUGAAAGUUGUAGGGAAUAACAUUUUAGAGAUGCCUGCAAAAUUUCAGAUCAAUCGGAGUAGUGUAGAGUGAGAAAAGUCGAAAAUACCCCUGCUGCCCUGGUUUCAUCCGAACUUCGGACUUGCUUCUGUAAUUAGCUAUUUUGGCUAGGAAAACUUCUGAACUGGUUGUAGAGGUCUUCUAAUGAAAUGUAGCCUGAUGUCCUAGCUAUCAUUUGGCUUUGGAAUCAAUGGAUUUGGACCUAAGUAGACCGAAUUGUAGUUCGUUAACCAAAACAUGGUUGGUCCCCUGCUCUUACGGUUCUGAACUAGUGUCUUGUAUUUUUGACCUAGUUGCACUACAAACUGGACUGAGUGACCUUCUACAUUGUUGUAUUCCUAUCUCUUAGCUUCGAAACGGUGGGUCUUGCACCCUAAUCCAAUAAUCGUAGUGCCUUUAGUGCCAUUCCCGCAAAAUGAUGUCAAGCAUUGUUUUAUCUGAAAAUGUUUCUAGCUUGCUUUUCAUAGUUAUUGUUGUAUUUAUAUGACUUUAAGCCUAGUGAACGGCUUUUGGACAUGAGAUUAUUCUAUACGACAUGUUGGGACUGAUUUGAGAAAAUAAUGAAGCCAUUAAUGGCUGGAAAAAUAGGUAAACACAAGGGACAUGCCGUCCGUUAUUUUCUUGUAAAAUGAAUAAGUUAAAAUGGUUUUUCGAAAAUGUAUUUUGUAUCAUAUUGAACGUAUUUCCUUCGAAGUAUCUUCAGGUCUUUGAAUAAGGGUUCAAAGACUAAAUUUCCAUUCGAACUCGUAUAUUGUCUUUUGGCAAAUAAUGUGACCGUUUUAUCUUUUGAAAACAUGAUACCUUUUCGUUUCAAACUUCAAAUGGUCCUUAAGCCUUUCCAACCGAUAGAGGUAUGAGUUCGGGUUUUAUCGGCCAUAAGUGCAUUGUUUCUAAGCAAGGUUUUAAGUGUGGAAGUUAAAGUAUUUUGUCCUCCUUUUCACACGAUUUUUAUCAAGGCAUUGGUUAGUUAUUGACCACUUGUAUAUAUAUGCUUUUGAAUCACAUACGCAAUUCCGAAAGAAUGUUUUCUUUAGCUCUAUUGCGAAUUUUGAAUUGUUUUGAGUGAGUGUUUCCUCUUAGAGAUUUUAUAACCUUCUUGGUUUGGGUUGCAUUAGGGUUAUUCUUGUCUACGAAUCCAAGUGCCUCGUUACACUUUGAAAGUCUUUUUACGUUUACUCGCGAGUAGUCGGGUAAUUGUUGAUUUCAUCUAAAUCAUGUUAGAUGGAUUGUAAUGUGAUCUUUGUGAAUUUUAGGUUUCAUUGGUGAUUGAGAAUUGGGCGUUGUUUUGCGGUAUAGGUGAGUGUUCCUUAUUUGUUAUAUUUCCUGAUUAUAUGGCUUGUUUGAAUGAUUGAUAACAUGUUAAACGCUUUCAAUGAUUGCUAAAACGAUUUUCGAGGCGAGUGUGUACUUUACCGCACUUAGCCUAAAUGAUUGUGAAAUUUUAAUGAUUGAGCGAUUGAAAUGUUAAUUGUGCAUGAAUGUAGGCCUUCGGGCUGAACUGGCCAUUGCCCCUUGUUACCGGUCGUCUCGAGCCAGUCGGACUCGGUCGAGCGAUUAGGAACUUGGGUGAACGAUCCGGUAUACUCGAGUAUUACCCUGUAGGUUGGUGGAGCCUGGCCAAAAGCCAGGGACGGGGUGAAUGAAAUGAAUGAAUGAAUGAACGAGGGGUUUUACUUAUACAAAAUGCAUUUUCAAAUGAUUGAAGGAAGGAGAAUGGAAGGAGAAUGAAUGAAUGAAUGAAUGAACGAUUGGCUCCUUGUGAGCCCGUAUCCUUUUAAUGAAUGUGUUUAUCGCUUUAUUGUACUUGUAUCGUGAAUUGUUGUUUACAUGCAUUUGUUUCUCUUGUUGCCUAUGUGUACGGAACCUCACUGAGCUUUCCAGCUCAUCCCUUUAGUUUUUGUUUUCCUUAGCAGGGGAAGACGUGCGAGGACGGAAGCUACGAAUAGAUUAGCCGUUUUAGUACUUUGGUUUCUUUUGUAAAGGUUCUCGCCCUAGUGCUUGGCACGGGCUGGUUGUAUGGUGAAUUGAGAACCUAUAUUUUGACAGUUGUACUUCCAUUGAGACAGUAAUGUAUAUAAGUUUACGUUUAAGUUUGGAAUUAUUGUUAUUUCGUUUGUUUUGUGGAUUUUAUUGUCUUCUCUUAUAGCGACUGACUGAGUCCCGCGAGAGCUGGGCAGGCGGUCCGCCGAUACCCUGGGGUACGCCCUAGGGAGAAGUGGGGCCGUUACAGUUGGUAUCAGAGCCUGCUUCGCGUGGUCUCUGCGCGGAGUGAGCCUGGACUGAGUGAUAAAUAGGUAUGAUGGAUUAAGUGCUCGUUGGAGCAUAAGCUUUGAAUUGUGAAUGUUAUAGGCCUUAAAUCUUUCUCGUGGUAUCUAAGGACAAUAGAUAGGUACGUCUGGGAGGAAUUCCGAUUGUAGAUGGUUUACUCUUGGGACUGGCCAGCUCGAGAGGUGAAUUAUCUUAUCUCGGAUUCUCGUACCCGAGUACUCCAGAGUUGGGACGAUGUUAAGUAUAUGAGAUUUAUAUUUUGAGACCAUGAACAGGCUUUGUCCAACUAGAAUGAGUACAGAGGUUAAGGGAUAUCCAGUGUGAACAGUAAGUGACGUGAGAGACCGGACGGGGUUACCUUAGCUGAAACUAGGACGACACAUCACCUCCUCGUUUGAUUCGCCAGUAUAUUCUUAUUAAUGACGUCUAUUGAUGUAUUGUGCGUAUGAAUGUUUUCCUGACUUGAUAUGUACUUGUGAAAUUGACUUAUGAUAUGGGUGUUAUGUGCAUAUGUUACUUGUGUACUUGGUACAUCGAUUGUUGUUUUAGUCAUCUUAUCGCCUUUAUUCAUUAAAUUAACUUUUGGAAAAAAAAGAGAGAAGGGAAAGAUAUAUCUAUGGACGGGAGACGUAGUCAGGGACGUGGUCGAGGCCGUGGAACUAAACGGACCCCAGAACCUAGAGUAGAAAGGGAAACGUCUGCCACGCAAGACCAAGGACCGAGAGUUGCAACCGGAGACCAAAUGGCGACGGCAAUGCAACAAAUGACGGAUAUUUUGGCGAGAAUAGUAGAGCAACAAGGCCAAAUCCUGUAAAUCAACCCCGGAACCCUGAGAUGGGCGAAGAAAGCUCUGGAGAGGUUUCAGAAGUUUGCACCUCCAAAAUUCGCUGGAGGGCCUGAUCCGGAUAUCGCUGAGCAAUGGUUAGAGGCCAUGGUGAAUAUAUUCACAGCUUUAAACUACACUGAGCAGAGGCAAGUGAACUUUGCAGUGUUUCAAUUUGAAGGACCGGCCCGCAUGGUGGAACGUAAUUAGAGCAAAAUGGGAAAGGGAACGGACCAUAUGGACUGGGCGAACUUUACCAGAGAAUUUAAUGAGAAGUACCUCCCACCUUUAGUCCAAGAAAGGAGGGAGGACGAAUUUAUUGGACUACGCCAGGGACAUUAAGUGUGGCUGAAUACGAAACGAAAUUCACCAAACUAUCCAAGUUUGCCUCAGAAUUAGUAGCCACGGAACCGAGAAGAGUAAGGCGGUUCAUACAGGGAUUGAACUUGGACAUCAAGAGGCGUUGGCAGCAGCGCAAGUGAAUACGUUUACGGAGGCCCUUGAGAAGGCUCAACGAAUCGAGAGAGCCAAGGCACAAAUAAAGGCCUCCCAAACUCGGAAAAGAGGUGCAUCGGGCAGUGGAUUAGAAGAGUUUAGUGAAACGAUGGCGCCUUCUAAAGUGCCAAAAGUAAGCCAGUUAUCCUAUCCGCCAUGGACAAUAGGGGCAGUUGAUGAGAGGUCUACUAAAGGAAGUCAAAUUGGACCUAAGGAGAUUUCUCAAGAUAGUCAAAAGAUGACCUCUCCCUUGAUUUGCGGUUACUGUGGAAAGGCCAACCACACCGAAGAUGCUUGUUGGCGGAAAGGGCGGAAAUGUUUAAUUUGUGGAAGCAGUGAGCAUCAAGUGAGCAAUUGUCCGAGGAGACAUCCACGUGAGGGUAGUACUCAGUCACUGAAUGGAACAAUCAAAACCAGUGAAAGAAAGAGGGAACCGAACCAAUGUACCGGCCAAAGCAUAUGCAUUAGACAACCGAACGGUUCCGGACUCGCCUGAGGCUAAUGAAGGUGAAAAAAAAAAUUUCGAGGACGAAAUUUCCUAAGGGGGGGAGAGUGUGAGAACCCUAAACUUUCAUAUUUCUUAGUUUUGUUUCUUCUCCUUUUUCCUUUAAGUGAAAUUUGUUAACUAAUCGUUAAAACGGAAGGCCUGUUGUUAUGUGCAUUUAUGUAGGAAUAUGUAUGUAAGUGUAUGUGUUAGAAGUACGUUUGAGCGCGCAAUUGAAUUCGGAAAAGAGGAAAAAAUUUUGAAAAGCUGAAGGGCCGAAUCCGGCCGGAAAUCCGGCCAGUUCUUGGCCGGAUUGCUGGCCGGAUUGUUGUGCAGUUUUGAAAAAAAUUUGUUUCCUCUCGGCCUCAUAUCCGGCCGGGAAUCCGGCCAGAAACUGGCCGGAUUCUGAUGUGGCACUGCCGGUCAGCAGCUUGACCGGCUGUUUCUUCCUUCUUAUCUCUUUGGUUCACCAAAAUAUCUUCAUUUCCUCUUCUUGUUCAGCCGUGGCUUUGAGAGAAAAAAACCAAGAAAAGCUUUUCAUCUUCCAACUCCAAUUUUUUACUUGAAUCUUGAUACUUCACCGUUGGAUUUUCAAACCGCUCCGUACAAGUGUUGGCUAAGGUGGUUUAAAGGUACUAGUGAGUUGUUUUGGAGGGGAGGUUGCAAGUUGUUAGCUUCUUGAAUUUGAGGUGAGUUGGUUAAACAAGCUUCUUUGGUUUGAAUAUUGUUAAGCUAGGGUUUGAGAUGAUUGAAUAUGUUAUAUUUGUGAAGUAUUUCAUGGGUUUAAGGAAUUUAUGGUGAGGUUUUAUAUUUAAUUAUGAUUUUUCUGUUUGCAUUUGAUUUUGUCUAUGUGGCCAUGUAUGAUGAAGGGGAAUGUUAUAGCAUGAGGCUAUUUGGUGUAAAUGAUGGUUAAUUGCAAGAAAAUGUUGUUUGGAAGGAAAUUUGGAAAACUUAUGGCUUCAUUAUCUUCAAUUCUGGCCGGCCCUGUUUAUCAUAGUUAGAGGCCGAAUUAGCUUUGGAUUAAAACAUGAAAGUUGUAGGGAAUAACAUUUUAGAGAUGCCUGCAAAAUUUCAGAUCAAUCGGAGUAGUGUAGAGUGAGAAAAGUCGAAAAUACCCCUGCUGCCCUGGUUUCAUCCGAACUUCGGACUUGCUUCUGUAAUUAGCUAUUUUGGCUAGGAAAACUUCUGAACUGGUUGUAGAGGUCUUCUAAUGAAAUGUAGCCUGAUGUCCUAGCUAUCAUUUGGCUUUGGAAUCAAUGGAUUUGGACCUAAGUAGACCGAAUUGUAGUUCGUUAACCAAAACAUGGUUGGUCCCCUGCUCUUACGGUUCUGAACUAGUGUCUUGUAUUUUUGACCUAGUUGCACUACAAACUGGACUGAGUGACCUUCUACAUUGUUGUAUUCCUAUCUCUUAGCUUCGAAACGGUGGGUCUUGCACCCUAAUCCAAUAAUCGUAGUGCCUUUAGUGCCAUUCCCGCAAAAUGAUGUCAAGCAUUGUUUUAUCUGAAAAUGUUUCUAGCUUGCUUUUCAUAGUUAUUGUUGUAUUUAUAUGACUUUAAGCCUAGUGAACGGCUUUUGGACAUGAGAUUAUUCUAUACGACAUGUUGGGACUGAUUUGAGAAAAAUAAUGAAGCCAUUAAUGGCUGGAAAAAUAGGUAAACACAAGGGACAUGCCGUCCGUUUAUUUUCUUGUAAAAUGAAUAAGUUAAAUGGUUUUUCGAAAAUGUAUUUUGUAUCAUAUUGAACGUAUUUCCUUCGAAGUAUCUUCAGGUCUUUGAAUAAGGUUCAAAGACUAAAUUUCAUUCGAACUCGUAUAUUGUCUUUUGGCAAAUAAUGUGACCGUUUUAUCUUUUGAAAACAUGAUACCUUUCGUUUCAAACUUCAAAUGGUCCUUAAGCCUUUCCAACCGAUAGAGGUAUGAGUUCGGGUUUUAUCGGCCAUAAGUGCAUUGUUUCUAAGCAAGGUUUUAAGUGUGGAAGUUAAAGUAUUUUGUCCUCCUUUUCACACGAUUUUUAUCAAGGCAUUGGUUAGUUAUUGACCACUUGUAUAUAUAUGCUUUUGAAUCACAUACGCAAUUCCGAAAGAAUGUUUUCUUAGCUCUAUUGGAAUUUGAAUUGUUUGGAGUGAGUGUUUCCUCUUAGAGAUUUUAUAACCUUCUUGGUUUGGGUUGCAUUAGGGUUAUUCUUGUCUACGAAUCCAAGUGCCUCGUUACACUUUGAAAGUCUUUUUACGUUUACUCGCGAGUAGUCGGGUAAUUGUUGAUUUCAUCUAAAUCAUGUUAGAUGGAUUGUAAUGUGAUCCUUGUGAUUUUAGGUUUCCUUGGUGAUUGAGAAGGGCGUUGUUUUGCGUGUCUAGGUGAGUGUUCCUUAUUUGUUAUAUUUCCUGAUUAUAUGGCUUGUUUGAAUGAUUGAUAACAUGUUAAACGCUUUCAAUGAUUGCUAAAACGAUUUUCGAGGCGAGUGUGUACUUUACCGCACUUAGCCUAAAUGAUUGUGAAAUUUUAAUGAUUGAGCGAUUGAAAUGUUAAUUGUGCAUGAAUGUAGGCCUUCGGGCUGAACUGGCCAUUGCCCCUUGUUACCGGUCGUCUCGAGCCAGUCGGACUCGGUCGAGCGAUUAGGACUUGGGUGAACGAUCCGGUAUACUCGAGUAUUACCCUGUAGGUUGGUGGAGCCUGGCCAAAAGCCAGGGACGGGGUGAAUGAAAUGAAUGAAUGAAUGAACGAGGGGUUUUACUUAUACAAAAUGCAUUUUCUAAUGAUUGAAGGAAGGAGAAUGGAAGGAGAAUGAAUGAAUGAAUGAAUGAACGAUUGGCUCCUUGUGAGCCCGUAUCCUUUUAAUGAAUGUGUUUAUCGCUCUAUUGUACUUGUAUCGUGAAUUGUUGUUUACAUGCAUUUGUUUCUCUUGUUGCCUAUGUGUACGGAACCUCACUGAGCUUUCCAGCUCAUCCCUUUAGUUUUUGUUUUCUUAGCAGGGGAAGACGUGCGAGGACGGAAGCUACGAAUAGAUUAGCCGUUUUAGUACUUUGGUUUCUUUUGUAAAGGUUCUCCCUAGUGCUUGGCACGGGCUGGUUGUAUGGUGAAUUGAGAACCUAUAUUUUGACAGUUGUACUUCCAUUGAGACAGUAAUGUAUAUAAGUUUACGUUUAAGUUUGGAAUUAUUGUUAUUUCGUUUGUUUUAUGGACUUUAUUGUCUUCUCUUAUAGCGACUGACUGAGUCCCGGCGAGAGCUGGGCAGGCGGUCCGCCGAUAGGGUACGCCCUAGGGAGAAGUGGGGCCGUUACACCCAAGCCAGGGGCGCGUCGCCCCCUUGGACCCCCGACUCGCUGACCGGGCAGCGAGAUCCCGUACGGCUCAGCGAGGGUACUUAACUGCAGCUUGGCCCGCUAUUUGGAGCUUGAACACUUGCAUCUUCAAUUGUAAGCAGCAUUUUAGUAGUCGUGCAAGGAUAUUCCAACUCAAUUCCUUCAAUGGCCGGUUUCUCUUGGAUUUGGAUGGCACGUACCAAGGCUUGGAGGGACUCCUUGAAUCUCUUAGCUCGUGCCCGUGUCACUGGGCCUAGGGGCACCUUCACAGGGUCUACUUGUACACUUUGGGUCUCGUGCUCAAUCGCAUCAGAUCUACUGGGAUGAAAUUGGCGAGAGAAAGGCAUUAGAUCCAACCACUAUUCCAUGGAUGGAAGAGGCUCGAGAAAAGGUCAAGUUGAUACGGCAACGACUCCAAACUGCUCAAAGCCGACAAAAGAGCUACGCAGACAACCGAAGAAAAGACUUGGAGUUUGAAGUUAGAGACCGUGUUUUCCUCAAGGUUACACCGUUACGGAGUGUCACGGCGGGUAGAGGAAAGAAAUUGCAACCAAGGUUCGUCGGACCUUACAAGAUCCUGCAGAGGAUAGGCGCGGUAGCAUAUAGACUAGAGCUGCCGUCAAGUCUCUCGAGAAUUCACGACGUCUUCCACGUCUCGAUGUUCAAGAAGUACUAUCCCGACCCCUCCUAUAUCUUACAACCAGAGGAGAUCGACGUGGACGAAUCGCUUGCUUAUGAAGAAAAACCUGUCCAAGUGCUUGACCAGAAAGUCAAAGAGCUCAGAAACAAACAGAUUCCGUUAGUGAAGAUACUGUGGAGAAACCAUGGGGUAGAGGAAGCUACCUGGGAAGUGGAGAAAUGCGAAAGAAGUACCCUGAAAUGAGUUAAGGUAAGAAAUUUCGAGGGCGAAAUUCUUUUAAGGGGGAGAGAGUGUGAGAACCCGUAAAUUUUCCCAUUUUCUAGGUUUUAUUAUCUUUCAUGGCUUGUUUUCUGCAUUUUCGUGAUUAGGAAAAUUUCUAGAUAUUUUUAAUGAGCAGAUAUAGUUUUUAGAUGAUUUUUCUAGUAUCGAAUAGUUUUUGAGAAAUUAAGAGCGUAUACCGAACGUGGAACCCACUAGUGCGAAAAGUUCGGAAAAAUUCGGCCAAUUAGGUUAAGUUUGGAUACUGGAUGUAAUUUACUGGGUGUUAAGAGAUAAGUAGAGGUUGCAAUUUGAAUUGGUGUGAGAGGAAACAAAGUGAUAGACUUGCAUUAAAUAAGUGACAAGUGUCACCAUUUGGUUGGAGGGACUUGUAAGACCACUAUUCAUUUUCUUACCAUUGACCAAAUAAAUCAAAAAAAUAACCAAAACUUCACCAUUUUCUCUUCAUCUUGGCCGAGCUCCUUGAGCAACAAAAGAAAGAAAACUCUUCAAGUUUUUGGCUUCAAUCUUGCUUCAAUCAACUCACUCAACCUUCCAAUCUUGUUUGUGCUCCAUAAAACCACUUGAGUGAUAGUGAGGUGUUGUGUGGAGUUAUUUGGAAAGUUAAGAGGACUUAUUGCUCUCUCUCUCUGUUUCUAAGGUGAGUUGUGAAGAACUACUCUCCUCUCUUAUUGAUGCUUAAAUCAUGCUUAGUGGUAGUAUGAGAUGCUAUUUUAUGGAUUAUAUUUUGAGUUGUGGUUGAAUUGAUGAACUUUUAUAAUUUUUGGGGAUUUUUCUGUUUUAAUAUGAACAUGAUUGUGUGGCUAUCUAUGAUGAUUGGAAAUGGUAUAUAAUGACUCUAGAAGGUGGAAAAAGUGGUUAAUUGCAACCAAUUUCUGGUUUGGAAGAAAUUUUAGAAAGUUAGGGUUUUAUUGGGAACAUUCUGCCUGGUUUUAUAGCUCCUAGUUAGAGGCCGAAUUAGCCUUGACUUAAAACAUAAAAGUUGUAGGCAAUGAUAUUUUAGAGAGACCUACAAAAUAUCAGGUCAAUCGAGUAGCGUAGAAUGAGAAAAGUCAAAAUUACCCUUGCUAUCCUGGUUUUACCCGAAUGUAAGAAUUGCGCCUGUAAUUGGGUGUUUUGGUUGGCAUUGCUUCGGAAUUUGUUGUUGAGGUCUUCUGAUGAAUUGUAUACCUGUUUCUAAGCUUUCGAAUGGCUUUUGAAUUUCUGGAUUUGGACUUAAGUAGGCUGAGUUAUGCUGUUUGCAGCAGAAUGUGGUUUGUGAAUCUGUUUUUACGGUUCUUGUGUAGUAUCUUGCAUUUUUGACCUGUUUGCACUCGGAACUGGGCUGAGUGACCUUCUAUAAUAUUGUAUCCCUAUUUCUUAGCUUCGAAACAGUGGGUCUUGCACCUUCAUCCGAUAAUCGUAGUGCCUUUGGUGCCAUUACCGUAAAAUGAGGUCAAAAAACUGUUUUUUUUCAGGGCCAAGCUAAAUCCAUUUCCGGAUUUUCUGGUUUCCUCUAAUGCUUGUAUAUGUUUAUGGAACCUUAUUGGGGUCGUAUUUGGCAUUGGUUUAUGACUCAUUAUCGAGUCUCAUUGUGCUUGUUUGCAUGUUUUAGGGCGUGACGGUGGUUCACGACGUUCUUUUGACGGAAGUGCAUGAAACACCAUUUGCAAGCUUGGUGAGUGUACUACUCACUUGUGUGUUACUAUAUGGCUUUGAUACUUGAAAUUGAUGCGUUGAAUGUUAAUUGAUUGAAGUGAGAGCGUACUUUAUCACUCUCACUUAUUGUUUAUCAUGUUCUUGAAAUGUUAUAUGAAAUGUUACAUGAAAUGAAAGUACAUGACUUGGUGGCGUUUGGACGAGUAUCCAACGACUACAAUUGUUAUCUUUGAGCUCAACCCUAUUGGUAGUUGAUUGAAUCGAGCCGGCGAGGGCUUGGUCGUGCCAAUUGAUGUGCCUUGGGGAAGUGUUAUAUGGAAUCUUAUAGUAUGGGAGACUCUCGAUUCCGGUUUACUCGAGUAAUACCAAAGUGCAAGUGUUUGGAGUUCGCCCGGUAGAGGAAUGUUAGGUGGAAGGAAUGGAAGUAAAGUUGGGUCUACGGUUGGUUAUUUUUGAACAUUGACGGAGAGUCACUGACGUCCGAUCAAGAAAUGCAAACGAGGGAAAAGGGCUCUUGAGAGCCAUCCGUAUCCUUUUAUCACCACCAUUAAUGUGUGCCUUUGUUUACUUUUGGCGAAUUGAAAUGAAAAGCUGUAUGAGUACAUGAACUUGGUUACUUACGUGAUAGUAUCUCACUGGGCAAUUAGCUCACACCGUUCCUUUUGUUUUCCUUACAGGCAUAUGACUACUUUUGGAAUGAUUCUUGCUAGUUGGUUGCCGAAUGAGCUAAAUGAAUGUCUCUUUUGUAUAGCUUAUGAAUCGAAACCCUAAAUGUACCUUUGGGGCCGUUUCACUUUUGAUUUUGGCAAACCAUACAUGUAGUAACUUUUGUAUCACUUUUGUAUGCCAUUUUGGCUUGUAAAUACUAAAUGUUAUGUUGUAUAUGUUUUUUGAUGUUUGAUGGUUCUGACGGGUCGGUUACUAUUCAUGGCCGACUCCGGAUUUCAUUUUUUUAUUUGGGUUAUUUUGCCAUUUUGACUUGUUUACGCGCGUUAUAAGUUCCGGAACGCAAUAGAUCGCUCUAAACUGCACCGUUAGUCCUGGCGAGAACUGGGCAGGCAGUCCGCUAACCCUUUGGUUCGCCUUAGGGGAAGGUGGGGCUGUCACAGAGAGAGAGUCGGCCAAGGCUUGGAGAAAAUGGUGAAUUGUUGGUCAAUUUUUGGGUUGAUUUAGUAAAUGGUAAAAGGAUGAAUAGUCAGUCAAAUGUAGGAAUGAAUCUCUAAGUGACACAUGUCACUUUCAUUAAUUACUUGCCUAACUUUUUGUCUCUCACACCAACCACUUGGUAACCUCUAAAUAUCUCAUAACAACCGAUAAAUUAAACCCAAUAUCCAAAUCUUAACCUAGUUGGCCGAAUUUUUCCGAAUUUUUCGCACUAGCGGGCCCACGUCCGAUAUACGCUCUUAAUUUUUAAAAAGCUAACCGAUACUAGAAAAAUCAUGUAAAAACUAUAUUUACUCAUAAAAAUUAUCAGAAAAUUUUCCUAAUAAAUAAAAUGCAGAAAACAUGCCAUUAACGAUAAAACCCUAGAAAAUGAAAAAAAUUACAAGUUCUCACACACAUCCUAACCUCUCAUUUUUUCCUUAGCCAUCUCAAAAGCAGAAAUAACACCUACUUGAUUGGUCCAUGAAAGAUGAAUUAACAAGGAGUGGUGAUUCAUUACCUUAAUCAUUGAUGCUAAAGUGGGAAAGAAAUUUUUUGUAAUUUUGUAUUAUUUUGAUAAAUUCAUCAUGAAAUUUUCUGUAUGAGUUUAAGCAAGAUGCUUAGAUUUCUUCACACUAUAUAUUAGAAAACACAAUUUCUUACUUUGUUCAAAUAAAUGGAGAGUCAUCCAAACAAAUUUUUGCAAUUAAAUGGGCCCACACUGGGGCAAAUUUUCAUUUGAAAGAUUUUUGCAAAAUAGGUCCAUACUGGGGCAAAUUUUUAUUUAUGAGAUUUCAUAAAAGUAGCCUACACUGGGGCAAAUUUUUAUAACACGUUUGAGGGUUUUGUCCAAGAGUCAAGCAAGACAUUUUUGAAUCAAUCACACUGCUCUUUUCAUGAGUAAUAGUUGCAUUAAUUUUCAAAAAAUAAGGAAUUUAAGUGCAUGUUGUACUUUGUUAAGCUCCCUGUGCAGGUAUUUAUGGCUGAAAUCGACGAAAAAGCAUCUGGUGAUAUGGAAGGCCGAUACCGAAGAAAGAGAAGAAAGAAGGAAAAAGGGCCCCACACUGGGGCAAAUUAUUUUUUUAAAAGAUUCUCUCGAAAAAAAAUAAAAAAAAACAAAAAUAAAAAUCCCAACAAAAAAACAAAAAAAAACAAAAAAUUCAAAAAAUUUUAAAAAACAAAAAGAAAUCAAAUUUAAUUUCUUGUGGGCGAAGUUUCAGCGUAUGCCGCGUACCCUUCUAUUCCCUCCUUUUCUUGACAAUCACACUUAAUUUCUUGACCAAUUGGAUGGCAGGAUUGGGUCUUAUCCCAUUGACUAUUCACAAAUAUCACGUUGAGCCUGGAUUUUGUGCCGCCAAUAUCCUGUUGGACCUGGAUUUUGUGCUGCCAACAUCACAAAUAUCACGUUGGACCUGGAUUUUGUACAACCAACAUCACAAACAUCACGUUGGGCCUGGAUUUCGUACCGCCAACAUUACAAAGGUCACGUUGGGCCUGAAUUUUGUGCCGCCAACAUCGCGUUGGGCCUGGAUUUCGUGCCGCCAACAUCACAAAGGUCACGUUGGGUCUGGAUUUUGCAUCACCAACAUCCCGUUGGGCUUGGACUUUAUGCCGCCAAUGCAACCAAGGCAGGCUCGGGUGUAAUCCCACUGACCAAAUCACCAUACUGGGGCAAAUUAUUUUUGGAAAGAUUCUCAAAAAUCAAAAGUAAAAAAAAAAAAUCAAAAAAAUAAAAAAAAACAAAAAUUCAAAAAAUUCAAAAAAUCAAUAAAAAAAUUCAAAAAUAAAAAAUCAAGUCAAGUUUCAUCACGGCAGGCUAGGGUUUAAUCCUACUGAUCGAUUGUCAGAGCAUUUUUUCAUUUGCACUACCACUAGCCGUGGGUCAGUCCCACUAGUGCGCAUUUUGUUUUACAUCGCCGCUAGCCGUGGGUCAGUCCCACUAGUGAGCAUUUCAUUUUCACUGCCACUAAACAUGGGUCAGUCCCACUAGUGUGCAUUUCGUUUAAAUUUUCGGUUUCGGAUCAGUCCCGAUUUUAAAUUUCCUGUUCGGGUCAGUCCCGAUUUUAAAUUUCCUGUUCGGGUCAGUACCAAUUUUAAAUUUUCUGUUCGGCUCAGUCCCGUUUAAAUUUCCUGUCUCGGAUCAGUCUCGAUUUUAAAUUUCCUAAAUUUCCUGUCUCUAGUCAGUCCCGUUUAAAUUUUCUGUUCGGGUUAGUCCCGAUUUUAAAAUUCUUGUCUGGGUCAGUCCCAUUUGUUAAAAGGGUCAGUCCUCAUUUCAAAAAGCAUCAGUCGUUCAAAUAGUUUGCAGCCGAAUAACACAGGUAGUAUUUGGUGUCUACGUCUUUGUCUCAAAUUUCUUCGAAACUCAGACAAAGAGGAGCAAACUGUAGACACCAAAUUUUUUAUUUCGAACUUUAUUUGAUUUUAGCUUUAUUUGUUUCGAUUUUAGGUUUAUUUUAUUUUAUUUAUUUUGCCUUCAUACUAAAUUUUAGGGAAAAAGGAAAAAAGAAGAAAAGAGAGAAAAAGAAGAAAAAAAGAAAAAUAGCAAAAAAAUGGCAAGUGGGGGCAUGCAUUGGGACAAGUGUCCCUUUGUAUUUUGGACAACACAACACCUAAGUGAUUAGGUGUUAGACCCUUGGAGGCCCAAGGUAUGGAAGAGAAAAGAACAGAAAAAGAAAGGGGGGCUUUAGGGGUGAAAAAAAACAGAGAUGGCCAAGAGAGUUUUUUUGGGCCGAAAAGAGAGAGCAAAGGAAAAGAACAAGGAAAGGGACUCGCGGCUAGGUUUGGGGGGAUCGGAGGUAAAAGAAAAUAGGAGCUUGGCCGAACAAAGAGAGGGGAAGCUAAGAAAAAUAGGGGAGGCUUAUGGCUGGAAAAAAAAAAGUAAAAAGAAAAAACCAAGGGGGUGGCGGAUGAAAAAACCGAAGAAAAAUCAGGAAGAAGGAAGAAAGCUGGGGGGCAGAGGGCUUUCAGCUGAAAAGGGAAAGAAAAACUAAGGGAGAAAAAACAGAAAGAAUGGAGGGCGGCUAAGGCUGAUGAUCCGGGCAACGAAGGAGCUAGAAAAGCUAAGAAGAAAACCGAGAGAGCUCUCAGACGGAGGACUAAGUAGGAAAUGGCAGCAGCAGCGCCACCACUGCCUUCAUCCCUUGCUGCCAUUCCUGAGACCAUCGUUCCAGAAAUCACCGUCACUCGCCGAGCCAUCACCGCCUCAUCGGACAUCCAUCACCAUCGUCUGCAAAUCUUCAACCGAACAGAUGCGGUAAGUCAUCUUCCCCCCUUUAAAAAUUCUGUCUUCUCUUCAAGCUUAGACCCAUAAGAAUCUCAAAACAGAGAUUAGCUUAUUGUGAUUUUUAUGUUGAUUGUGCGCAAUUUUGAGCAUACAUGCUUUCUGUGUUGAUUGGGAUUGAAUGUCUUUAUGUUUCUUACCAAUUCUUGGGCUGAUUAACUUCAGAUUGAACAAAGAAUCGAUGAAAUUUCUUAUGCUCAUUUGGUGUUCGACGAAAUGCCUAGCUAAAAAAAAUUCUUAUUGAAAGAUGCUUUGUUUUUGCAUUUUUUUUCUCAUGUGAAGAAAUCGGUUAAGUUGGUCAAUUUGUUUCCUCACGUUUGAGAAAUUUUGAUGCAUUGCUGCCUUCCAUUUUUCCGUUUCUCAUGAUUCUGGUUGAAUGAACUCAAACUGAAAUGGUAUGAGAAGAAAUUUGUGUGAUUUUCAUGUUGAUUGAAAAAGGCUAGAAUAAAAACUGAUUUUUCGAAUUGGCUCUGUUGUAAGAAAAAUGGAAGUUUCGGAUUGAUGUCUGAUCCGUGGGGAAGAAGACCGGUGGUCCGAAACUACAAUUUCAGUCCCUCCAUUUUCGUUGUGUUUUGUAAUUUAACCCCAAAGUCUUGGACUUCAUAAUUGUGACCCCCAAAACAUUCAUAAUUCAUUCAGUUAAGUCCCUAUUUGGUUGCAUUUGAACCCUCAAGUUUUCCCCUUAUUCUGAUUUGACUCAAAGAUUGGAAAAGUUGGCCUUACUUCACCUUUUUAGAUUUUAAUCAUCUUUUCUUUUAUGUUUUUUUAAGUAGUCUUUUGGGUACAUUGAUUUUUGAUUUUAUGACAUUAUUAGGAUUAAAUUUUUAGUGGAUUUUAUGGUUUGCAUGGUUGGGCUUUAAUAUAAAAUGUGGUUCAUUCUUGUUGGGUUUUAGGAAGUGGGUCUUGGAUUAUUUUAUGGAUUUUAGCAUGGGCUUGGGAGUGGAAGCCCACUCUUCUUCGUUAGGCUUGUUUGGGUAAAAGAGAUAGGCUGGCUUGCUUGUGUUCUUAGGAUUUUCGGUUGGGCUUAGGGGGUUUUUGGCCCAUCCAAAAUGCAAAAUGGCCAAGUGGCCUGUUUGGCCAAAAAGUCUGGUGAUGUUUUUUCAUUCCAGUUCCCUAACUUUUGAAUAUCUUCACUACGGCCCUAAAAUUUUAAGCUUCUUUCAAUUGGGUCCCUGAUUUAAUUGCAAAUAGGUCCUUGAACUUUAUUUUUCUUUAAUUGUGACCCCGAAUUUUUGUGAUUGGACCCCUAAAACUUUGUUAGUUCUUGCAAUUAAGUCAUUACUUGUUUUAAUUUCUUCAAUGUAGAUUGUUUACAUAAUUUAAUGGUUCAAUUUCAUAUUUAUCUGGUUAUUUGAGAUGCCUUGACCUUUUCUUUGUUUUUGGAGGAUAAAUAAAUAACUUCACUCCAUUAGCGCCCCAAUUCAAGGGAAGUACACCCUAAUCCCUUAUUUCUUACUUUAUUUGACCCUAUUUGACCCUAUGUGACUUUAUGUGUUUAAUUGCAUGCCUCUUGAAUGUUUGCACUUUAUUCAUUCAUUUAUUCGCUUUGCUUGUUUUAAUUUCGUAUAUUUAUUUUAGUUCAAUUUUGAUCAUUUGAAAGGCACUUGAAUGCCACAAUUGUAAUAGUUAGGUUAUUAUAUCAUUUUAUUUAAUUCAUUCCCCUUAGAUUGUAGUAGGAUUCCCCGAAUGUAAUAGUUAGGGCUUUAUUUGCUUUAUUUGCCUUAUAUGUGAUUUGCAUGUGUGUGCCUAUGUGUUUAUCGCUUUCCAAGGCCUUUGCAUCUAGACAAGCAUGCUUAUGUGUUACGUGCUAUGUGAAACUAUGUGUUUUGCAUGUCUAUUUGUUUUAGUAUUACAUCUGAUUAUGUGGAUGAAUGCACGUUACCGUGGCUAGUCCAAUGCCAGUCAUGGUCUUCCCCUCGAGCCCUCACAAGUCCAAUGCUUGUGAGAGAGCGUUAGUAAAGGGCUAGUCCAAUGCUAGACCCUUAGGGACCUCCUACGCUAGAUCAUGUUCGUAUGACUACAUUACAUUCUUAUGUAUAUUUUUCACUUUUUAGGGUCUUUUAUCAUUUUUUGCAUGUUCCCCUUAUACGUAUAUCCUUAUCCCUAAUUUCCCUAUAUAUAUAUAUAUAUCCCUAUGUGUGAUACAUACCAUUAGACUUGCAUUUCAUUUAAGAAUUAGACCUAGGUUAGUACAUUUGUUUGAUUAGACUAGAAAAAAAUCCCUUGGAUAUGGGAUAUGGACGAGUUUGGCUUUUCUAGGCUUAGCACGCUCGUAUUCCUCUAUUAAAGGUAACAUUGAAAGUCACAAGUAUAAGUUCCCGCACCCAUUAUGAUGCAUUCCUUUAGGUCAUACACAUUUGUAUAUCAUUAUUUUCUUUACUUUUUCUUUCUUUCGAGUCUCAUGACUUGCAUUAUUCGUGACUUCUUCAAAGAGUCUUUAUUGGGCAUCACAAUUAAUGUGAUUGGUACCAAGUAAGCUUUGAUGAUACAUUUCGACCCCCCGAUACCCUCUUAGGCCUAGGGUUUGCAUUCAUAUAGUACAUCCAAAUGUGAUAAAUCUUUAGGUUAAAAUAAGAAAAUCUUUGACUAAAUCGCGCAACUAGCCUUGGCUAGGUUGAAAGGGUGCCUUAAAUUUUUAUCCUUGCCUUCCCUUUCUUCAAAUGUGACUCCCGAAUCUUUUUCUCUGAUUUUCGUAGACUUGGAGUCGUUUAAAAAGGGUUUUUUCUACUUUUUCUUUAAAAAAUUCAUUUUUAGGUGACUUGGUACACCUUAACUCUAUACCAAGUGGCGACUCCAUUUUCCUUUAAAAAAGAACCCCUUUUAAACUAUAUUUUGGGUCAAAUCGUCGCAUUUUCAAGUCCUAUUUAGACCCAUGUUUUCAUUUUCUUUUUAAAUAAAAAAAUUUCCAAUCAAAAAUUGAAUCAAAAGCCAUUUUUCUAGACUCGUCUUUUAUUUUCUUAUUAAAAAAUGAGGCGCGACACAGAGAUACCUUCUUGCAAAAUUACAUGCCCUAAGCAAGAAAUCUUCUCCAGCCAAAACUCAUACUUACUAAAUUUUACGUACAAUUGAUACACUCUUAGGGUUUGUAAAACAAGUCGUAGGUGUUGCUCAUGCUCCUCUCGAUUUUUUGAAUAAACCAAAAUGUCAUCGAUAAACACAACGACAAAUCGGUCCAGGUAGGGUUUAAAAAUUCUAUGCAUCAAAUCCAUAAAAGUGGCAGGGGCAAUGCUCAGUCCGAUGGGCAUGACGGUAAACUCAAAGUGCCCAUAUCUAGAAUUGAAGGCAGUCUUUGGUAUGUCCUCCUUCCUAAUCAACAAUUGGUAGUAUCCCUGUCGGAGGUCUAACUUUGAGAAGACCACUGCUUCUUGCAACUGGUCAAACAAUUCAUCAAUAUGGGGCAGUGGGUAUUUGUUCUUAACCGUUGCAUUAUUCAACCUCCGGUAAUCUAUACACAUCCGCAAACUCCCAUCCUUUUUCUUCACAAACAACACAGGGGCUCCCAACGGAAAUCCACUCUCACGAUAAACCCUCUUUCCAAUAGGUCUUGUAACUGUAACUUUAACUCCCUAAGUUUGGCAGGGGCCAUCCGAUAUGGGGUUUUAGAGAUAGGUGACGUCCCAAUAACAAGUCAAUUUUGAAUUCUAUCUCUCUCUCCGGAGGUAGGGUUACCAAUUCAUCGGAAAAUACGUCUAGAUCAUACCUCUUAAUGGACAAGUUUAUUAAGUCCCAUAACAAUUUUUUUCCCUACCAAACUUCACAAUUCUAUAAACCAUGCUAGUGAGUAAACGGUGUUCCCCCGUCGGAGUACUAACUUCUAAGUCAUAAGGUAAACUAGCAGGUUUUAUAUCUAUUCCACACAAGAAAUCGGGGUUGACAAAUGAAUGGGUGGCACCUGGAUCUACUAAAACUUUUCCAAAUCGAUGGAAUAUAGGGAUCGUACCUUCUAUGACCUCAGUAGAGUCAGGGACCUGUUGUGACUCUAACGUGUACACUCAAGCCGACACCAUAGGCUUGGUCCCUUCCACCUUAGCCGAUCCAGAAUUGGUCCUCGUCGGUUGUUGGCUUCCCUUUCUGUCUCGUGGUAGACCGGCUCGUGGCAAAACCGAGCAAUUGGCUAUUUGGUGGUCUGCACUCCCACAGCGCAAAUACUUUCUUUCCUUUCUCCAGCAAUUAUCCUCCGUAUGGUUUGGCUUUGUACAAUACCCGCAGGAACCGCGAGAUGCAGAAACCGAACCUCCUUGGAAACUUCCCCUUUGGCCUCGCCCAAAUUGGCUACCUCUUGACGAAGCCCCUCUUGACCCUCCCGAUAGUCUUCCUCCUCCAGUUCCCCUUCCAAACUUGGGAGGGGUACUUCUAUUUCCUUGCCUUGAGCUACUGCCAGGAAAUCCUCGCUUCUUAUCUUGGAAGUUUCUCACUUGUAGCCUGGCACUUUCCACUCGUUGAGCCUUCUCCACAGCCUCACGAAAAGCAUUAAUUUGGGCCACAGCUAGGUCCUUCUGGAUCUCCACAUUCAGGCCCUAAACGAAACGCCUUAUUCUUCGUUGUUCGGUGACAAUUAGUUCUGGAGCAAAUUUGGACAGUCGAGUGAAUUGGCUCUCAUACUCGACUACAGUCUGGAUCCCCUGGCGGAGACGAAUAAACUCAUCUUCUUUUCAUUCUUGAAUCAGAGAAGGGAAAAACUUAGCGUUGAACUCCCUCAUGAAGUUCACCCACGUCUUUGGCGUUUGCUCUCUUUCCCACUUUAUACGAAUCACGUUCCACAAGAACGGGCUGCCCCUUCUAAUUGAAAGAUAGUGAAAGCCACCUGCCUCUCUUCCGCGUAGUGCAGGGCAGUAAAUAUGUCCACCAUCUUUCGGCCAUAUCCGGAUUUGGCCCUCCAUUAAACUUUGGUGGGAAAAAUUUCUAAAACCUUUCGAGGGCCCUAUCCUCGCUCUCCACGUAGUUACCAGGGUUCCCAGGGUUUUCGGGUUGGGGAUUAGGGUUUUGACCCUGAUGCUCUACUACAUGAGCCAAUAAGUCGGUCAUUCAUUGAAUGGCAGCGGCCACUUGCACAUUCGCCAGGACUACUAAGACGGUUAUACAAAACUCAAAUUGUUCUGGAAUAUAUUAGCGCGCUUAAACAAACCAACAAUCAUGAAACGGAAAAAUAAAAAUUGAAACGGUGUAGACGCCAAAUUUUUAGGAUAUUUUUUGUUUACCAUUAUUUUUUUAUUAGUUUUAUUUACUUUUACUUUUUUAUUUUUAUUUUCAAGAAAAAAGAAAAAUCAUUCACAAAAAAAAUAUGCUUUAUUUCUUUUAGAUUUGAGUUUACUGUUAUUUACACCAAAAAAAAAAGGCAAGCUCACGGACCCUGAGAAGCAUAUGAUCCAAACUUUUCCUCUACAUUUUCGUUUACAAAACGCAGAUACGGAAAAAUUCCAGCUCCAUUGUUUUAUUCAGUUUUUUUUUCUCCUCCGUUUGAUGAUCCUAACAGAAAACACUUGGCUUGAUCCAAGGUUUAUCACAAACCAUGAAGAUCUAAGGUUGUAAAAAAUUCAAGAAAAAUGGAGCUUAUUUCUGCGCCUUAGAUGCUAGGUUUCGGUGAUAAGUUUCCAAUAUAAAAAGUUGAUGAAGAGCUGGAAAAAGGGUAACAGGAAGGAAUAGAGAGUGAUAGCUGGGGUUGUGUUAGAGAGCAAAAUGGGAAAAGGAAAAGAAAGGAGAGGUUUUGGGACAGCAAAAGAAAGAAACCAGGAGGAUAGAAUUAACGGCGAGGGUUUUUGGGGAGUGAGCAAGAGGGGAGCGGCUAGGUUUAGGAAAAAACAGAGCAAGAGUGAGGUGUAGGAAAAAGCUUACGGUAAAGAGAAAGAAAAACUGGGAAAAGCAGCAAGGGGAAGAAAGGAAAAGGGGGCGGCGGCUGAACAAGAAGAAACGUUUGCUUCAGCCUUCAUACGGUGCUCCAGAAAUCUCUUCACCAGAAAUCUGUAUCAUUGAAGUCAACGUCUAUACGCAAUCUCUUCGAUUCUUCUUUGCUCACGGGACUCCAUAAGGUGCUAAAGGUAAUCCCUUUUGCUUCAUAUCUCCAAGCAAGCCCAGCAGAUUGUAUAUUCCUUCUUUUUUCAUCAAAUUUGCAUAAUCUUUAAUCUGUUCUUCAUUGUUCUUAUCUGUCCAGAUUCUCCUCCAGUGUAUCUCCUAAAGAUAAGCCGUUAUGUUUGGGUUAUGUUAGAACUGAUGAUUUGAAGGUUAUAUGGGUUUGGGGUUUCUGUUUCUGUUACCUGAUGAAUCUACGCGGCUUGUUGAACCAUGCCCGCUACCUUUUGGUGUGCUCGAUCCACAUUCUGUCUUUUGUUUGUUCAUGGGCUCCAAUAGUUGUUUUUCUGGUCUUCUGUGGAGGUUCGCUUGAUUGUGUCAAACCAGCAUAAUCUCAUAAUUUUUCCAGAUUUGGGCAUGCUCUUUUUCUGUGAACUGUUGUGUUUACAUAUAAGGCUUUUGGAAAAUGUUUGGAAAAUUUGCUUCUAUAGUCUAAGUCUUUGUUGUCUAAGUCAUUAGUUGUAUUCGGAUGAAAAGAAAUUCCAUCAGAAACCAUGAAAGUUAUGCCGCAAGCUUGCUGCCGAUCCAUUUUUGCAUGAAGUUUUUCCAGAAUUUGCAUCAUUUCCUUCUAUGUUUCUGCUUGUUUGGAUGUGAGUUUUGUGAUUUCGUUGAUAAGAUCAUAGCUUUGCUGUUUGGUUGAGAAGCUGGUCGUGUUUGAAUGAAAAUUACAUCGCACACCACGAGCAUAGCUAAUCGUAGCUGGAAAAUUGCAGAAUUUUGUUUACUUGUUGCUUGCAUGAUCUUUUGCCUGAUUUUUUUUUUGCUGCUUAAACAUGAGUUUUAUAGUGAAAAUGAGGAGAACUUUUAGUGGUUUUGCUGUUUGGUUUAAAGUGAAUUGGGACGAGAUGUUAAUGGAGCAUUUAGGAUUGCGUCUGGAAGUUGCAGCAAAAGCUCGACCAGGCUGCAUUUUUGUUUUGUCAAAUGUCAAGACCAUUGCUGGGUAGUUUAGGAAACGUUCAGUCAUAGUUUUCGGGAAAAGGGAGUUUCCUGGUUUGUUGCAGCAAUAAAGGUAGACAUUGUUCUGCAAAUAAGUGAAACCUUCGCUGCUCCAAGUCCAUUUUCUUUGUUGAUUUCAUGUUCAGCUCCCUUGUUUGAUUUCAGUGGGGUAAACGAUGGCAUUUGGUUGAUGUUAACAACAUGGGCUUGGGGUCAUUGCAUUUGUGUUUGGUUUGGUUUGAGUUGUUUCAUCAAUGUGUUUCGUUGGAAUGAGAAAAAUUGCAGCUAGCUUAGAAUUGCAGAAACCUUCAUCAGCUGCUGGAAUUUUUUAAGCAGAAAGCUUUGUUCGUUGUUCUGCAUGGAGUUUGCAUGAAAAUCUUCCUCAUUUUGGUUCUGUCAUUUCCUUGCAUGUGUACUAAGUUUUUGGGUGAUAAGUUUAUGUAUAACUUGGGAUUGCUUCUGGUUUGAGGUUAUUGUACGUAAUUGUUGAAAUUUCAAAGAAGCAGAAAGAAAACCCACAAGCUGCCCAGAUUUGCAUGCCCUUUUGUCCGACCUUUUGUGUUUGAAUCUAAAGUUUAUAUUGCAAAGUGAGAGGAUUAGAAAGUGCUCUUGUUGUUUUACGUUUGAAUCUUGUUAGAAAGCUGUGUUUGAAUCUUGUUGCAAAUUGCAGCAGGCUUCAUUCUUUGUUGCAGAAGGUUCAUUCGUAGCUUUGCAUGCCUUUUGCAUGGAAAAUGUUCCAAAAGUUGCAUUCCAAUCCCUCAAAGUCUCUCCUUGUCUUACUUUGGCCCAAUUAUGUUUUAAUUUCUUGCAAUCAAGUCCUAGAAUAAUUGCAAUUUCAAUCAUUACUUGACCCUUUCUUUGCUCUUGAACCUUUAGAGUUCCCAAAAUGUUUUAAUUGGGCUGGAGUGAUUGGUUAAUGUUUGCAAUUGGGUCCUUGAUAAUUUUUCUAUUUUUGAAAUUUGAUCAAUAAUUUACUUUCUUGGAAAUUAUGCAUUAUUUGAUUUCAUUUAAGUCGCAAUUGGGAGGGAUUUGGUGAUUUUGUUUAUACUUUACUAUUUAAUUGGUGCCUUGACCCUUUUAUUAUUUUGAAGCUAAUAUUUCCUUCAUUUCAUUACCAUUGCAAGGAAGGUAACCUCUAUCUCCUUAAUUUUAUUUCUCCUAUGUGCUCCUACGUGCUAUGUGUGAAUAUGCAUGCUUUAAUUCAUUUUUUUUUAUGUUUAAUCGCCUGUUUUGCUUUCUUUUUAUUUUUAUUUCUCUUUCUUUAAUUGGCAAGUCAUUUGAGAGCAUUUGAACCCCAAUUUGUAAUAGCUAGGUUUUGGCCCAUCUCUUGAAGACAUGUCUUAGCUAGUCAAUGUAAUAGUUAGGAUUUACUUUUAUAAGUCCUUUCCCCCUCUUAGAUUGCAGUAGGGCUCCCCUCAAAUGUAAUAGUUAGGGUUUUUAUUUGCUUUAUAUUUGUCUUGUGUGUUUUUGCAUGCUUAUGUGUUGUGUGUUACUUGCUUUCUUAGGGCCUUGCAUCUAGAUACUAUGCUUAUCUAUUAUGUGCUAUAUGUGAUUUAUGUGUUUAUUUGCUUUAUUAUGCUUUACAUGAUUUAUUUGAUUGCAAUGAAUGUGUGACAUCACCACACUAUUCCAACGGUAGUCGUGGUCCUCUUCUCCAAUCCAUACUAGUCCAAUGCUAGUGGUGGCUCUUUGUUCCGAUUUUUCACUAGUCCAACGCUAGUGAGAAUUUGUAGACAUGGGCUAGUCCAACGCUAGACCCUUAGGAGCCUUUCGAGCGUUAGAUCAUGGUUGUGUGAUAAAAUCACUUUAUCUCAUGCAUAUUUUAACUUUUUAGGGUCUUUUAUCAUUUUUUGCAUGACAUCCCUCCUUAUACGUAUAUCCCUUUCCCCAUAUUUUCCCUUAUAUGUAUAUUACUUAGCCCCUUUGUAUGAAACAUGACAUUAGACUUGCAUUUCAUCUAAGCAUUAGACCUAGGUUAGUACAUGUGCUUGAUUAGAUUAGGAAAAACCCCUUGGAUAUGGGAUGUGGACGAGUUUGGCUAUUCUAGCCUUAGCACGCUCGUAUUCCCUCUAUUAAAGGGAACAUUGAAAGUCACGCGUAUAAGUCUCCCGCACCCAUUAUGAUGCAUUCCUUUAGGUCAUACACAUUUGUAUAUCAUUAUUUUCUUUACUUUUUCUUUCUUUCGAGUCUCAUGACUUGCAUUAUUCGUGACCUCUCCAAAGAGUCCGCAUUGGGUAUCACAAUUAAUGUGAUUGGCACCAAUUGAGCUUUGAAGAGAAAUUUCGACUCUCCGAUACCCUCCUAGGUCUAGGGUUUGCAUUCAUACAGAACAUCCAAAUGUGAUAAAUCUUUAGGUGAAAAUAAGAAAAUUUUUGACUAAAUCACGCAACUAGCCUUGGCUAGGUUGAAAGGGUGCCUUGGAUUUUUAUCCUUGCCUUCCUUUUCUUCAAAUGUGACUCCCGAAUCUUUUUCUCUGAUUUUGGUAGACUUGGAGUCGUUUAAAAAGGGUUUUCUACUUUUUCCUUUAAAAUUUAUUUUUAGGUGACUUGGUACACCUUAACUCAAUACCAAGUGGCGACUCCAUUUUUCCAUUCAAAACACCCUUUUUAAACUAUUAUUUUUGGGUCAAAAUCGUUGCAUUCUCAAGUCCCAUUGAGACCCAUGUUCAUAUUUUUCUUUAUUUUCUAAACAAAUAAAAAAUGGGGCGCGACAGCUGGCGACUCCACUAGGGACUUAGAAAGUCCAAGCAUAUUGAUUUAGUCGAACCUUUUCUUCUUUUAAUCUUUCAUAUAUCGCAUUUGGAUGUUUAGGAUUGCGUACGAUUGAUUUGAUGGAUGGAUGGUUUAUUCAUGUGAUGUGAUCCCGCGCUUUGCAUUGCAUUUGGGGUGGGGACAUUUCCCUAGAGUCUCACGUUGGUUCUCGAUCCCUUCCCUCCAAACGAAGCACUUCAUUCGUGCAUACAUAGUUUUAGUCACCCUAUUUUUCUUUUUAUCGUGGGCGCUAUCCCAGAUCUCCCUGUAGGAUUAGGAAUGAUUUCCUUAGGUAGGCGGAUGGUGUGCACUGCGCCCAUGGCGAUGCCUAAGGGAUCACUCGAGCCACCGACCGAAGGCCCUGGGAGUGAUGACCCUUCGCUUUUAGGUCUGAAGGCUUGAGAGCUGAAGCCUUAUCGAGUCUAGAUGCAUUAGUGAGCCAAACCUCAUGCAUCCAUAUUAGAAUUACCUAGGGUAGAGUUUGCCUCACCCUAUUAGGGACACCAUUCACGAGGGGAGGGAUCCAACCCCUCUAUUCCUUUUAUUGCUUUACCUCUUUGUAUUGUUUUGCUACAAUGUAUUAUGUGUAUUUAUCUGAUUGAACUAAUUUUUCUUGGUUUUUGGCUCCAUUGCAUUCAUAAGCCCUAGAAAAUAAGAGUCCUGGCACGGUACUCUCUAGGAGCCUACCCUAUUUGAUGUGACACAUUUAAAUUCAAUGUUUCGCAUUUUCAGCAUAAAUACAUGUCAUUUUAGGCUCACCCCGACAUACGAAAGGGGGUUCCCUUUAGGUCACAUUUUCAUUUGUAUACUACAUGUUUACGCGCUUUAAUAAACUGGCAUCAUGCAUCCAUCUUAGAAGGGAAUGCCAUUUAGGGAAUCCCGUGCUAGGAAUGAACUGCCUUAUGUCUCGGAUAUAUAAUCCAAUGAAACUUGCACGUUUACAUUUCCUGUACUGUCCGAAGGGGUAGUGCACGAGGUAAGGUAGGAUCCGAUCUUUUCAAAUACGGCAAAACAAUUUUUGCACAUUGGAAUAUGGGCAUCUAACAAUCAUUUUUUGGCCAUUUAAAAAAAAAUUUGGUAAGAAAUCCCUUGCGUAAAGGACGUUAAUUUGAAAAAAUUCACAAAUAAUUCCUCACUAUUGAGAUGAUAAAUAAAUUGAGGCCAAAAUUUGAUUUUAGAAGUGCUCAUAGACUAAUGCAUCACAAUAAAUUUUUGAAACUACCAGUGGAUAGAUUGAUUUUCAAAUAAGCUGUCAAUUCAAUUCCCUCCAUUGGCCCAUUUUAUUCGUUAAUAUCCAAUUCAUUUUAUCAAUUUGUUCAUUUUUAGGGCAACAUAGUCGAUUUUGAAAUCAUUUGACUAGUUUACCAAUUCUUAGGGCAAUCUAGUCAAUUUUGAAUAGAUCACCAAUUUCAUUCAAUUCAUUUGAUUAUUUUACCCAUUGUUAGGGCAAUCUUGUCGAUUUUGAAUAAAUCAUCAAUUUCGUCCUAUCCAUUUGACUAGUUUACCUAUUUUUAGGGCAAUUCGGUCGAUUUUGAAUAAAUCAUCAUUUCACUCGAUCUGUUUGAUCAAUUGAUUUCAUUCAAUUCAUUUGAUUAGUUUAAUUCAUUUUUAGGGUUGUACAUUCAAUUUUGAAUAAAUCAUCAAUUUCAUUUGACCAAUUUACCCUUUUUUAGGGUGAUCCGAUCAAUUUUGAAUAAAUCAAAUUUCAUUCAAUUCAUUUGACCAACUUACCUAUUUUUAGGGCAAUUCGGUUGUUUUUGAAUAAAUCAUCAAUUUUAUCCAGUCCAUUUGACCCGCUUUUUCCCCUUUAGGGUUUAAGUCUAAGGUUCACUGAAUAAAUUAGUCGAGACAUUGCAAUCCUUUCAAGAGCAGGUUCUUUUGCACAUCAUGUAUCGAUCAAAGCAAGCAAUCCAUUCGGACUUUGUCCUCAUUUUUAGGGCAUAUGUCUCUUCUCACUCCAAUUGGCCAGAUUUUUUCAAAUCCUUUUUCAUUCAAUCAGUAGAUCGAAUUCAUCAGGUAUUGUAUGGUGCCUACUGUGACAGCCCCACCUUCCCCUAAGGCGAACCAAAGGGGUUAGCGGACUGCCUGCCCAGCUCUCGCCAGGACUAACGGGUCAGUUUACAUCGAUCUACUGCAUUCUGAAACACACCAACGCGCGCAAACAAGUCAAAAUCACAAAAUAAAAAAAAUGAAAAUCGAAGCCGAUGAUGAACAGUACCGGCCACGUCAGAAUCCGGAGUUCAACCAAACAUCAAUCCAACAUAUAUACAUCGAAAUUUAACAUUUACAAGCCAAAGCGGCAUACCAAAAUAUCCAACAAGUUCAUACAUGUGCAAUUAGCCAGUUACAAACCAACCAUUGGUUGAAACAAAACACUUAGGGUUUUCACCCUCAAGGAGCUAUUCAAAAUAUACAUUUACAUGAGCUCAACUUGACAACCAACUAGCACAACCUUUCCCAAAUUAGUCAUUUUUCCUGUAAGGAAAACAAAUGGAACGGAGUGAGCUAAAGCUCAAUGAGUUACUACCACAUAAGCACCGAAAAGCAUAUAGCAUAACCUUUCAUUUCAAGUACACAAUUAAAGAAUAAAACAAAUCGGUAAAAGGAUACGGGCGGCUCUCAAGAGCCCAUUUUCACGCUUACAUUCUUGAUCCAACCUCAUUGACCCUCCGUCAAUGUUUAAGAAUACCCGACCGUAGACCUCACUUCACUUCCAUUCCUUCCACGCAACAUACCCCCAACCGGGCCCGCACUCCAAACAGUAGCUUUUGGUGAUACUCGAGUACACCGGAACCAAGGGUCUCAUUACCACAAGAUUCCCAUUUCAGUCCCCGUGGCUAGUCAAUUUUCACGACCAAGCCCGCGCUGGCUCGAUUCAAUUGACUACCAACUGGGUCGAGCUCAGUAAUACAGUAGGGCCGUUGGAUACUCGUCCAACCGACACCCAAACAAUUUCCCAUGAAUGGAAUUCAAUAUCUCAUAUAGCAAGUGCAGUAUUACAGUGAAACGGUAAACAGUCAUUAACAGGAUAAAAAGGGAUGAGGGCGGUCAAGUACACCCUCACCUUAGUCAUUUCCAAUAGCAAAAUAAGCCUUCAAGGCAUCACAAUCACAUAUAGCAAAGCCAUAUUAUAAACAUUCAAGUGAGUAGUAUUCUCACCAAUCAAGUAAAUGAUGUUUCAUGCACCGUCGUCAAAAGUACGUCGUGAACCACCGUCACGCCCUAGAACACGUAAAUAAGUACAAUGAGACUCGAUAACGAGUCAUAAAGCAAUGCCAAUCACCACCCCAAUAGGGUUUCAUAAGCAUAUAUAAGCAUUAUAAGAAACCAGAAAAUCCGGAAAUGGAACUAACUUGAGCCCUGAAUAAAACAGUGUUUGACCACAUUUUGCAGGAAUGGCACUAAAGUCACUAUGAUUAUCGGAUUAGGGUGUAAGACCCACUGUUUCGAAGCUAAGAAACAGGGCUACAACAAUGUAGAAGGUCACGCAGUCCAAUUCCUAGUAUAACUAGGUCAAAUAUGCGAAUUACUAAACCAGAACCUUAAUAACAGGUUCACAAACUACAUUAUGCUGUAAUCAGUACAAUUCAGUCUAUACAGGUCCAAAUUCAGAAAUUCCAAAGGCAUAUGGUAGCUAGGACAUCAAGCUACAUUUCAUCAGAAGACCUCAACAACAAAUUCCAAAACAAUUCCAGCCAAAACAGCCAAUUACAGGCGCAGUUCUCACAUUCGCGAUCAAACCAGAACAGCAAUAGUAAUUUCGACUUUUCUCCUUCCACACUACUCCAAUUGACCUGAAAUUUUACAGGCACCUUUAAAAAACCAAUACCUACAACUUUCAUGUUUUAAGCCAAGGCUAAUUCAGCCUCUAACCAUAAUAUACAAAACCAGACAGAAUUGGGGAUAUAAAACCCUAACUUUCUCAAAUUCCUUCCAAACCAGAAAUUGGUUACAAUUAUCUAUCAUAUACACCUACUAGAGUCAUUAAAUAUCAGUUCCCAUCAUCAAGGAUAGCCACAACAUCACAUUCAUAUUAAACCAGAAAAUUCAUCAAUAAAUUGAAAACUUCAUCAAUUCAUCCAAAACCAAGAAGUAAACCACAAAAUUCAUCACUUUAACUACCACUAGGCACUAAUUAAACUUCAUUAAGUGAAGGAGAAAGUUCAAUCAUCACUCACCUAGCAAACAAGAGAGGAAGAGUUGCUGGUCCUCUUAGCUUCCCAAAACACUUCACCAAACCACUUACUAACACCUAAAGAAGAGAUUUUAUGGAGUAGAAACAAGUCUAAGUGAUUGCUUUGGAUGAUUUGCACUAGAUGGAUGCCAAACUUUGAAGAGUUUUUCUUUCUUCCUUGCUCAAGGUGGCCGGCCACAAUGGAGGUAAGAAAUGGUGAUUUUUGUGGUAAUUUUUGAGAUAUUUAAUCAAUUGGUCAAAUAAGUCAAAAAGGUGAAUAGUUGUCAUAAGUUACAACCACUCUUAAGGUGACACUUGUCACUUCAUUUAAAGCAUCUCUAUCCUUUAAGUCCCUCUCACAUCAAUCACAUCUUAACCUCUACUUAUCUCUUAACACCCGAUAAAUUUCAACCAGUAUCCGAAACUUAACCUAAUUGGCCGAAUUUUUCCGAACUUUUCGCACUAGUGGGUCCCAUGUCCGUUAUAUAUCCGUAAUUUUUCAAAAACUAUCCAAUACUAGAAAAAUCAUCUAAAAAUUAUAUUUACUCCUAAAAUUAACCAGGAAAAUUUUCCUAAGCCAGAAAAUGCAGAAAACAAGCCAUUAAAGGGAAAAAUCCUAGGAAAAUUAUUAGGGAAUUUGCGGGUUCUCACACCUACUGUGAAGACCCGAAAAAUUUCUUAUUUUAUCGAAUAUUAAUGGUUUAAUUAUGUAUUUAUCCACCUGUUUUCCCCAAAUAAUUUAUUACGACCAUUUUAAAUCCAUUCGUAUGGAAUAAUGUCUUCAUUAUGUUUUUAAAAUGUCCUGUUAACAACUUCAAUUUUCGGAAGGAUUGGUUAGGCGAGAUAUAGUGAACACGAGUGUUUCGAGGUGAUAUUAUAUUCGAAAGUAUGAUUAUCCUGGGAAAUUAAGAACGGACAAUAGCAGAUUAAGAAAAGUUAAUCGAGAAUUAAAGGUGAAUAAGUUCUAAGUGAGCAUAUACUACUCACGCGUGGAUAGUUUUCCAAAAGAUGUAUGGAUACAAUUAUUGGAGAUUUGAGGAGUUAAUACUCGACUCAUGUGAGGACUCGUAAAAACUAUUAUUUUAUUUAAACCUAAAUUUAUGGCUUAAUAAAUUAUUUAAUUGGAUUUUUGCCACGAGAAAUAUUUUCUAGACUUAUUAGACCUAAAUACAUGAUAAUAUAACUUCGUUAUAUUUUAAAAGUGACUCGUUUCAAAAAUUAAUUUCUUGGAGUGCGUUUAGUAAAAAUAGUGAAUAGUGCUUGGAGAUUUUACCGCGUAGAAACACAAUAAGUUUGGAAUAUUGGAAACUUGUACUGUGGUUCUAAAAUAGGUAAUAUUAUGAAUAAACACUCAAGUGAUAGUUAGUAGUGCAAUCGUUAUAAGAAUUUCUCGGAGGUUUCGCGUUAUAGCGUUAAAAUUUGACGGUACGCGUUUUCACACGCGCGACUUCAUUUGAGAGACUUUAGACCCUUAUUUCGGGACAAUUAAGAGUGAAGAAUAUUUACAUGAAUAUAUAUGCAUUAGAGGCUUAGUGCACUAGUGAACCAAACGCGCGAGAAAAUCGAGCCUAAAACGUGCCAAACGAGCCUUAAUGAGAGUUGACUUUGGGGAUAAUUUGCACCACACAUUGUGUCUUCCUUAAGAAGCUAAAUUUGGACCAAACACUCUCUCUCUUAGUCUCUCUCUUGGCCGAAUUCUCUGCAGCAAAAACACAACACAAAGUUGCCAUUUUCAUCUUCAAUUCUUGCACAAAACCUUCAUAGAUUCACACCAAAUUUGAACUACACUUAGUUUGUUGCUUGGAGAGUUCAUCUAGCUAGCAAAAGGAGGAGUUUUUCACGGUUUUUGGAGCACUAGAGGACCGAAAAUUUCUGGUUUAAGACACCAAGGAGGUAUAACAUCAUCCUACACCUUAAACUUGGAUUAUGAUGGUAGAAAUGCAUCUUUAAGCUAUUGCAUGUGUAUGGGUGUCUUGACAUUGGUGUAAAAUUUGAAAAGUGGGCUCUAUGGAUUCCCACACUUGGGUUGUUGCUGAUUUGAUGAUUGAUGGUGGUUAUAUUGUUAGUUUAGUGGUUAAAAUGAUGGAUUAGUGGUGGGUAAUUGAUAGAAACUUCAUUGGGUGCAAGAAGCAAAAAUUUCCGAAAAUACCCCUGUUUUGUUCGGCCACUAUAAGGCCAAUUUUUGGUGAAUUAUUGGCAUGAACCUGAUGCUUAUAUGUUAUAUUAGAUGUGUGAAAAGUUUCAUUGAAAAUAAAAGGUUUGGUUGGGCAAAUGAAUUUUUUUUGGGAAACUAGCAAAUCUGGAAACUGUUCCCGUAUGGCUCAGACCAGCUGUGGUAUUUCGACUAUAACUCUGUCCUCGGAUGUCGAAAUCAUGUGCCGUCGUCAGUGGCGUUUGAAACUAGACAUCCCAGGCUUUAAUUUGAGAUAAAAUGCAUGUUCUGAUUCUUUGUGAGUGAGCCGGACCAAACGUUUUAAGAUCACUGUCCUGUUUCUCGGAACUGCUGGAAUGGUCUGUAGAGGCAGCAACUUGAGGCUCAAUUUCGAGCUGGUUGCUUGCCAAAUUUUGAAACGAUUUCUUCUGUGAACUUUUAGUCCUAUGAAUGUAUUUUCCAACGCCAUAAACCACGCUCAAUUCCAAGCUAAAUUGACUGAGUUGUGACCAAAAUAAGAGGACUGCCCUGUUUUGGAAAAACGUAUUAUUUGGACUGGUUUCGGACAAAAACCCGUGAGUAAUCUUAUUAAUUGAAAUUUUGAUGCUAAACCAUUACCAAAGGUAUCAUGGUUGUAUCUUAGACCUUUAUUUCACAAAUGAACCAUGGUUGGAUAGCUUUCUUGGUUAAACGAUUUGAAUUUGGAAAAUGAAAGUCAAAAGGCAGAUUGCCUUAGGAAUUUUCCGGAACUUUGGGUGAUUAGUUCACCACCUUCCCGAGGGUAUUUUUCCCUGAAAUUUGACAGAGAGAUACCUUCCAUAUAGUAUCGAAAUACUGCCAAUUUUGGUAUCAAUCCAAGUUCGUUUCGAUACCUAAUUAAAUUUCUAGUGUUGGAGGUUCAAAUCUGGAAAUUCUUCUCCAGUCUUGAAUUUGCCUAACUUUGAGCUACCGUAUCUCGGUACUCGAAACUCCGAUUCUUGAUCCGCUUGUUUUGUUAUAAAUAUGAGAAGAAACUAAUAAAACUUCUAGACCGUAAAGUGAAAGAACUGAGUAAUAAGCAAAUCCCGUUGGUGAAAGUUCUUUGGAAAAACGAUGGAAUAGAAGAAGCAACUUGGGAAAUAGAGGAGGAGUUUCAAAAGAAGUACCCAAACCUAUUUCCAAAUCAAUGUAUGAAUUUCGUGGACGAAAUUCUUUUAAGGGGGAGAGAAUGUGAGAACUCAUGUUUUUAUUCUUAAAAUAGUUAUUUUAAAAUUAUUUACCCUAACAUUAGUUAAUUAUAUUAUCAUUACAUGAAUUUCUUUUAAAUUUCGUUUUAACGCGCGUGAAUCUAAAGUUCGCUUAUUUCGCAUCAAAACGGCUAAGUGGAGAUUUGAGAAAUUUAUACUAGACUACUAAGAGUGAAUACUUACAGUGUUAAAGGAAUUACAUUGGAGAAUUAGUGCACUAGUGCAAUAAACAAAAGAGAAAAGUGGUAAUACGAGACACUAUUCGAAUACUAUUUACCAUUGACUUUUGCAAAGCUUUUGGCCACAACUCAAACCCUUCUCUAUCUCGUACCUCUCUUAACCGAACACUCCAAGGGAAAAGGAGAAAGAAAGCUCUUCUCAUUUUGCUCCAUUCUUGCUUCCAUUUCACUUGGAAAUUCUCACACAAACCACAUCUACUUGGAGAUUCAUCCUAGUUUGAAUAAAGGCAACACCUUGUCAAAUUUCUUGGAGGUUUUGUGGUGGAAAAUUCUAAUUUCUCAUAUAGGGUUAGAUUUAACUCUUAAACUCUUCUAAUCUUUCCAUUUCCUUCAAGAAUCAUGGUUGGUUUUGCUUGGAUUUGAAACCCUAAGCAAGGAAUAUGCUAGAGGACUUGAGGAAUUUCAUUUCUUGUUUUAAUCUUUAGGCUAGCAGCCUUGAGGUGGAUUAUAGGUAGCUAACUUGAGGUGUAAUUGGUUGAUUGAUGGUGCAUGAGAGCUGGCCGAAACUGUCCUGUGGUUAUCUUGCUUGUAUUUUGUUGGUUUUUUGGCUGUGAAAUUGGUUGAUAUAUGUUUUACAUUGUGUGUACAAAGUGUCUUCCAAAAAUCGUUGCAUUUGGUUGAACAAAACUUGGGUUUUCGAAAUUGAAAGAAAUCUAGAAAUGGUAAUCUGGAUGUCCGGACAGUAGCUCUUUGUUUGAACGAAACUCUUUGUACAAAAGUUAGAACUGAGUGCCGUUAGUGGAAUUCAAAACUAGAUAUUUGUAGCUUUCCAACGGCAUAAAAAUCACUUGCUAGUUCGAAUUGAACGAACCGUAGUGAUUCAACAAAGUUGACUGUCCUGUUGUGAUGGUCUGUCCGAGCGGAACAGAGAAGCUGCAUCUAGUGGCUUGAUUUUCUCUCACUUGUGAACUGAUUUUGAAAAAGACUCUUUCUGAUGAAAUGUAGCAUUAUGGACCUAGUUUAUAACACCAUAAACCAUUCUUAAUUUGAACUUGUAUUGAGUGAGAUGUGGUCUGAUUUUGAAUGUACAACAAAACUGGAAAACUAGAAAGUUUUUCCCUUCUUGCUGGCCGAAUGGUCAGAGUUGUUUUGGGGUGUUUUGCUUCGAAAAUUUUGAUGUCAAUUGACAGCAAUUGCUUAUUAAAUGUUUAUAGGACUUUGGUUUCAAAAAUGGAUCGAAUUGGGGCUGACUUCAUUAGGCAAAAUGUUUGGAAAAGAAAGAAAAGUAAGAGGGCAGAUUAGCCUUGAAACAUUUUCUGAACUUUGGUCAUUUUAUUAAUUGCCUUUCCACGUGAUUUUUUGCGUGAAAUUUGAUAGAGAGGUAGUCCACAUAUGAAAGUUUAAGUGUACCAAAUUUGGUGUAAUUUAAAUAGCCUUUCAAUAUCCAAAUGAUGCUACGAAUAUGGCUUUUCAAAUCUGGAAAUUUCUGAUCAGUAUGCAAAAUUCAGAUAACUUUGAACUGUUAUAUCUUGAUAUUCAAGACUCCAAAUUUAGUUCCGUUUGUCGCGUUUGAAACCUUGUUUGAAACUCUUAGUGUAUUAAGAAUUUCAAGGCCUGAUUCACUUUCUGUGAAAUAUGCCGGAUUUCCAAAGAUUGCUGAAAAUCAAGACAGGAUCAAACCUGUCUUCUUGGAACUGAAACUUUGAGCUAAAUAAUAAUUAGUGCUUUCCAUCUAGAAUCUUGGAAAAAUAUCUUCUAGGAACUUCUAGUACUUCGAGCCUAGUUUCCGACAGCACAAAGUUUUCGAUUUUUGGAUAUACCAAACUCAAGAUUUAAUUUUUCAAAAAUUGUCGAUUAAAGCUGAAAUUUCCCGAUUUCUUAUGAAAUGAAAAUUUUGAAAACUUGUUACUUUCUUUUGAUAUUGAUAAACUAUUUUAAACUCGAUUUCAUGGUAGAGACAAGUUUCUCUUGAGACUUUUGAAUCUCGAUUUUCGAGUGAUUGACGUUCUCUUUCAUGACAUUUUCUUAGUAUUGCACAAGCGUACAUUCUUCCUUGUUAGCAAAGAGUUUGUAAGUAAUAGUGAGUGAUAGUCAAUUAUUAUUUGCCUAAGCGCUCAAGGGGAUCUUCAAGAGAAUCUCGAAACGGACGCCUAAAAGCUUGUUUGAGCACUUACUCACUUUUGACUUGGUGAGUAUCAAGUGCAUGACUAGUUGCCAAUUAUAUGAAUUGCUUCUUAUGGAUUAAAUGAUUUAUGAUUGUCGAGUCGAGUGUGUACUUUAUUGCACUCGUUCUCUUUUAACUGAUUGUAUAACUGAAUUGCUUAUAAUUGAAUUAUAUGGGAUUGACUGAAUAUCGAUUGGAGUGAAUCUCCUCGGCCUAUCACAGUAUCGAUCAAUUGGAGUGAAUCUUUUCGACUCAUAACGGUAAUUGGGGGACGCCCAAAUCUCAAUUGGCCGACCUUGCGACUCGAGCCAACAAAGAUUUGGUCGAGAAGUUCGGUGAACCAUGAGAUAAUUGUAAGUUUGAUCUAUUAAGAGAUCUCGCUUGACCUACUCGAGUAGUAGUACCUUUAUAGAAGAGCAGGCCUGGGACUGGGGGUUGUAAUGGUGAAUGGGAAUUGUGAAGAAAGUGGAGUUCUACGGACUUAAUACCGACUCGAUUGACAGAGUGUCAUCGAGGGAAGUAUUUGAUUGAGUUUUGGCGAAGCAAGUGGAAUCUAGAUCCUGAGAGCUCUUGUAUCCUCAUUGAGUGUGUCUAUUUUAAAUUGUGAAUUGCUUGAAUGUUACAGCUUUAUUUCUCGCUUAUGUGCUACUACUACUUGAAUUAUGUGUUUGCAUGUUUUUUUUCUUAGCCUCACUGAACGUUAACUCAUCCCAUUAGUUUAUUUUCCUUAACAGGAGCCGAAAUGGAAAGAAUUGGAGAAGCCAACUUGAUGGACUUUUGAUUAGGAUUUCGAAUGUAAUUGUUUAGACAACUUUUAGAGGUUAUAUACUUUGGAAAAUUUGUUGCACUUUUGGUAACUUAUGAUGUAAGAUUAAAUAUUUUAAGGAAGCGACUUUUCUUUAUACCUUCGACUUUUAUUAUUCGGUUAUUUAUCCUUAAGUUUGAAUUAGAAUUGUAUCGAGUCCUGGUGAGAUAUGGGCAGGCGUCCCGCCGAUACCCUUGCGUUCGCCCUUGGGAGAAAUGGGGACGUCACAGUUGGUGGCAGAGUACUAGGUUUAGAGAUCUAUUAGAGACUUUACCUCGAGAAUAGGAAUGAGAAAACUUAGUUAUACCUUAAAUACUGUUUGAGCGACUUAGUGACUUUAAGUUUCUAAUCCGGGAAUUGUAGUUGUUUUACAGGGAUGGAGAAUGGUAAUGGAGGACACGCUGCUAAUGGUAAUGGUCCUGCUAAUGGCCACGUAGAAUCUCUUAGGCCAAUUUACUAUCGAGCACUUGGUGGAGGAGAUCGUGUGCGUUACUCGCCUUCUUCUAAGUUUUUUCGAUGUCUCUGUAGGGCGAUACACGCUUACCCUAAUGACAUCGUACUGCCCCUUGUCGAUGAGCGCCAUCAAUUGGUAAAUGCCAACAGAUCUUUACUCCAGGAGGUUGAAGAGCUGAGCUUUAUAGUGAACGCUCAGGGUGAUAAGAUUGCAGAGUUAGGUGGGACGAUAAUGAACGAGUUGGCUAGGGAUGAAACCGCUCGUGAUGAGAUUCAGAGGGUUAGAGCUCGAUUGACUAGGAUAGGCGAGGAGAUCUGGGAUCGGGCUUCUGGGAUCUUGGCAGACACUACUAUGUUGAUUGAUAAGGUGAUGGAUGUUAUGCAGAGUCUAGUUCAGGAGGGCACUGAGGAGGAAACUUUCGAGGAGGAUCCGGAGGAGCACCCUGAGGAGGAGGUUCCGCCUGAUAGUCCUGCUAAGGAUUAGAUUAGGAGUGAUAAAUCUUUUGACUUGUAUAGUUAGGAUUAGUUGAGGUGGUGCUAAUUUAGAGGUCAUUGUAUUUUGCUUGACUAUGUAGUCUACUUUUGAGGCACCUAAAUCUACUUUUGCCAUGUAUGCCUAAUUGCACUCUUGUGGCACCUGUGUGUCAUAUUUUUGUAAACGCCCCAUGACUUGCUAAUUGUAUGAACCGUAAAGUGUUAAUAUAUACUAGUUAUUAUUAUUUUCAACGAUUUUAUGCUGGCUCUUAUUCUGAGUAUUUUCCUCGCGUAAUUAUUUUAUUUAUUGCAUUAGGCAUAACUAAGAUUAUGGACGGAUGAAGGAGUGGUAGAAGUCAUGGACGUGGGACUAGGCAAAUCCAAUUUCAGGGGGAUGAUCAGAGAUCGACAAUUGGGGCUAUCCAAGGACAAGAAAAUGUAGAGGGCAACCAAGUGACUACUGCCAUUAAUCGGAUGACUGAUAUUUUAAGACGAUUGGCAGAGCGAUAGGGCCCAGGGCCAUUUAACCAACUCGGGGGCCAGGAUAGAGAUGAUGAUAGAGUCUUGGGAAGUUUUUGAAAUUUGCUCUGCCUAAAUUUACCAGGGAACCUGAUCCUGAGGUAGCAGAGAAUUGGUUGGAGAGAAUGACCAACAUAUUCGCCACCUUAUACUAUACCGAAGAUAGGCGAGUAAACUUUACUGCUUUCUAAUUUGAGGGCAUAGCACGUGCUUGGUGGGACGUGAUAAGGGGAAAAUGGGAAAGAGCGCAGACCCAUUGGAUUUGAAAAAAUUUCACAAGGGAGUUUAAUGAGAAGUUUCUUAUGCCCCUAAUCCAAGAGAAGCGGGAGGACGAAUUCAUAAAGUUGAGGCAAGAAACCUCUAGUGUAACCAAGUAUGAAGGAAAGUUCACUAAACUUUCUAAAUACGCUCUAGAAUUGGUGAUUAAUGAGCGGAAAAGGAUAAGGCGCUUUGUUCAAGGACUCAAUGUGUAGAUCCAGGAAGGGUUGGCAGUAGCUCAAAUCUCUACAUUUACCGAAACUCUGAAGAAAGCGCAGAAAGUUGAGAGCACAAGACUGUAAAUUAGGGAUUUUCACACUAAGAAAAGGAAUAUUUCUAGUUAUUCUUCUGGACAGGCAAGUAAAAGUGCCCUACCCUCCAAGAUGGGAAGAGGAACGGGAGGAGUAAGGACAUCUGGAGCUCCAAGAGAGGUUUUAUCAAGAGGAGGUCGUAGUAGGUAAGGUCAAUUGAGAGGAAUACCUUCCAGUGAUCAGGUCAUAACUUCUCAAGUUAGUUGUGGUUACUGUGGUAAGUCAAAUCAUUCGAAAAAUGAUUGUUGAAGAAAGUCGAAAAAGUGCUUAUACUGUGGCAGUGCUGGGCAUCAACUCGCGAGUUAUCCAAAUAAGCCGAAGGUAGGAGAUAGCACUCAGAGGCCAGAAAAGUCAACCUCAAAACAGAUUAGUGCUAGAGGGAGUCAACCUAAAGUACCUGAUAGGGUUUACGCAUUGAAUUAUCAGCAGGUCCCCGAUGCUACUGAAGUGGUUGAAGGUACGAUCCCUAUUUUCCACCGUUUAACUAAGAUUUUAAUUGAUGCGGGUGCAACACACUCUUUUGUGAACCCUAUCUUUAUGAGUGGGAUAGAUGUGAAGCCAUUUAAGUUACCUUAUGAUUUGGAGGUUAGAACACCUAUGGGGAUCAAAGUUUAAUCGCUAACUUGGUGUAUAGAAAUUGUAAGAUAUGGGUUGGAGAGUGAAAAUUGCUGGCCGAUUUGAUGGGUUUAACUAUUAAGGGGUAUGAUGUUAUCUUAGAAAUGAAUUGAUUAGCUCGUUACCAUGCGCAGUUGAAUUGUAAGACGAAAAUGGUAGAGUUAUGUAUUCCGGGAGAGGCAACCCUAAAAUUGGAUGUAAGAGAUAAAUUAGUCACAUCUGCUCUUAUUUAAUUCGAGCUAGAAAAAUAUUGAGGAAGGGAAUUCAAGAAUAUUUGGCUUUUCUUAUAAAUACUCCUAGUGAUAAGGUGAAAUUGAAAGAUAUGCCUGUAGUGAAAGAGUAUCCGAAUGUUUUUCCUAAAAAAUUAGAGUUUUUGCCUUCGGAAAGGGAGAUAACUUUUACGAUUGAUGUGAUUCUAAGGGUAGCACCUAUCUCUAAAACGCCAUACAGAAUGACUUCGGUUAAAUUGAAAGAGUUAAAGUUCCAAUUACAGGACCUUCUAGCGCCAGGAUUUAUAAAGGAAAGUGAUUCACCGUGGAAAGCACCGGUGUUGUUCGUUAAAAAAAAGAUGGGAGUUUAAAACUGUGUAUAGACUACCGAGACUUGAACGAUAUUACCAUUAACAAUAAAUAUCCUUUACCCCACAUUGAUGAAUUGUUUGACCAAUUGCAAGGGGCGGUAGUAUUCUCAAAAUUGGAUCUCAGGCAGGGUUAUUAUCAAUUGAGAAUUUUGAAAAAUGAUAUACCUAAAACUACCUUUAACUCGAGGUAUGGACACUUUGAGUUCGCAGUAAUGCCGUUCAGAUUGACUAAUGCACCUGCGACUUUUAUGGAUUUAAUGCACAGAAUCUUUAAAUCUUAUCUGGACCAGUUUGUAGUGGUAUUCAUUUGACAAUAUACUAGUAUAUAUUUCAAAAUUUUGGAUGAUCAUGAGAAACAUUUGAGAAUUAUUUUACAAACUUUGAGUGAGCAUCAGUUGUAUGCUAAGUUUAGCAAAUGUGAAUUUUGAUUGAAACAAAUGACUUUCUUAGGCCAUAUAAUUUUGAAGCAUGGAAUUAAGAUGGAUCUAACCAAAAUUGAAGUGAUUUCUAACUGGAAGCAACCAGAAAAUCCUACUAAAAUUCAAAAUUUUAUAGGGUUAGCAGGAUAUUAUCAGAGGUUUAUCAAAGAUUUUUCUAAAAUUACUAGACCCAUGACUGGGUUGACUAAGAAAAGUGAAAAAUUUAUAUGGAACCCGAAAUGUGAAGAAAGUUUUCAGGAGUUGAAGAAACGUUUGACAAGGGCACCUGUGAUAGCUUUAUCAAAUGGAAAGGAUAAUUUUGUGGUCUAUACAGAUGCUUCAAAAGAGAAUUUGGGAUGUGUAUUGAUGCAAAAUGAUAAGAUGAUAGCAUAUGUCUCUAGGAAACUAAAACCGCACGAGAGAAAUUAUCCAACUCAUGACUUAAAGUUAGUAACUAUUGUAUUUGCAUUAAAAAAGUGGAGGCAUUACCUCUAUGGAGUAACAUUUGUGAUUUUUACAGACCACAAGAGUCUUAAAUAUUUAUUUUUUCAAAAAGAGCUGAAUUUGAAACAACGUAUGUGGAUAAAAUUCUUGAAAAACUAUGAUUACAUGAUAAAUUACCAUCCAGAAAAAGCAAAUGUAGUGGCUGAUGCUUUAAGUCGUCAAGUGCAGGUGGCAGGAUUGAUGAUUAAAAAAUUGCACUUGUUGGAAAAAAUUAGUUGUUGGAAUCCUCGACUUGAAUCUAGAAAAUUGAUCUUUGGAAAUAUUGUCAUGAAAUCCAUUUCGUUGGAACAUAUUAAGGAAGCUCAAGAGAAGGAUUCUGAAGUACAAAAAUGGUUGGAUAAAGCGAAUAAAGGGGAAAAGUCAGAUUUUAACUUGAGAACAAACGGUGUAUUAAAAUUUUGAAAUCGUAUAGUAGUGCCAAAGGAUGAAGAGUUUAAGAAAGAAAUUUUGAAGGAAGCACACCGAUCUAAGUACACAGUAUAUCUUGGAGGGAAUAAAAUGUACCAAGAUUUGAAGAGUUUGUACUAGUGGAAGAACAUGAAAAAGAAAAUUGCUCAGUUUGUCCAAACUUGUCUAAUUGCCAGCAAGUUAAAGCCGAGUAUCAAAAAUCAUCUGGUUUUUUGCAACCCUUAGAAAUACCCGAGUGGAAGUGGAAAAAUAUUACCAUGAAUUUUAUAUCUGGAUUACCAAGAACACAAAGAGAUCAUGAUGCAGUUUGGGUGAUAGUAGAUAGAUUGACCAAAUCGACUCACUUUCUGCCGAUUAGUAUGAAGUACCCAUUGGAGAAGUUUGCUAAAUUAUACUUGGAUGAAAUUAUAAGGUUACAUGGUAUACCUGUAAGUAUUGUGUCCGAUCGAGACCCUAAAUUUGUUUCGCGAUUUUGGCAAAAAAUACAAAAAGUGUUAGGGACUAAAUUGAAUUUUAGCACUACCUACCACCCACAGACUGAUGGACAAUCGGAGAGGACGAUUCAGACUCUUGAGAACAUGUUAAGAACUUGUAUUUUGGAUUUUGGAAAGAAUUGGAGUAAAUACUUGACAUUGGUGGAGUUUACUUAUAAUAAUAGUUUCCAUUCAUCCAUUCAUAUGGCUCCGUACGAAACACUUUAUGGCCAAAAGUGUAUAUUUCCAAUUUAUUGGGAUGAAAUAGGUGAAAGAAAGAUUUAAACCCAACUACAGUGCCUUGGAUUGAGGAGGCGCGAGAAAAAAUAAAGUUAAUACGCCAGAGGAUUCAAACUGCACAGAGUCGUCAGAAGAACUAUACAGACAAUCGAAAGAAGGAUUUAGAAUUUGCGGUUGGAAACCAAGGAGCCGCAUGGAACUUGAGUUUUUUGGAAGAUUGUCUAAAACUUUACUGUAGUGCACUGUAGAAGUUUUUGAAAAAAAUUUUUAAGAUGAAAAACUUUUUUAAGAUGAAAAACUUUUUUUCUUUUCUUUUUCUCUUUCUCUUUCUUUUUCAAUCCUUCCUUUUUCUUUUCUUUCCUCUCUUCUUCUUCUUCUUCUUCUUCCUUCCCCCUCCCCCGUUACCUCUGCCUUUCCAGUAGCCAUGGUCCUACCAUUUUUUUUCUUUUCUUUCUUUUUGUCUUUCUUUUUCUUUUUCAUUUUUUUCUUUUUCUUUUCUUUUCUCUCUUCUUCUUCUUCUUCUUCUUCUUCCUUCCCCCUCCCUCUUCCCUGGUGGUACCAGACCUCUGCCUCGUUGAACAACCAGCAGCCAUGGUCCCAAAUUUUUUUUCUUUUUCUCUUCCCCUCUUCUCCCUCUCUACUCGCCUCUCCCCCUCUACUCCUUUUUACCCUUCCCCUCUCUCUCCCGAAGCCAGAGAACCAACAGGCAUGGCCAAACAAUUUUUUUUUUUACUUUUUCUAUCCCCCUCUUCUCCCUCUCCCUCUCCCCCUCUCCAACCCUUUCAUACUCUCCUUCCCUUCCCCCUCCCUCUUUGCCCAAUCCGGUCGUGUGACCAGAUCGCAAAUGCGGUCUGGUGCCACGACUGGCUGCGAUCUGGUCGAGUGACCAGAUCGCAGCUAGGGAAGAGAGAAGGUGGCCAGGGAGGGGAGGGAAGGAGAGGAGGAGCGAGAGAAGGAGAGGGAGAAAAAAAGGAAAAAAAAUGGAAGGUCGGCGCUGAAAGCAGCAGCGGAGAUGGAGGUGGCCGACGAUAAAGGAGUCGUGGAUCGGGGUGGGGGAGAAGGAAGAGGAAAAGAGGACGUUUUUUGUACAUUAGAUAUUUUGAAGUGUGUAGGUUAAAAAAUUUUAUAAGUUUUUUUGGGUUCUUGUAGCUAAAGUUGUUAAAAAAUUAGUAGCUAAAAAACUUGGCCAAAAAACUCGGUUCCAAACAGGACCCAAGUUUUUCUUAAGAUCAGUCCUCUGAAAGCGAGUUUGAUGGCAAGUAGAGAAAAGAAGUUACAACCGAAAUUUGUAUAACCAUAUAAGAUACUUUAACGUGUAGGGAAUGUGACUUAUAAGUUGGAAUUGCCACCUAAUUUAUCUCGGAUCCAUAACGUUUUCCACAUAUCGAUGUUCAAGAAAUAUCAUUCAGAUUCAUCUCAUGUCCUGCAACCAGAAAAUAUUAAGAUUGACAAGACACUAACCUAUAAGGAGAAACCAAUAAAGUUUCUAGACCGUAAGGUGAAAGAACUGAGGAAUAAGGGAAUCCCGUUGGUGAAAGUUCUUUGGAGAAACCAUGAAAUAGAAGAAGCAACUUGGGAAAUAGAUGAGGAUUUUCAAAAGAAGUACCCAGACUUUUUUCCAAAUCAAGGUAUGAAUUUCGUGGACGAAAUUCUCUUAAGGGGGAGAGGAUUUGAGAACUCGUGUUUUUAUUCUUAAAAUAGUUAUUUUACAAUUAUUGACCCUAGUAUUAGUUAAUUAUAUUAUCGUUACAUGAAUUUCUUUUAAAUUUCGCUUUAACGUGCGCGAAUCGAAAGUUCGCUUAUUUCGCGUCAAAACGACUAAGUGAAGAUUUGAAAAUUUUAUACUAGAUUACUAAGAGUGAAUACUUACAGUGUUAAAGGAAUUACAUUGGAGGAUUAGUCACUAGUACAACAAACAAGAGAGAAAAGUGUAGUACGAGACACUAUUCGAAUACUAUUUACAGUUGACUUUGGCAAAGUUUUUUGCCACAAUUUCUUCAAUCUCCCAAGGGAAGAUUCACACAAUUCAAAUCCUUCUCUCUCUCCUACCUCUCUCGGAUGAACACUCCAAGGGAAAAGGAGGAAGAAAGCUCUUCUUAUUUUGCUCCAUUCUUGCUUCCAUUUCACUUGGAAAUUCUCACCCAAAUCACAUACUAUUUGGAGAUUCAUCCUAGCUUGAAGAAAGGCAACAUUUUGGGGAAUUUCUUGGAGGUUUUGUGGUGAAAAAUUCUGAUUUCUCAUCUAGGGUUAGAGGUAACCCUUGAACUCUUCUAAUCUUUUCAUUUCCUUCAAGAAUCAUGGUUGGUUUUGCUUGGAUUUGAAACCCUAAGCAAGGAAUAAGUUAGAUGACUUGAGAAAUUUCAUUUCUUGUUUUAAUGUUUAGGCUAGCAGCCUUGAGGUGGAUUAUAGGUAGCAAACUUGAGGUGUAAUUGGUUGACUGAUGUUGUUUAUGUGUUGUAUGAGAUGAUAUUGGUUAGAAAGUGAAGGAAAAAUCGAAGGAAAAUGGUGCAUGAGAGCUGGCCGAAAUUGUCCCGUGGUUAUCUUGCUUGUAUUUCAAAUUUUUGUUGGUCAUUUGGCUGUAAAAUUGAUUGAUAUAUGUUGUACAUUGUGUGUGCAAAGUGUCUUCCAAAAAUCGUUGCAUUUGGUUGAACAAAACUUGGGUUUUCGAAAUUGAAAGAAAUCUGGAAAUGGUAAUCUGGAUGUUCGGACAGUAGCUCUUUGUUUGUACGAAACUCUUUGUACAAAAGUCAGAAUUGAGUGCCGUUAGUGGCAUUCAAAACUAGACAUUCGUAGCUUUCCAACGGUAUAAAAAUCACUUGCUAGUUUGAAUUGAGUGAACCGUAGUGAUUUAACAAAUUGAUUGUCCUGUUGUGAUGGUCUGUCCGAGAGGAAUAGAGAAGCUGCAUUUAGUGGCUUGAUUUUCUCUCACUUGUGAACUGAUUUUAGAAACGACUCUUUCUGAUGACGUACCAAACUGAUUUUGGACGUACCAAACUCAAGAUUUGAUUUUUCAAAGAUCGUUUAAAGGUGAAAUUUUCCGAUUUCUUAUGAAAUGAAUAUUUUGAGAACUUGUUACUUUCUUUUGAUAUCGAUAAACUGUUUUAAACUAGAUUUCAUGGUAGAGACAAGUUUCUCUUGGGCUUUUAAACCCUCACUUUUGAAUCUCGAUUUUCGAGUUAUUAAGAUUCUCUUUCAUGACAUUUUCUAAGUAUUGCACAAGUGGACAUUCUUCCUUGUUAGAAAGGGGUUUGUAAGUAAUAGUGAGUGAUAGUCAAUUAUUAUUUGUCCAGACGUUCUAGGGGAUCUUCAAGAGAAUCUUGAAGCGGACUCCUAAAAAUUUGUUUGAGCACUUACUCACUUUUGACUUGGCGAGUGUCAAGCGCAUGAUUAGUUGCCAAUUAUAUGAAUUGCUUCUUAUGGAUUAAAUGAUUUAUGAUUGUCGAGUCGACUGUGUACUUUAUUGCACUCAUUCUCUUUUAACUGAUUGUAUAACUGAACUACUCAUAAUUGAAUUGUAUGGGAUUAACUGAAUGCCGAUUGGAGUGAAUCUCCUCGGCCUAUAACAGUAUCGGUCGUGGAGUGAAUCUCCUUGACUCAUAACAGUAAUUGGGGGAUGCCCAAAUCUCAAUUGGCCGACCUUGCGACUCGAGCCAGCAAGGGCUUGGUCGAGAAGCUCGAUGAACCAUGAGAUAAUUGUAAGCUUGAUCUAUUAAGAGAUCUCGUUUGGCAUAUUCGAGUAGUAGUGCCUUUUAUAGAAGAGCGGGCCCGGGACUGGGAGUUGUAAUGGUGAACUGGAAUUGUGAAGAAAGUGGAGUUCUACGGACUUAAUAUCGACCCGGUUGACGGAAUGCCAUCGCAGGGAAGUAUUUGAUCAAGCCUUGGCGAAACAAGUAGAACCUAACUCCUGAGAGCUCCUGUAUCCUCAUUGAGUGUGUCUAUUUUAAAUUGUCAAUUGCUUGAAUGUUACAACUUUAUUUCUCACUUAUGUGCUAUUGCUACUUGAACUAUGAGUUUGUAUGUUUUUUUUCUUGGCCUCACUGAGCGUUAGCUCAUCCCAUUAGUUUUGUUUUCUUUAACAGGAGCCGAAAUGGAAAGAAUUGGAGAAGCCAACUUGAUGGACUUAUGAUUAAAGUUUUGAAUGUAAUUGUUUAAACAACUUUUGGAGGUUGUAUAUUUUGGGAAAUGUUGAUGUACUUUUGGUAACUUGUGAUGUAAGAUUAAAUAUUUUAAGGAAGCGACUUUUCUUUACACCUUCGACUUUUAUUAUUCGGUUAUUUAUCCUUAAGUUUGAAUUGAAAUUGUAUUAAGUCCUGGCGAUAGUUGGGCAGGCGUCCCGCCGAUACUCUUGGGUUCGCUCUUGGGAGAAGUGCGGGCGUCACAUUAAAGAAAAAUAAUAAUCAACUAAGAAAAAAAAGAUUUAAGAAAAGAGUAAAGGAAAUUUAUCCAAGAUAGAUGUAAUCUCCUUUUUCUUCCUCCAAUCUUCAAUAAAGUCCUAACUAAGAGAAAUAUGAGAAAAAAACUAAUCUACCCUAUACUACUCCUAAUACCUACUCCUUUCGUCCAUAAAAGUUCGUCACUUUUCAGGAACAUGAAUUUUUUUUAUACAAUAGAGAUCUAGAAGAAAUAAGCUACUAAACUUCCUAUAUUGCCCUUGACCGUGUUGCCCUAUUUGCAUAAAGUAAUGAAGGAAAGUUGCCCUAAUAUUGGUUGCAUUCAACUCAAGGCUCAAGGGACCACAUUUGAUAUGAAAGGCCUUCACUAUUAUUUCAAAAUGUAUGCUACAAGUUCUACCAUCAUGCCAUCAAUACCACUCACAUAUGUAUAAGUAUGUUUCUAUUGUUUUGAUAUCUACAAAACAAUUUUGCAUUGAACCCACACAUUGAAUGAAAUAUGUAAGGGUAAAACAAGAAAAGCGUACAAAUUUUGUUUACCAUUUAUAGUAAACUACAAUAAUUUUGGGACGAACCAAAAUAGAAAACAUGACACUAUUAUUGGGACGGAGGGAGGACUUUAAAUUGGAAAUCUACAUUAUAAAAUAGACUAUAAAAUAUGCCCAAAAAUUCUCUAUUCGUCCACCAAAGGCCAUUUUCAUAGAUGAAAAGAAUUGGAAACUAAUUAAGAAGAGAAAGCCCUACCAGGAUAGGAUUUUGAUAGCUCUUUCCUCAAAUUUAGAUGAAAGUAUCUCUAUGAAAUAGGCAGCUACAAUAUCAAGACAAUGCAAGAAAGUUGUAGCCAAUCUUUUCUAUAGAUCAAAACUUAGAUCAUAUGCAUGUCUAGGUACAGAUUUAUGUACAAAAUGCCACCAACUAGUCAGAAGACAAUUGUGAAAGUUUUAAAAAUGUAGCACUAGGAAAUUAUUUUUUGUAAUUCAAACUUUUGAAUUGUAAAAUGUCAAAACUAGACUUUGAUUCUUAAAGAAUUGCGUCUAUUGAUCUUAUUUGUGUAAAGCAUCAAGAAUCAUCUCAAUUUGAUACUGCAUCUUGAGUCAUAGCCAGAAUACCGAAACGCGUAAAAUCAGAAUCCAAAUCUUUUUUAGAAACAAUAUUCUUAAUUUCUACAAGGUGGUUUUAGCUCAAUUUCCUUAUUUUUCCACACUUUCUGAACAUCUUUUAAUAUUUAAUAACCUUUCUUAAAUGCUUCUUUAAGUACUUUUUCAUUUUUUUUUCAAAUCCUAUCAAAACGAGCAUAAAGUGCACCUAAAACUUUUAUUCUUUUAUUUUAACUUUAAUCUGUGCUUAAAAUAAGCAAACUUAAAAAAUCCUAAAAUGAACAAAUAUCAAGUGCAAAAACAUAAUAAAUGGAAUCAAAGACACAUACAAAAAUAAUGCAAAAUAAGAUUUGGGUUGUGACCUAACAAAAAGGUGAGCAUGCACAAGGGGUGCUUACUAUAAAGAUGCAUUUUUAGGUUCUUUGUAUUAAUGAUUCGAGUCAUUGGUAAGAAUCUUGCAGGGUAAGUUUUAUAUAUGCACUGCUACUACUAUGAAGUAUCAAUAAGUUCAUGUUAGUGUCAAGCUAAACUAUGAUUAAACAAUGACUACUUAGAUUCUUCGAUACUUUGUAUUGAAUGUUCGAAUCAUUCGUAAGAACCUCUUUGAGAGGAAAUGCUAUGUGUGUAAGCUAGUCCUAUGAAGCAACAAGUCCAUGUUAAUAUCAGGUUCAGCUAUGAUUAAACAAUGAUUGUUUGGAGGGGUUGAAACUAAGUUGGCAUUUAGUUGGCAAAAUUACGAGUGUUGCAUUUAUCAAAUGUUCCUACUGAUGUGUAUAAAGUUAUAUACAAAAAUUGGACCCAUAACACCAUGUUUGUUGCAUUGGUCAAAGGCUUCGCUGAUGUGUGAUGAAUUAUAUUCAAAAGUUGGAACUAUUGACUAAAAGUGUGUAUCCUCAAAAGUCAAUCAACUUUUAGGUCUUGAUAUAUAAUUGAACUAUUUAUAUUAUAACAAAUGACAUCUUUAUCAUAUUGAUUGUUUAUUUGUUUAUAUUUAUAUGAUAAAGUUCUUAGAAUAAAUUUAAUUAAUGAAAUCAAGAGUGUUAUGAUGAUGAAGUUGAUUUGGUCAAAUUUAAGGUGUAUUCUUAAAUAUUUCAAAUUAAAGUAUUAAUAAGAUAGAACAUUGUUAAGAUGGUUAGACUACCAUAUACUAUAAUUCUUCUAUAUGAUAAGUUGUAGACCUUAUCUAUUAUAAUGUAGAUAUUAGAGUAAGUAUAUGGGUGCUUGAUAGAUGAUCAAGCUCACUAGGUUUAUCAUUAUAGAGCUUUCCCUAAAAGUGGCAAAAGGACUUUUAAGUAACAUUUGUAUAAGUGAUCCUUAGACUUGUAGUUAUCAUAGUAUCUUGAUUGUGGAUUACUAUACCAUAACACUAUGAUUGUUUUUCGUAAAUGGGCUACUCAAAUCAUUAGUGAUUGCUUUUCAUUAUUGGUCACUUAUAAAAGUAUAACUCAAGAAAUCUUAAUACUAAAUGGAUAUGUCUUGGAAAGCUAUUUCUAAAUACUUCUUCAUUGGAGUUAUAUUUUGGUAUAAGAAACUAUCAUUAAUCUUAGUGGAAUAGCCAUGUAUUCCAUAUACUAAGAUUAAUAUAAGAAAAGUAUGUUAAAAGAAUAUUACUUACAUAGUAAAUGCUCACUAAAAGAGUGAAGUCAUCCACUUAAAAUUUGUCAUUACAUGAGUGGUUAUGAUGUAUUGUUAGAUACCAAUCUUGAUAUAUAAGAAUAAGAAGAUUGAUUGAUAGAACUAAUAAUAAAUUAAAAAAAAUUUUAAUUGAUCUAAUUUUUAUUUAUUCAGAAUUCUAACUUAUAGUUAUUACCAUGACAACCCAAUGAGUCAUAUACAGUAAGAACUUCUUUAGUUAGAUCAAAAGAAUUUUAGGUAAGGACCUGAAAGAUAAAUUUUUAUAACUUAUAGUUUAAUUUAUAAGACAAAUUCAACUUGAAGGACUUAUGGUGCAAACAAGAAUAAUUUUCCAAAACAAGGGUUGUAUUAGAAUAAGGAAGCUAAAUUUAUUGGAAACUAGUUUCUAGUUUUUAGAAGAAUUUCAAAAAACUAUUCAUCUAUAAAUGCUCCCAAACUUUUACUAGAUUGCCCAACCUAUUUCUCAAGACUCUGAAUAGAUAUUUGUUGGGAUUGAACCAUUUGAUCUAUUUUCUGUAUGUAUUAAAACAUCAUAUCCUCCAUAUUAGGAUUUUUCUCUUGAAUAGGUUGACGAGGGUACUGUGGUUUUUGCUGUUGCCCUUGGAACUCCGAUGGCCCCAUAGGUUUAUUCCCUUGCUCCCUCCAAGAAAAAUUAGGAUGAUUAUGUCACCCUGGAUCAUAAGUUUUUGAGAGAGGAUCAUUCCUUUGUUGCAUUCAUUAAUCUCCAUAAGCUUUGACAAAAUUAACAUCCUCUACCAUAAUAGACGGAUCUCUAUUAUAGUAGCCUGUAGUUGUAUGCUGGCACAUUGCAAUUAGCACAAGGUUCUGACUAGUGAGUUUCAUGAGUAAGCAAUGACUGCAUUUGUUGCAUUUGUGUACUUAACUCAGCCACUCGUGAACUCAGAUCUCUUCGUGUAGAUACUUCAUGUACACUUGCUCUCUUACCCCAUAUUGUCUUUUGUUGAGAGUUACUAGACAGUAAUUUACAUAUUUUAACCAACUCCUCUAGAGUCUUAUCUCCAAUGUACCCUCCUACUGCAAAAUCUACCAUAUUUUGGGUCAUGAAAGUCUGCCUAUCAUAGAAAAAUUGCACUUCUAGAGCAAAAGGAUACUGUGAUGAGGACAUUGGGCAAGCAGCAACUAAAAUUGUUCCCAAUUUUAGUGAAUGGGUUCUCCCUCCAUUUGAGAAAAUGCGCAGAUUUUAUUCUGCAAAUCAAUACUCUUUUCCGGUGAGUAAUAUUUAGUCAUAAAGAUGUUGUACACAUCUUUCAAAGUUGCUAAAGACCCCUCUAGUAAAUUCAAAAGUCAUGAUUUUGCAUGAUCCCUGAGGCAAUAAAGGUAGCACCUCAUCCGCAAUUCAUCUUGAAAUAACCUAUUCAGUGGAAAAGUCUACACCACGGUAUAAAAUUCCAGGAUGAAAGUGAUUGGAUUCUCAAUAGCUAGGCCAUGAAAACCAAGUACUAGAUUGAAGUGCACGGUCUUUAGCUCAUAAUUUCUUGUCUCUUCACUCAACUUGAUACAGUGUGGGAAAUGCUACAAUAAUAGGACAUUGGAUGUCCCUCAGACAAAGUCCAAUAGAUGGAGCUACUAGUGGCACCAGUUGCUGAUUAUUAUUGUUGUUAUUAUUGUCACGAUUGUCAUCUACCAUGAUUUCUUCAUUUGUGCUUGUUGACUCUGCGAACUCGAUUGCAAUAUUAAUACCAGGUGAUGGUGGUUGUGAUGUCUGUUCCUGCAAAUGUGAUUGUUUCCUGGAGCACUUUGUAGUUUUCUCAAUUUCAAGGUCAUAUACCAAAUCACCCUUUUGUAAUCGGGUCAUACACCAAGUACCUAUGCAAGAGGAUUAUAAAUAAAGUGAAGAACUAGAGAUAAGAGAAAAAAAAGAAAAAGAAAAAUAACUAAAAUAGAGAAAUUAAGCGUCGUCCCCUGCAAUGCGGUCAAAACUUGAUCGACAAUUUCUGCAAGCGAACACAGUCAAUCAUAGUAAUAAAUCACCUGGAGUAUUUUAGGGUUGAAUCCAUAGAGAUGAGUUAAUUUUCUACUUUCAUUAUUCUAACAAAAUAACAAAACUUAAAUCCAAGGAGUUGUUUGUUCUAACUAAGCAAUAAAAUAAUAAUAAAUUCAAAUAAAGUAGUGUGAAAAAACAAUAGACAUGAGCCUAGGGUUCCAGGUUUUAAUCCAGAAUUUAAGUUAAUUGUCUAGUUAAUUUCUUAACAUACAAUGAACGCAUCACCACUUGUAUUUUAGAUUAUCUCUUGAUACAUCUAAAGUGUCCAUAAUUAAAUCCUACAUCUCUCUCAAGAUUACAAGCAUUCAAUUAAACCCUUCAAAAAUUUUGAUAAUAUAAGUAUGUCAUACAAAUUCUAACAUACUCUUGUGAUUAGGAUAAAUAUAUUUAUCUAUGUAGUGUACGGUUGUAUCUUACCUCUUAGUUUGAUAUAAACCCAAAAAUCAUGUCUAUUAUGAUCAGGCAUAGACACAUAAUGAAAAUCAAGAUAGAUAAAACCAUAGCAAAAAGCAAGAAAUUAAACUAGAAAAUGUGACGACUUCACCUUCCCCUAGAGCGUACCCUAAAGGUUAGCGGAUCACCUGACCAACUCUUGCUAGGACUUACUCACAAACUCUAAAAGAAAACAAGAACAAUACUCAUAAUAACAAGCGCAACAACAAUUUCCAAACUUAAAUAGAGACCUUCAUUGACAUCAACUGUUUGUGCAACUCUACAUUCAACAAGGGAUACAAGCUUAUAAAUCAAAACCAAACGAUCCCGAUAUAAAGCUAAGAAAUGCUCUCUAGGACAUCCAAUCAUAACAUAAACAAAAGCCCUGCCUUCUUGACUCACACUCCCACAUUCUCACCUCUUGUAAGAAAAACAAACUAAAGGAAUGAGCUUUCGCCUAGUGAGAUCCCAACACAACAUGCAAACGAGGUAACAAGUUGGCAAUCACGUAUAUCACAAUCUCAAAGUGAGGAAAACAACUAGCAAUUUAUCAAACCUUAUAAAACUCACAUGAUGGGAUUAUCACGUAUUCUAUGAAAGCAAAUAAUAUCCAGAUAACUCAUUUAACAAAGUACAGUAUAUAACACAUUCAUGUAAAAGGAUACAGUCUGCUCUCAGGACAGGAUCCAUAGCAACUUGUCUGGAAUCCAUUGACACUCUAUCAACUAUGAAAUUAUAAUAUCUGUAGAUCAUCACUUAUCUUCAGUCCCGUUCCUCCGAUCAUCCCCAUAUAUCAGGCCCAAACUCCAAAGAUAACAGUAGAGGUAAUACUCGAGUAUACGGAUAAACAGUGGGAUAAACAAUAAAUGGUCCCCAUGGUUCAUCAAUCUCCUCAACCAAGCCCUUGCUGGCUCAAUUCGAUCAACUAGCCAAUGCAGUUUGGGAUCCCAAGCACUCAAUAUAUCGAUGAGAUAACAUUUUCAACCAACUUUCAAGUCAUACACAUGUAUAUCAGUUCACUUGUAAAUAGGAUAACAAGAGCUCAAACAAAGUUAGAUUGGGUAUGAUAAAGUACAUACUCGCCUUUUCAUUUGCAGUUCAAGAUAUAUAGCAGUAUUAAUCAACUAGGCACAUUGAACAUCAUUCAAGCAAAAUUAGGUCAAGUGCAAUAAAGUACAUACUCACCUAUUACAAUAACAAGUCAGGAUAUCUAACAAUUUUAUGCAACAAGUCACAUUUCGAUCAAUAAGUCACAUGGUCCUAACAUGCAAUUGGAACACUCACCAAUUAAUCCCUAUCUUUCCACUUCAAAUCCUGAUUCUUUCUCUUGGUCAUUCUUGAGUCCUGUGGUCAUAUCAUACAUCAAAAUCCUAGCCACUUAAAACCAAUAUAAAUGAGUAAGUUUCACUUAGCAAGCGCAGCAAUUUGCAGGUUUAGCCCCAAUUAACUUCCAAAAGUACAAAGUUUUCUUGUUCAAAUCAAAUGGCAAAACCACGUGUAGGCUAAAACAAUGUUCCAAGGAUCAUAUGAAGUGCAAACAUAUCAAUUAUAAUUAAGACGUUCGGAGAAAACGGGACAAGAUUUUCUAGGUGUAAAACUGGAAAUUUCAAGCAAGAAAACAUUUUGGAGAAAACUCAUUUUCCUCCUCUUGGUUUUGACUCGGACCAAGAUACAAGUAAAGAUCAAAGUCUUGGCAAGUAUCUUGAGCAAAGUAUGUCCAAAUUAUCAUACAAAUUCUAGCAAUAAAGCCGCAAUUUCUCCAUUGCCCUCUAGGCUAACCCAAGCAAAAUGUCCUACAAACAUAUCUCUUUCUCUCAAAUCAAUUGGAAAAACACGUAUAUGCUAAGAUCAACCCAGUAAGUGAUGUAGUGAGUAAAACUACUCAGGUAUAGGAUUUUGAAGAAAACCGGAGACCUAAGUCAUUCCUUCUCUUAGUUUAAAGUAGGAAGUUUUCUCGUAAGAAAAUAGUUUGGAAAUGAGUGUCUACUAAAACUCUUUGUUUUUAAAUCAAAUUAAACAUCAUUCAAGUUGAACCUAUAUGUAAGAUCAAGGUCCUAUCGGUCUUAUCAGGUGCCUUGAGCAAAAGUAUGGCAAAAUCACCAUAAAAAUCACUAAUAUUUUCACAUAAAAGUAUAUAUCAAACUCAUCAUAAUAUUUUCCGAUCAAAGCUACUAAGUUUGUCAUAGAAUAUACCUAAUCCUUCUUAUUUAUCAUAUAAAGAGGCAUAUACCAUGAUUCUUAACAAAUAAAUUCACCAAAAUCCACAUAUAAAGCUUGUAAACUAAUGAUCGAACUAAACACAUAAAGCUGAAUAUUUUCUAGCAACAAACUAUUAAGAAAACUACUUGCAAACAACUAGAAUCCUCCAUAAAAUUCCUCCCUUUUAGCUCAUAUCAUCCAUACAUCAAGUAUACUCAAGUAUAAGAAAAGAAAACUAGGUUUUCUAGUAAUUUUUACCUCCUUCCACACAAGACUAAGGUUGGAAAUGAUACAAGAAGUUCUUCCUCCAAGAACUCCUCCAAACUUCCUUCCAACUUGCUUCAAAGAUUGAUGGCAUGAAGUGUAGUUUCCUUCUUUGGUUUCUUACUAAUUUGGACAAGAACUCAAGGUUAGAAAUUGAGUUUUUUUGUCCCUCUUUCCUCUCUCAAAAUUUUGUCCAUGGCUAUCCAAAAGAAGAAGAAAUGUGAAUGAAAUGGAAGCUUGGGUUGGAUAAGAAGAAAGGUUAGUCUUGGUCAAAGUUGGCUUGAUGCUUGACAAGUGGCGCAAGAAGGGCAAAUGCCUAUCUAUUUGUCUCUUGAUUUGUCUCUAACCACCAAGAUAUUUAGGGCUCCUCCAAUUAACUCUUAACAUCUCUUGUCACAUAAUCCCUUUUGCAUAAAACUUCCUCUUAUCCUCUGCAUUUAUGGCAUACAACUUUCUAGUUGGUCACACAAGUAUAAUGUAUUAUGAAACUAAAAUGCAACAAGUUAAAUAAAGCAAUAGGAGAAAAAUCAUGACUCAACCAGUAAAUCAACCAAUAUUUUAAGGCAAGUAAGUUAAACUAACAAAAAUAUAGAAAACGAAUUUAAGGAUCCUCACAGAAAAAAUUAAUCAAAUUCCUUUAUAAAAACCCUAACCCUAUAAGCAAUUUAGUUCAACAUAAUUAGGAAAUUGAAACCAUGAAUUCAAAGAGUUGCUACAAGGAUAAGUAAAAGAAUAAGAAAAUUUCUCAGUUACUUGUUCCAGUUUUCUCCUUGUGCACUCCUUGUUUUUCUCCGUUUGAUCUUGAGCUUUCGAGAAUAAACUAUGAAAAGAAAUUAAAACUAAGUUAGACUAAUGCUUUCCACCCUAAAAAUGUCUAAGAUAGCCCCUAUUUAUAGUUUUUUUAAAGUAGUAUCUCAAAUGGAGUAGGAUUCCACUUAUUGGAGUUAAAAAAUGGUGUCAAACUCUAGUUAAACUCUGACGCCAGAGUUAGGUUCUAAAAAACACUGGUGAGAAGACCAACAUCAACACCAGUGCAAGUUAUGACUGAUUCGCGGACAGAUCGCUUAGGAUCCGCACACAGAUCAAUUUCAAUGCCAAAAAUUUCUAUUAAUUGUGUCGAAUUAGCUCUUACUUAAAACAAGAAAGUUGUAAGUCUUUGAAUGUUUGCAAUGCCACAAGAAUUAUGUCAUUUGGAGGUUUGGAUGCUAAGAUAUGCCCAAAAUACAAAGAACUGGUCAGAAGAGCAUUGCCACAAAACUAUACUUUAGUAAUUUGGACUUUUGACUAUAAAAAUGUGAGAACUAGACUUUAAUGUCUAAUAAGAAAUGUAAAAGAUUCUCUUAGCUUCAAAAUUAAUCAAAAAUCAUCUCAAUCCGUUCUUGGUAGCUCUGAGCUCUUGAUCUAUUAGAACAAUAUAAGAGUAAAAUUAUGUAGUUUUUAUUCAAAUUAAGCACAAAUAAGAGAGUUAACUAGCAAUUUAUGCAUUUAGAUAUACUACAAAUUAUUCCCUAUCAAUUGUCUUCAUUUUAGUAAAGGAUAAUAGUCCUAAAUUUGAUACCUUACACAAUGACAUCACUUGGGCUUUGGAAUUGGUGAUCAAGCGUUUGCUGGAAAUUUAUGUGAUGUCCUAGUCAUUUGGGUGAGGGACUUUUGAUUAAAAAAUAAAAGUUUAAUGGUAAAAACUAAAAAUCUUAGACAAUUGAAGGGCUAUUAAGCAAAUAAAAUAAAAUAGGAAACAUAUCUGUAGUGAGAUUUGUAAUAGAAUUAUUAUUUACAUCACCAAUUCUUUCCUUUAUCCAAUUUCUUCUUCUUCUUCUUCUCCAAUUUUUCCAAGAAUCAUUUUUCUUCUUCUUUGGUUUCUUUUCAGGUGUGAGCUUAGCAAAAUCGGAUCAAGUGGCUGAUGGAAAAAUUGGAGACCUUGUUUUGAUGACUAAUCAAAGUAAACUUCUUGUUAUUUUAAGUUUUAUGCACUAGAUAUGUUAAAAGUUAAAUUGGGCAUGAUGAAGUUAUCGGUUAUUUCUUUUUGAGUGGUGACAGUUAGUAAUUUGAGGUUUAUUGUGUUGAUUUAUGCGCCUUUGAUUGGUUUGAUGUUGAGAUAGAAGUUUGGGUUUGUUGUUGUUAAUUCUACUUAGAAAUUUUGCUUAAGAGAAUGUUGGAAAUGGGUUGGAUUGUGGUUGGAAAAGUUUGGAUUAAAGUAAAAGAGCAAAGAUGUACUUUUGGGCAUUGGUUAACACACAGGCCCAACCAACACCGUCCCUUAGGCCAUGUGGGUUUUAAAAAUUGGGUUUAGUCAAGUGUGAGCUCUUAUUGUGUUCUAGCUUUUACUUAUUUAUAGGAAAUAUUAUGUAACCAACACUCAAAUAAUAAAAGAAAAUAACUUAAGCUAUUUUCCAAACGCAUGCAAAUGGGAAAUACGUGGCCACUUCCGCAAUUAAAUAGAGACUACUGAAAUGCCACACAAAUCAAAAAGAACAAAACACCAAUUUAGUCGUGUCAAUUUAGUCCCUCAACUAUUUUUGUAAAGCUAAAAUAGUCCUUGAACUUUAUUAGGAGCUAAUUUAGUCCCUUAACUAUUUUACUUAAGCUAAAAUAGUCCCUCACCUAUAUUUACAAGGGCAAUUUAGUCCUUAUUUGCUAAUCCACCACAUUUAUUAACUUUUUGCACCAACAACUAAGGGAAAAAGCAAAAAUCUAGCCAUAUUUCUUUCUAAAACAAUAGAACAAACUAAUUUUUAUCAAGAAAUCAGCAAUGAAAUUGAAUUUUACGGAAAGCAAAACAAUUGAACUUUUUUCAACUUUAUUUCUUAAAAGGGUAACAUAUUGCUAGCACAUAUUUUUCUGCUUAUUACGUACUUCUGCUAUUUUAUUUUCCCCUUAUUUUUCCAUUUAACAGGAUUGAAUUGGAUCCAUGUGAAAUUUUUUAGCCAUCGUCCUCCAUUUUUUGCUCCAUAAGAAGCUCUUGGCUCUCUAUGUGAUUCAAUUUUGUUGCCAAUUUUCUCAUAGAUAUCUAUUUUUCUAUUGUUUUAAUAAGGGCAAUGACUAAAUUUCAUAUUUUGAACCUAAUUGUGAGUGCAAAAAGUUAAUAAAUUAGGUGAAUGAGCCACAUAAGGACCAAACUGGGCACAUACACAUAUGUGAGGGACUAUUUCAGAUUAAACAAAAUAGUUGAGGGAAUAAAUUUGUUCAUAAUAAAGUUUAAGGACUGUUUUGACUUUGUAAAAAUAGUUAAAGGCACUAAACUAGCUCAUAAUACAGUUUGGGGACUAUUUUGCUUUGACUUUAGCAAAAUAGUUUUGGAAAUAAAUUGGUGUUUUGCUCAAACAAAAACUACCUAAAAGUAAUAAACAAAAGUUCCCAGGACAGGGCAUUGGAACCUGGAAUCUAACAUGAUGUUGGAAUAGAAGUUGCAUUAAUCUCUUAUGUGGUCUGAAUUAUAGUACAAUUAAAUUCAAACUAUGACAAGGUCAUCUCCUCAAAGUUUCUCAAAAUCACAGUACUUGAACUGUCCAUCAUUCAUAGCAUAUGUUGGAUCAGGUGGCAAUCGAUCAACAAUACAAGAAUUCACAAUACCAUUAACUAAUGUUGGGAAUGAAGUGUCAGUUUAUUUCACAAAAAUUGUUGCCGCUGGAUGGAUUUAAAGUUAGUGCAACACCCGAUACAUUACUUUUCAGACAGAAGCACGAAAAGAAAAACUACAAAUUACCAAUAGAAGGUCCUGCAAUUCUGAACAAUUUGGUGGUUUUUGGUCAUCUAAGGUAAAUAUGUAGUUCGAAGUCCAAUUGUUGCAACGCCCCUAACAGUAGGAACAUUUCCAGGACAGAAUUAUUAGUUGCCAACAUGUAUUCCCUAAAAUUUAUGAGGAUUGAUGAUUAACUGUUGGGAUAAUUAUGCUUUUGGAAAAAACUUAUGUGUUAGUGUGGUGAACGAGUCUGGAGGAAGCUGAAUGUGUAAGAGUCUGAAUGUCAUGCAAAAAUUUGAUGUUGUAGUUUACUUGUCAUAAGGUGAAUGUAAGGAAUCACGCGAGCAUGCGCAUCAAAUUUAAAAAUUUUGAUUCCUUUAAUAGAUCAACCUUUGAUUAAAUCUAUGUGAUGUAGAGUUAGUUUAAGACAAUCAUCUCAACCUAUGUAGAUUUUCUUAAAUCGGUGGGGAUUUGAUGCAGAGAAAGACAAAGAGAUCCAUGUAUUUGCACACGUGUUCGACCUCUAACUGUGAUCCAUAUAAUCGUGAACCUCUUUAAUUAGAGCUUCCUAGAUUGAAUUAGUUUAAACUAGAUUACUGCUACCCAUUGUCAAGACACAUUACACACGAGUUGGUUGAGAAAAACCCUAAAUUUACACUAAAAAACUUGACCCAGUAAAAGAAAUAAGAUAUGCAAAUUUUUUCUUAUGUCUUGGAUGAAUUUUUGGAUAUUUUCUCUCAAGAUUUUUCUCAAAAAUCUCACAAGAUAAUUCAUGUGUCGAUUAAUCUUACUAGAUAAAGUUUAUUAAGUAUUUAUAGACAAAUAAAUUGUCUAUAUCCUUAUAGAAAACUAAAAUCAGUUUCCAAUAGAAUUUAGUUUUCUUAUUCUAUAAAUUUAUUUGUGUCGUAAGUCCCUCAAAUUAAUUUGUCUCAUAAACUAAUUAUUAGUUAUAAAAGUUUAUCUUUCAAAUCCCUACUUGAAAUUCUUUUAAUCCAACUAAAUAAGUUGUUAAUGUCUGUGACCUAUUAGAUUUUCAUAUACGUUGAUAAUAAAUAUGAGUUAUAAUUCUUUAUAAAUAAGAAAUAGAUAAAUUAAAGCUCCUACUAAUUUAUCAUUGAUCCACUAAUCAAUCAACUUAUUCUUAUACCUCAAAAUUGGCAUCUAGAAAUGCAUCAUGACCAACCAAGUAAUGUGAAAAUCAAGUGGAUGGUUUCAUCUUUUAGUGAAUGUUUACCGUGUGAUUAACAUCAUUUUACCACUUAUCUCACAUUAAUUUUGGAAUAAGUUGCGUCUAUUCCAUUAUGUGAUUAAUAUUUAUUUACUAAAAUAUAAAUCCAAUGAAGAAGUACUUAGAAACACUUUCUAAGACUUCCAUUUAGCGCUAAUAAUUCUGAAUUAUACUUUUACAAGUGAUCAAACAUAAAAUAAUUCCUCUUCCAUAAGAAGUGGUAAAUUCUUAUGGAUUAUUCAUUAUGUUUUCAUAUUUCAAGUAUAUACCCAUAUACUUAGGUGGUCAAACUUUGUUGUUUUCAUACUUCAAGUAUAUACACAUAUGCUCUCGUAACAAAGUAUAAGUAUUCAUACUUAAGAUACGAUGUUAACCUUAGUCUAAGAACCACUUAUACAAACACCACUUAAAAAAUAAUCUUUUGGCACUUAAAGGAUAUCGUUAUGUAGAUUAAUCUAAUAAACUCGAUCAUGUUAUCAAGCACCCAUAUAGUAGUUUAGGUGUCUUACACACUAUAGCAAAUGAGAUCGACUACUUCUUAUAUAGAAGUGACAUAGUAUGUUCUAGUCUAAACAUAUUAACAAUACUCUUUCUUGUCAAUACUUUGAUAAGAGAUAUUUAAAAAUAAAAUUUAUAUAUAAUCGAAUGAAUCUCAUCAUCAUGACUCUUAUAAUUUCAUUGAUUAGGUUUACUUUAAGAGUUUUAUUAUACAUAUAUAAAUAUAUAAGUAAUCAAUAUGAUAAAGAUGUUAUUUAUUAUAAUGUAAAAGUUGAAGUGCAUGUUAAACUUUAGAAAUUGAUUGGCUUUAGACCAUCUACACUUUCAUUGAAAAGAUGCAGCAUGCAUACAGCUACUUGCCUUUUAGACAAUGGCGGAUUUUGGCUGAAAUAAAGCUUUAAUGGCCCUUUAAUUGGGGGAAUAAAUCUAGUGAUUCACAAACAACAGAACAAGGCCAGCAAAAUAAAAACAAUUGUUGUUGAUUGCUUAAUCACGUUUGAAGACAGCAGAGAAGUCUUUGUCAUAUCAGAUGUAGCACAUCAACAGUUUCUUGCACUAAGGUAUGGCUAAUUGUGAUCUUUUAGUUCCUUCCUUUCAUUCUUGUUUAGUCCCUUAACUAUUUCAAUUAUCUCUUGUCAAUUCAUAGUGAAUAUUAGUAGAGAUGAAGUCACUACUUAGUAGAGAUGAAAGCUGAGAAAUAUAGCAAGGAUAAGUCUUUCUCCAGACCAGUAGCUCUUGCGUCACUCAUUCAAAUUAAACUAGCACGAAACUAGAUUUCGUGCAUGUCCACAGCUUUGUAUAAGAUGAAGUCACCAUGCACAAAAUUUUCAGUAGAAUUUGACCGGAAUAAUAAACCUUCUUUAAUUUAGUUAUUGUGCAAAGGGUUUUUUAAGAAAUAGGAUCACUUCAAAACCUUUACGUGCACCUUUUGACCAAAAACAAAAAAAAAAAAAAAAAAAAAUUAUCAAGGUUGGCAAUUUCAGUAGUCUACGAGUGUUGCAACUAACCUAAUCUUGUUCAGAUUAUUAAACGUGAAUUCCUGAAAUACCAGUUACUUUUCGUGCAAUUAAUUUUACAUCAUUUUGAUUUAUUCAUAUGUUUCUGGGGUUGAAUUCCCUUGAUCGUGCACGAAUCCUGAGUUGGAAGAUGCUGUGAAGUCAGUGGAAGUAAACUCUUUUUCAGUGUUCCAUUUCAAAUUUGGUUACAGAAUUUUGUCAAAGAUAUUGGUUAGUUUAGUUGGCCACCACUACUCUAUAAUUUUCUCUCUUGAUAUGAAUGUAGUUCCAAUUUCGGCAAAACAAUAGUUAAUAUUUGUUGAAGAUAAAUCAAUAGGUCCCAACUUUUGACAGCUGGUAGCGCUGUUAUUUGAUUGUUACCUGGAUUAACAGGUGCAGUCUGUUACCAACUUUCAACCUUAAAGAUUAUUCCUUUAAAUGAAAUAAGUGCCAUACCCAGGUUGACUUAAAAAAAAAAGAUUUAAAAAAACCCAUACCAUUGGAAAGGAUCAAGAACUUUUCCCAUAUGUAUUACUUUCAUUUUUUUUUAAUGGCGAAUAUGGAAAUUUGGAAACUUUGAUACUAUACGUAUGCCGGAUUAAGGAAAAAAAAAAAAAAACAAUCAAAUGUGAACUGCUAUAGUUGUGGGGCAUUAUGUAAAUAUUUUGAUAGGUUAAGGGAUCAUGUGAUAUUGUGCAAAAUGACAAGAGGUUGCUAGUAAUUUAUCCUUAAGAAAACUAAUACUCCUACCACAUUUUCGUAAUUUCACAAUUUAAGAAGGUCACAAACACGUAUCAUGGAACAAGCUUUUUGUCCGUAAUUCAGCAUAAACAGAAAUUCGUGGCCAGAGACAAUACAAAAAGCACCCCAAGGUGCAUAUAUCUUAGGAUAAAUUAUACAUAACUCUUCUGUGGUUUUUUAUAUUGUGACAUGACGCUCUAAACUUUCAAAAUGUCUACAUAAUCUCCUAUGAUUUUAUAUAAAGUAAAACAAUGAAUGGAAAGCACCAACACUUAUGGCCGUUCACGGAAUCUUAAUUUUCACUUAACUAUCCUGUAAUAAAUAUGAAUAUUUACUUUACCCCUUGUAAUUUUUAUAUUUAUCCACAUGAUUUUCCUAUACUGUUGUGCAGCAUGGUCAGACGCUUGUCCGAUUUAGUGCUUAAAUAAAAGCAAUAUUAGUAUUUCAACCAAAGACAUUUGGGAGUGUAUUUUUCAUCAAGUUCCAUUUACAUGAAACAAUAGAGAGUUAAUGUGGAUAUUUUGAAACGUUUAGGAGGUCAAGCAACAAUCCGUGAAUCUACGGGGGAUCAUGUAAUUUGCCCAAUAUUUUUUACUUUUUAAAAAUUUGAGCAUUUUUAAAGGUUCCUUAUUGAAGUUUCGCCCUGCCAAAGUUAUUAACGAAAUCUAGUGUUCUGCUAAUUUCGUUUAUGUAUCUACUUGCCCAAUAUUUUUUACUUUUUUAAAAUUUGAGCAUUUUUAAAGGUUCCUUGUUGAAGUUUCGCCCUGCCAAAGUUAUUAACGAAAUCUAGUUUCUGCUAAUUUCGUUUAUGUAUCUACUUAUCCACCAUAAAAAAAUUUUCUCCUCGAAGCAAACUCCAAAUCCAUCUUACGGUCGAUUCAUUUUGGUUUUCAGCUUUAUUGAAUUUCAAGGAGAAAAGGCCAGUGGACCAUAACCUUCGUACUUGAUAGUUGAUACUUUCCUUUAUUAUUAUUAUUUUUUGGGUCCUAUAGUUGAUGCUACUAGUAAAUACCAAAGCAAUACCCUACAAAACAAGGAGAUAAUUCCCCACGUUUCUAGGUCUAAUAGUGACCAACUUCUGACUUUUGUAAUUCUAACCCACACCCAUACUCUUGUGUUGCCAAGACCAAACAAGCAUGGGAUCAAAGAGGAUUGGAUCGGUAAUCUUCCACUAGAUCUCCUUGUCGGUUGGAACAUGAUGCAACCAAUUUCAUCACUUGGAACAAAAAAUGGAGAUGCAUCGAUCCAUACCAUGUACAGCUAGCCAAUUACAUCCGUUUUGCACCCAAGUCUACGAGCUGUGCUAGACAAGAAUAGGCUCGUGCAUUUUUUCUGUCCUUUUUCUGUUUAUCCAUUUCAUGCCAAGUUGCCAACCAUGCUUCGUCAAAUCUAAUCUUGACCGGGAUAUGUCUUUUUUUAAAUUUAUUUUUUAGAUGUCGAGCCCCAUUUUUUGAAGGAAAAAUAAAAAAACAAAAUCCAAGUUGUGAAAAAAUGGAUUUUUAUUAAAAGAUGAGUGAAAAAUAAGUUUUUGAUUUAAAAAAAAAAAAAAGAAAAUGAACCUAAAAUGGGACUUAAAAAGUGCGACUGUUUUGGCCCAAAAUAAUAACCUAAAAAGGAUUUUUAGAAAAAAUAGGAAUCGCCACUUGAUAUUUAGUUGAGGUGUACCAAAUCACCUAAAAAUGAAUUUUAAUAAUAAUAAAAAAUAAACAAAAUUCUUUUUUAGACGACUCCAAGUCUUCGAAAAAUAAGAGAAAAGAGUUCGAGAGUCACGAUUGAAGAAAAGAAAGGCAAAGAUUUGAUUUAAGACACCCUUUCAACCUAACCAAGGCUAGUUGCGUGAUUUAGUCGAAAAUUUUCUUAAUUUAACCUAUAAAACUUAUAACAUUUGGAUGUUUUUACAUGGAUGCAAAUCUAAAUCUAAUGAAUAUCGAGAGGGUCGAAAUAUCUCUUCAAAAUAUAAUUGGUGCAAAUCACAUUAAUUGUAAUGCCCAAAAUGAUUUUUAGAAGAGGUCACGAAUAUGCAAAAAUGAGACUAAAAAAAAGAAGAAUUAUAAUAUAUAAAUAUAUAUGACCUAAAGGAGAGGAAUGCAAUAUAAUGGGUAUGAAAAACUAAAAUUCAUGACUCAAUUUUUCCUUCUCAAAGAGGAGAUACGAGCGUGCUAAGGUUACGUAGCCAUAGUCGUUCGUUUCCCAUAUUUGAAGAGUACUUCUCUAAUCUAAUCAAGCAAAUUAUUUAACAUAUUUCUAAUUUUUCUUAAAUGAAAUGUAAGUCUAAAUAUCAUAUUUCGCACAUACAGAUAAAGGAUAAUAUAAUAGAAAAUAUCAUGCAAAUGAGAAAAGAUCCUAAAAAAUAAAAAUAUGCAUGAAAAUGCAAUGAAUGUCACACAAAGAAUGUGAAUCUAGCACGAAAAUGGCCUAAAGGGUCAAGCGUUGAACUAUCCUAUUUUUACAAGUCAUCACUAGCAUUGGACCAGUGAGAAAUCGAGAAGGAAGACCACAACUAGUGUUGGACUAGUGUGGUGGCGUCAUACAUUUAUUAUAAACAAAUAAAUCAUAUAAAACAUAAUUAAAGCAAAAUAACAUAUAAUGGACAUAGAACACAUAACACAUAAGCAUAAUUUUUAGAUGCAAAAUCCUAAUGAAAAUGAAUAAACACGUAAACACACAAGCAUGCAAGCACACAAGCAAAUAGAAACCUAACUAUUACAUUUGGGGUCCUAAUUACAAUCUAAGGGGGGAAAUUUAAAAAUAAUCUAACUAUUACAUUUAUUUAACUAAAUGCAUUCUUAGAAAAAAAUUAAAACCUAUCUAUUACAUAGGCUAACUAAAUACAUGUCUUGAGCAUCUAUCUAUUACAUUUUGGCAUUUAAAUGCCUCCCAAAUAAUCACCAAAAUUAAAUAUAUGAUUUGAAAUAACUAAAACGAGUAAUUAAAUAAAUAAAUAAAACACUCCAGAUAUACAAUUACACGUAAAACACAUAGGAGCACAUAAAAAAAUUUUAACUAAUAAAAGAAGAUACCUCCCUUGAAAUAGUAGCUAAUUCGGGUUGGAUUUAUCCUAUUUAUGCUUCAAAAUUAACAAAAUAGUCAAGGUACCAAUUUAAUUAACAUAUAAAAAAAUAACAUGUAAAGAAAUGGAAGUAAUCAUGAAAUCUAUUAAUUAGAACAUUUAAGUGAAGCAUAAUUAAUAAUUAAAGAAGAUAAACAACCUAUAUCAAAAAAAUUAGACAAGUAGGGACCUAAAUGAAAAAAUUGUAAAAGUUUUAGGGGUCCAAAUAAAAUUAUUAUAAAGAUUAGGGGUCCAAUUAUAAUUAAAAUAGAGACCUAAUUGAAAGAAAUUAAAAUUUAAGGGCUAUAGUAUAAUUACUCAAAAAUAUAGGGACUGAAAUGCAAUUUCAUACCAGAUUUCUUAACCAAACGGGCCAUUGGGCCAUUUUCAGCAUUUCUCUGGGCCAAAGGCCACUUGGCCCGACCGAAAGCCCUACGGAAAAGAAUAGGCCAGGCCUACUCUUUUUACCAAAUCAGUCCAAUUACAAAUACAUGGGUUCUGGUCUCAUAGCCCAAGUCAAAAACCCAACCAAAAAUAACCAAAUUCCAUAAUCAAAACCCAAGCAAAUAACCCUUAACCCAAAAUCUAAAGUUAUUUACCAAACCCAAUAAGAUAAUAAAUCCUAAAAAUAUUAAGGUCUAAUGACACCCUCAAAUUCAGGAACAAUUAACUAAAAAAAAACACACUUAAAAACAUAAAAAAUAUAUAUUAAAAAUUCAAGGGGUAGAAUUGAUUGAUUUUUACAAUGUUGGGGCCAUAGUGAAAUUAGUUAGAAAUUUAGGGGGCAAAAUGCAGUUUUUGAAAUUUCCAUGCAACUCAGAACCGAAGCUUUCUUCUUCAUUUCAUGUUCUGCAACUUUCUUGCCGGCAGCAAUGACUGCCGCCGUCGGAUCGCUACCAGCCGCCAAAAAUUACCAAAAUACACACCUCCAUUUGAUUUUUCACGUAGAUUCCAUUUCCUGAGUUAGUUUUUACAAAAAAUGACCCGAAGGUAACAAAAGAUAAAUCUUUUAUUACAAUAGUUAUAUGGCAGGUAGGUCUUUUUAUCGGAUAACUACGCCCCCGAGCCCGAUUCGAUUCGAGCUCUUGGAAUUGGAAGAACAUAUUUCAAAAUGAUAUGAUUCAACCUCAAACCCAUUUAAAUGUAGCAGAUAACAGCAGGGCUCGAGAAUUGAUGUGUAUUCGAAUCAUAGGAGCUAGCAAUCGUCGAUAUGCUCAUAUUGGUGAUGUUAUUGUUGCUGUGAUCAAAGAAGCAGUACCAAAUAUGCCCCUAAAAAGGUCAGAAGUCGUCAGUGUUUUUUACAAUAUAACCAUGAGCUGAAAUCAAUAAAAAACAACAACAAUACGACAAAAUUAAAGCAAAACAGUCCAAAAUAAAGCAAAAUUAUUCCAAUGCUUUUAAGACUUAAAAACUCCAAAAGUUUGGAUAAUCAAGCAUUUUCAGGCUUUUGUACUACUUGUAAUCAUUUAUUUUAACAAAAAAAAUGCACAAAAUUUCACUAAUUUGAUUUUUUUAUUUUGGCAUUUUUUCAAACAGUUAGUAUGCAUAUACAAAAAUUUAUUUCCUUUCCCCUUAAUCUGCUUUAUAACUUUUCCAACAACACAAUAAUAACAAGACCAGCAAACAUUCCUUUUCCAAUUGCAAUAGUAUUACUGAGAGUUGGGUUAAGGGUCAAUAUAGACUUUAAACUCUCUUGUUCAAAUUGCUUUAUUGAACACAUAAAUGCAUCUUAUUUUAGCAACUCGCAGUUUGUGUUGUUUGUAUUCAAUUGGUACAGCUAUUGCUGCCAAAUAUCCUUUCUAAUUAAUACUUGAGUUGUUAGCAUGGAAGAUGUAUCAUACUGCUGUAUAAGUUGCAAAGGAUACUUUCAUUCUCGUAUUUUAAAUUUUUAUUUAAAUUUAGGGUAUUGAUUUAGAUGUUGUCAGCUAAUUUUGGAAACUUUUUUUUGGCUUUCUCUGUUCUUUUUUAGAUCAUAGCAAAGGACUUGUUCAAGGCCCUGAAAGAGAAAUGUGAUAAGAGAUCUACACACCUUUGUUGCACAAAUGAUUCUAGUUGUAUCUGGUGAUAUCGCUUGUGAUAACUUUGGAGUAAAGGACAUAAGUUUGGUUGAUAAUGGUGAGAGCUAGAUAUUGUGGUUAACAUGACCUAGCUACAACAACCAACUUUGAAGAAAAGCAAAUGGUAUCAAUUAUUCUUGAGCAACAUAAAUAUAGGCUUGAAAAGUAUACUGAUUGAGUUAUUCUUCCAAAUGUUUGUCGGUAGGCGUGAAGGAGAAAUACAUGGUAAUUGAGUUGUUAUCCAUUAGAUGUAAUGGUUUUCUUGUCUUAUCUUGUACUAGGGUCACUUGGUAAUUUUUUUUUUUUUUCAGUCACUUGGUAAUUUACAGAUUGGCUUGAAUGUUUUCAUGUCUUGCGAAACACAUUGUUGUCGUAUCAAGGUGAUUUGUAAGCCUUUUGUGAAUGUAGUUUAGUUUCAUCAAUAAAAAAAAUCUGACUUGUAAUUUCUAGGAUUAGGGAAUGCCAAUACUUACUCGGAGUGUGAGUGGUGAUUGUAUUUUGUUUAAAUUUAGAUUUGUCUUGAUUGGUGUUCUGGACUUUUGCUUUUGGUACGGAAAAGAACUUAACCAAGAGAAGGAAAAUAACUUCCUAAAUAACUUCCUAUCAUUCUGAAGUUAUUUUCCUUUAACACAGCCUUCACUGAGAGACUGAAAAUCACGGCCUCACUCCACCACUCAUUGAGACUAUUGAAGAACCGCUCCACCACCGAGCAGAGUUAUCUUGCAAAAACCCACUCUCUCCUCCAACACUCUCAAAGUUGUCUUGCAAAAACCCAGCGAGCUGAGCAAUGCAGCCUUCAACACAACUUUGAGACGAUUGAAGACCAGUGAUUGAAGACCCAUCGGCAUAUCAAUCCUUCUUCGCCGGCGGCAUCUCCAGCUCCAUCGAAGACCCACUUCCAAAGGUAGGCUACUCUUUCAAUUAGGUUAUUGUCUUUUUAAAAAUCAGCUAAAUUAUCAUCUCUCUGCCUAAUUUUUUUUCCCUUUAUUUGGUAUUUGACCUAAUUUUCCACCUGAAGCUUUUAUGUUAAAGAUACACCUCUUUGACUUGGUUUCUGGUAGUUUCAUCAUGGAAAAUUGAUUAAUUUUAUCAUUUUAGUUCCUUAAUACUAUAUUGAUUACCUUUGAGGAAAAGGGGCUUCUAUCUACUAGCAUUGACAGUUUACCAUAAGCUUUUGGGUUGUGAAAGGAUAUACUUUCAAGUUGUUGAAGCCGGGGAGCUUAUUAUGUUACUCUAAAAUUUCUUUAGAAAAUCUGCAAUGCUUGUGAAUGACUGCAGAAGCUUAGACAAUGUUUGUGGGUACUAGCGUAUGAUUUACUAGUUACCUUAAAAAAACGCCAAAACAUAAGGGCACAAGUGCAGGAGCUUAAUUGUGUCGUUUUUGCAGGAAUUCUUUACCCUUUCUUUUUUCUUUUAAACUUGUAAGCAAUUAACAAGGUCAAUUUGUAGAUAACUUUAAAGCUUUAAUUAGUGUCUGCAAUGAACUCUUCCAAAAAUAAGUUCAGAUUUACCAAUUGCGAGCAUAUUAUCUCUGAAAAGGCUUAUCAGGACUCGUAGAUAACUAAAGUUUUUCUUCCUCACAACCGACAAACAGAAAACAACCUUUGAUUUGAUCAACUGACUUACGGAAGCCAUCCAUAAAAUUUUUAACGUACAAAACAAAUGCAACACCAGGGGCUCUUGAAUGUUAGCCUAUAUAGAUAGCUACAGAAGCAACCUCCCUGCGCAAUAUGCUAAAGCUGGUAUAGCACUCCAGCGGGCAAUACUAUUACUACAAUUCAAAGAUCCUUGAAAAAUUUCAAAUGGUCUUCAAAUGUCUCCGCGUGCCUGAUUUUGGAUACUGAGCCAUCAUCGUCAACCUGAAAACAACAUUAAUUGCAAUCUCAGAAUGAGUUCCUACAUACAUUAUAUAAAUAAUAGACCAAAGUAGUAACAAUAUGAAACUUUAGUUCUGAUUAGAUGUACAAGGAUACAAUGUAUUGGUCCAUGCAAUUUAAUGAAAAUGGUAAGCACAUAAUACAAUUGGCAAAUGGUGUGACUCCACAAGAGAUCCGUAAUAGUCGAAGAUACUACCCCUGGUUUGCUGGAAGUUCAGUUCUUUGUAUAAAAAUUAAUUAACUCAAAUAAUAGAAACUAUUUUAUAAUUAAUUUAUAUCACAAAAUAGGAUUAUGUAGGGGUUAUAGAUGGGAUGCAUGUUGUUGCAAGUGUACCCCUUGGAAUUCAAGGAAGAUUUCGAGGUCGAAAGGGUUAUCCAACUCAAAAUGUGUUAGCUGGAGGGGGUUGCUUUUAUGUUUUCAGCCAGCAUAUUGUACAGAUUUUAGUGGAUUCUAGUCUUCAUGAACAGCUAUUUACAUGUUAUGUUAUUAUUUGAGGCUAUAUAUGCAUGCAUUUACAUGCUCAUAAAUUCUCCAAUUAAUUACUGGAUCAUGAGAUACCACUAGUUGACAUCUUUACUCGCUGGGCAACUACUAUUUUUGGGACCAUUUAUCAUUUGGAGAUGUGAUUUUCGUUUAUUGCUUUGGCAUGUAUUUGCCUCUGUAUGUACUGAAUUGUUCCAGAUUCUUGAUCCAACUGAUGCGACAACAUUUAAAGCAGGGAUUUGAGUCACCCUAGGCUUGAUUAGGGUGAUUUUAUGUACCAAUGGUUCUCAUUCUAUACCAUGAAUAAGGAUCCUCUGCAUUUAGGUUCUUCUCCCCUUAAUGAAUUUUUUUAAAAGGAAGAUAAAAAGUCAAUUCAUUAGUAUCAUUAAUAAUUCCAUUUAAGAAUUCAUGGUGUAAUAUGAAUAAAUAUUUUAUAAAAAUGAUAAUAUGAUUAUAAUGGAUAGAAACUAAAAAUAACUUGUAAUAAAAUAAAUGUUUUGAGAAUAAAAAAACAUUUGCAACAUAUCAAUAAACAUAUCAGAAAAUAUUUUCUCUGACAAACGAAACACCAGAAAAUGAUGAAAAAAGGAAUUUGGGAAAUGUUUUCACUAAAUAACCAAACACUGGAAAAGUACGGGGAAGGAAGUAAUUUUCCAAGAAAACGACUUCUAUGGAAAAUAUAGGAAAAUAUUUUCAGUCCAACCAAACGGACCCUAACAUGAAAUCUAUUCGUACACAUGAUUAAUAAAGGAUGAAAAUUUUAUUUUGUCAAAUGUGAAGAAUGAAAAAAAUUUAUUUUUGUGAAAUGUGAAGGACGAAAAAAUUCAUUUUAUAAAAUGUCAGAGACUACGAAUCGAAUUAUGCAAAAUAUGAUUUGAUAAUUUUAUCCCAAAAAAAUAAUCACGUACUAAAUACAUAGUAAAUUCCUUUCAAAAAUUGGUCAAAAACUUGGAUAUGGAUCAAAUUGAUUAAUGUAAAUUUAUAAAAAAACGUAAAAUUACACUUUUAAAAUGAAGGACAAAAAAAAAAAAUUUUUCAAAAUAUGAAAAACAUUUUAAACAAUUUUUCCUUUUCCUUUUAAUUGAGUUGUAGCGUGCAUUGGACAAUGAAGUUCUAUGCAAUGAUGAUAUUGUUUCUUACAUGAUGUUUGUGGGCGCGGAGACAAUUCACAGGUAGAUACAAUGUUGAUCCUAACAUAAUCAUGUGAGACAGACGGGGAUUCUGAUGAAAUGGUUCUUUAACACUGCCUUUUCUUUUUCUUUUUUUGGUGAAAAUUGAAUUAUGAUUGAGCUGGUACUCUUUAAACCCAACACUGUCCGAGUCUUGAAAAUGGAGUAUGGAGCUGU
rnacentral:lncRNA from 1 species